rnacentral:lncRNA from 1 species
UUUAAAUUGUACUUAAAAGAGAGAUUAAAUACUUAUGAGACCUUGAGCAAGUGUAGUAGAGUUUCUAUGCUGUGGAAUCAAGAACGUGAGACUGUAAAAUCUCUUUUGGUUCUUAGUGGAAUCUAGCCAAUGGGCUAUCAAUGCAGGAGAGUGGAUGUAGGCUUGGUCUAAACCGAACCACUAUGAACCUCGUGUUUCAAUUCUCUUUCCCUAAACUCUUUAUUUUAAUUCGCAGUUUUAUAUAACUGUUUACAAUCUUUUAUAUCUCCAGUCCACUGUUUUCAUAAAAGUCGAAUUAAGUUGUUAAGUCUGGCAAAAACCUCUUUAACACCUACUCACCCCCCUCUAGGUGUUUUUACUAGCUUUAUCAAUUGGUAUCAGAGCCUGCGUGCUCAUUUAAUUGAAGUGUUUUACUUCUGAAUUAAUGAUCUAUGGCUUGUAUGUUGGCUCCAAAUUGGUUAAAGGCCAGAGUAACACCAGACCACCUUAUUUCGAUAGAAAGGAAUAUAGCAUACAGAAAAACAAAAUGAAGGCAUUCCUAAGAUCGAAAGAUCCUCUGGAAUGAAAUUUGAUAUGAAAAGAAAUUAUUCCUAAAGCUACAUUAGUUUCAGAAAGGGGAAAAGAAGUUGCAGAUGCUGGCGAGAUGACUCAAGAAGAAAUAAUCAAGAAACAAGCUCUUGAUGCUAAAGCAAUUUACUUCUUAUAUUGUGCAUUAUCUCCUACUGAAUAUAACAGAAUAUCUUCUUGUGAAACAGCCAAAGAAGUCUGGGAUAGACUGCACAUUACCUAUGAAGGAACUGAUCGAGUGAAAGAGACAAGGAUCAAUAUAUUACUCGGACAGUAUGAAGCCUUCAAGAUGAAGCCAGGAGAAUCUAUUACUGACAUGUUUAGUCGUUUUACAGAAAUUGUAAAUGGUCUAUAGUAUUAGGGACAACCAAUCUUAGGAUCCAUGAAGGUUAACAAGUUGCUGCGUGGACUCUCCAAAAACUGGAAUCACAUAAAGACUUCAAUAAGGGAAACUCAAAGGAUCAUGACACUUUCUGUAGACGAAUUGGUUGGCACACUUCAGUCCUAUGAAGUGGAGCAAAUCAAUGAGGAAGAAGAUCCCAAAGGUAAGAAGUCAAUUGCUUUGAGAUCUAAUGAUGAUUUUGAUGUUACAGAUUUUGAAGAUGAUAUGGAUGAUGAAGAGUUAGCUCUUAUGAUAAAGAGAUUUAGGAAACUGAACAAAAAGGGAAGAAGAUUCAUUUGGAAGAAAUAAAGCACUCAAAAGUUUCAAAAUAAAUCAACUAAGGAUGAUGAAGCCAAUAAAGAUGUGAUCUGUUUUGAAUGCAAGAAAAAUGGACGCAUCAGACCUAAUUGUUCCGUGUUGAAAAAGAAAAAGAAAGGAAAACCUGAGAAAUACAUAAAGGUUCUUAAGGCAGAGACAUGGAGUGAUACUGAAUGCGAAGAAAGUGAUGAAGAUUAUGCCAAUAUUUGUCUAAUGGCAAAAUCAGAAUCAGACUCAGACUCUGAAAUAGAUACAGACUUAGACUCGGAUAGUGAAAUUGAGGUAAGUAAUUUAAAAAUCCCUACUAAAGUCUCGAAAUACAUUGAAGAACUUUGUCUUAGUCUCAAAACCUCUCUCAAAAGGAUUUCCAAGCUAAAAAGGGAGAAUUCUACACUGAAGCAACAUGAAAUUUUUUGGAAAAAAAAAGUUUGAAAAUUUAGAUAAAAAUUUUGUUACUUUAAGAGAAAAUGCAGACUCUCUUUCAAAAGAAAAUACAUUUUUGAAAAAUGACAUUUCAGAUAUUUCAAAAAGGUUUUCAAUAGGAUCUGAGAAGUUGGAAAAUAUUCUUUCAAUACAAAGACCCUACUUUAACAAAUCAGGCUUAGGAAUGACUUCUGAAACUAUUCAUCUAAUUGAUUUUCCAAAAGUGAAGGAAAUAAUCAAAUAAAGGCCUACAAAAACUUUUUAUAGAAAUCAUUUUCAAAAAGUCUUUGUAAAAUCUGUUGGGCGAAGUGCUCUCAAAUGUUCUAAGUGCAACAGCUCAUAACACUUUGAGAAAGAAUGUCCUAGUUUGGAGACCUGUUAAAAGGGAAUGGGUAAAGACUGCUUUUUGCAUUAACUCCUCUGGACCCAAGAAAAUGUGGGUACAAAAAAAAAACUUGAGUUUCUUUUUUAAUUGCAGGUCACGAUUAAGAAAAAAAGUUAGAUGAUAUUUGGAUAGUGGCUGUUCAAGGCAUAUGACUAGAGAUUCAAGCUGUUUUAUAAAACUUGUGCAAAUACAUGGUGGAAAAGUCUCUUUUGGUGGAGACAAUAAAUGAAGAAUUGUUGGAUGUGGUACUGUAAAAAUUGGAAGUCUCACAAUCAACAAUGUUUCCUUGGUGGAAGGACUUAAUUACAAUUUGCUCAGUAUUAGACAAUUGUGCGACACUGGAUUCAAAAUCAAUUUUCAAGAAGGAAUAUGUUCGGGAACAAGCAAAGAUCUUUCACAAUCUUUUACUAGACGAAGACAUGGGAACAUCUAUCCUCUAGAUAUAAAACCAGAGAAAUCUCUAUGUCUAAUUUCAAUUCAAGAUGAAGCAAAUCUUUGGCAUCGAAAGCUUGGCCAUGUCAACAUGAAGCAGAUUGCCAAGAUCUCUUCUAAGAACCUUGUUCGAGGGCUGCCUAACCUAAAGUUUCAAAAAUUUGAUUUAUGCACACCAUGUAUUGGGAAAGCAGGUUAGAAGUUCUUUUAAAUCAAUAAAUCAGGUUUCUACUAAUCGACAUUUUGCAACUUCUGCAUAUAGGCGGAAAGAGAUAUUGUCUAAUAAUUGUGGAUGAUUAUUCAUGAUUCACUUGGGUUUACUUUCUGUCAAGUAAGUCUGAAACAUUUUCUUACUUUUCAAAAUUUGCUAAGAAAGUUCAGAACGAGAAAAUAUAUGUUAUUUCAAGCAUAUGGACAGACCAUGGAGGUGAGUUUGUAAAACAAGACUUUGCAAAAUUUAGUGAUGAAUCUGGUUUUCAACAUGUUUUCUCCUCUCUAUACAUACCAGAACAGAAUGGAGUUGUGGAAAGAAAGAAUAGAUCUUUGUAGGAGAUGGCAAGAACUCUUUUAAUAGAAAGUAAUAUUUCCUCUCAUUUUUGGGCUGGAGCAGCUUCUACAACAUGUUAUAUUAUUAACAGAGUCUUUCUAAGGCCAAUUCUGGGGAAAACUCCUUAUAAGUUAUUCAAAAGGAAAGAAGCCAAUUGUUUCUUACUUUCAUGUAAUUGAUUGCAAAUGUUUUAUUUUGAAAAAUGUAAAUGAUCGAAUUGGUAAGUUUGAAGAAAAAUCAUAUGAAUGAAUCUUCCUUGGAUAUUCAACCACCAGCAAAGCUUACAGAGUAUUCAACAAAAAGACCCAGUUUGUAGAAGAAUCUACAAAUGUCAAAUUCCAAGAUUCUUUGCAAAAUCAACUGAUUCAAACUCAUUCUAAAGAAUUUGAACCUGCUCCAAACUCUACAAAGUCUACCUCUCUUGAAGCAGCUCAGAAAAUCAACAAUGAACGGAAGCUGAAAAAUCAACUGAAGAAGAAGAUCAACAAACUGUCAGACUAACAAGCAACUGGAAGUACAAGUCCAGUCAUCCCAAAGAACUCAUCAUUGGUAACAUUGAUGAAGGGAUUCGCACAAGAUCCAAAAUGCAAGAAGAGUCUAGCGCCAUGACAUUUAUUUCUGAAAUAGAACCCAAAAGUAUAGAAGAAGUUUUAGCUGACGAAAACUGGAUUGAAGCAAUGCAAUAAGAACUCAGACAGUUCAGCAUUAAUGAUGUAUGAGAAUUAACUCCUAAACUAAAAGGUAAAUCCAUUAUUGGAGCUAAAUGAGUUUUCAAGAACAAGUUGGACAAAAAAGGAAAAGUGAUCAAGAAUAAAGCAAGACUUGUGGCCAAAUGAUAUACACAAGAAGAAGGGAUAUAUUAUGAUGAAACCUAUGCAUCGGUAGCCAGGUUAGAAGCAAUUAGAUUAUUACUUGCUUUUGCCUGUUAUAAAAAUUUCAAGUUAUUCCUAUGGACGUCAAGAGUGUAUUUCUAAAUGGAUUUAUCUAAGAAGAAGUCUAUGUGGAACAACUUCUUGGAUUUGAAGAUCUAAAGAGACCAGACUCAGUAUUCAGACUGAAAAAGGCUCUAUAUAGAUUAAAGCAAGCACCUCGAGCUUCGUAUGACAAGUUAGGUAAUUUUUUAAUGCAAAAUGGUUUUGUCAAAGGAAAAAUGGACACUACCUUGUUCAUUAAAAGGGAAGGUAAAAACUUUAUACAUGUUCAAAUUUAUGUUGAUGAUAUAAUAUUUGGGUCACCUAAUGAAAACCUGUGCAAGCAGUUUUCUAAGUCUAUGUAGGAUGAAUUUGAGAUGAGCAUGAUGAGUGAAUUAUCCUUCUUUCUCAGAUUACAAGUGAAACAAUUGAAAGAAUGAAUUUUUAUUCACCAAGAAACAUAUGCGAAAGAACUUGCUAAAAAGUUCGGAUUGAAGAAUUGCAAAAAGAAUGAGGUACCAAUGUCUAGUUCUUCGAAGCUGGAUAAAGAUGAAGGAAGAAAGAAAGUUGAUCAGAAGAUUUAUAGGAGUAUUAUUGGUUCACUUGUUUAUCUUACUGCUUCUAGACCUAACAUUUUGUUUAGUGUUUGCAUUUGUGCUAAAUUUCAAUUUGAUCCAAAAGAGUCUCAUCUAAGUGCCGCAAAACGCAUCAUCAAAUACAUUGCAACUACAAAUUUAGGUCUGUGGUAUCCCAAAAAAGAAAAAUUUACCCUCCUUGGAUAUUCAGACGCAAAUUUAGCAUGUUGCAGAGUUGAUAGAAAGAGUACAUUCGGUACAUGCCAAUUGCUGGGAAACAAGAUAGUAUCUUGAUUCUCAAGAAAGCAAAGCAUUAUAGCUCUUUCAACAUCUGAAGCAUAUUAUGUGGCUCUUGGAAGUUGUUGUUCUAAAAUCUUAUGGAUAAAAUAACAACUAAGAGACUUUGGAAUCGAAGACUCAUGCACCGAGAUCAAAUGUGAUAAUACCAGCACAAUCAAUCUAACAAAGAAUCCAAUUCUUCAUUCAAGAGCAAAGCACAUAGAGAUUCGACAUCACUUUAUUAGAGAUCAUGUUCAAAGUGGAGAAGUUAUGAUUCAAUUCAUUGAUUCAAAGAAUCAACUGGCGAACAUAUUUACAAAGCCACUGGAAAAAAGCCUAUUUGAGUCUAUUCGCACCAGACUAAACAUUACAUCUAUUAUCUAUUAAAGUCUGAAGGAGCUUAGACUUAUAAAGUUUGAAGGUGUUUAAACUCAGAAGACCAAGAGUUACGACUAUAAGUUAUUUCUAUUCCAGUAUUUUAAACUUGAAAAUGUACGAUUACUUAUUAAUUGCUAAUUGGUUGAAAUUAUCUUUCUAAGUUUUUUCUCUUUCAAAAAUGCAGUUAUCAAUUUUGAAAAGAUAGUUAUUUUCAAAAAAGAAGUUAUUCUUUUUCGAAAUGGUAUUUUUAUUUUUCAUUUUACGAUGUUUCGUUUACCUCGCUUCACUUGCUUUAUAUACUGCCAAGAUUCUUCUUCUUCGUUUUUACACUGAAACCCUAGAAUACAAAAUUUCCACUUGCUUUCACUUUCACUCUCAAUUUGUCCAAAAGUUUUCACAUUUUUCGAGCAGGUUUGUGAAUUUCUCUCUUGAAGUGACAAUGUCUUCGAGAAAGUCUUCAAGGAUUGUAAGCAGGGGACCACGACAUAUGCCUGAGAGUCCUAUGCAUUUCGACUUGACUGAGGAAGAAGAUUCUUCUCCACCACUACGUCCGAGUUAGCAAUAGCCUUCUCAGCAACGUUAGUCUUCUCCACCGACUCAACCAAACGAAGAAUUUAUAGAAGGGGCCGAACCUGUAAGAAUGCUAACUCCCAAGGUUGCUUACAAACUUUACUCUAAUUUGAAGAAAGGAGGAACACCAAUGUCUUUGAUCAAUGAAUUUUUAAGAGAUAGAGGAUACAAGAAUGAAACCUUGUUCUUGUGGGAGUUGGGGAGGUUAGGAGUUGUAGACUGAGGGAUGGUUGAAAGAACGUUUGCAAAUUUUUCCGAGUGAUCCAUUCUAUGGCACUGCAAAUCAACCACAAGGAUUGGACGAUAAUGAACGGAUGUUUAUCCAUUUUCAGCUCAGAACAAGUGUUGCUACAAAUGUUGUUAGUGACGAUUAAAAUCUUUUCAGAUCGAAGAAUCACUAGAAAGCUUAUUCAAACCUAAUGAAGAGAGGGGUUAUGAACCCUAGGAGUGUUGACUUUGAUUUCCUUGAUUCGGUAAAAGUCAAUCUGCGAGAGAAGCUUGCUCUACUGCAAUUGGAGCGCUUUUGUUCUGAAUCCACUGUUGCUUAUUAUAAACUCACUGUCUACUUUUACUCGAACUUAUCUUUCUUGGAUGCGAAUAGUUUCUCUUUCACAGUGAAGGACAAACAAUUUUUGGUAGAUAUGGACACUUUGGUUGACAUAAUUGGGGUGGAAAGAACAAGUUUCCAACCAAUUAGUGUGUCUAUUGCUCAUGCUACUCUGUCGUUGGUGAAAGAUAGGGAUGUUAAAAGGAAGAUUUCCUACUUAAGGAUGAAUGCCUCUAACAUCUUGCUGGACAGAUCGUAAUCAACUGCAUUCGUCCAAAGUCGACAUCCAAGACUGAUGUCUCUCGAUCUGAAGCGAAAUUGAUGUAUGCUAUCAAUGCUAGAUUUAAAUUCUCUUUGCCUCACACCAUCUUGUUUCAUAUGUACCAAACAGUGGUGAAGGAUAAGGGACAACUCCCUUAUUCUGCUCUUAUCACACGUCUCUUUAGACACUUGAAAAUUCACAUUUCUACACCAUUAUUUUUUACAACCAUCUCUCUAAUGGUGAUUGGUUUUAAAAUGGUCACAAAAAUGCGUUUGAAAGAGCUGAACAAGGUGUUGAAGCGUAUGAAAGAAAAGUCUCUCGUCAAAGCAAAACAAAACUCUGCUGCAGCGAAAAAGAAAGGUAAGGAGCCCAUGGUUGCUUGAGUAAAGAAGAAAAUAACUCUCAUCUUGCAAAAUGAAGAAGAUGAGGAUAAAAUGACUCUUUCAGCCUUAAGAAACUUAAAGAGUUUUAUCAGCUUUCAUGAGACAAGAGAAGAGCCAGAAGAAGGAAAAAAAGAGAGAAGAAACAGAGAAGGAUAGAGGAAGAAAGAAGAGAAGAGGAAGAAGAAGAAGAAGAAGAAGAAGAGGAGAGAGAAUGAGAAAAAGAUCAGGGUCAAGAAGACUCUUUUGAGCCAACUUUGGUUGUCUCCCUGUCUAAUAACUCUGAGGUGGAAGAAAUUGGAACUUCUGACAUGCAUCACUCUGAAGCUGAAGUUGAUCGAGAAGCAAUCUUACUUACUCCACCUGAAGGCAACCAAACAAGGGGAGCUAUUGGACCAAAAGGUAUUUCUUCACCGAUAUUUACUAGUGAUGUAAGUCGUUCUACAACAGACCCAAAGUAUGUGUGCCUCUCAUUAUCCAGAAGUUUCCACUCAUAGUCAUGGUGGCCAAUCUGUUGAAGCUCCAUCCAUUCUCAAAAUCCCUAGAAUCGACUCAGUUGGUCCUAGUGCUGCAACAGCUCAAAAAGCAGACUUUUCGAGAGUGCUAGAAAUUUUAUUAGAUCCAAGGAAGCAACAAUAUGCUAUGGGGUAUGAGAUGCAUGAUCUCAAGAAUGCUUUCAUGGCCACUUCAGUGUCUUUACACGAUCAGUUAAACGCCCUGAAGAAUCAAGUGCAGACUACUGUGCAGGGUGAAGAUUUUCAAUCACUGAAGUAGAGUUUUGAAAGGCUUGAGAAGACAGUGCAUUCUAUGGGAGAAUUCGAGCUUGUUCGCCUUCCCAAACAACUUUGAUUCUCUCUAUUUUCAACCAGCUCUUUUUAUUUGUUCUCCACUUUUUUGUUGUUGACAAAAAGGGGGAGAGGUUUGAUGCAUAUUUGAUAACUUUUUUACUAUUGGACUUAUCUUUUGUUUGGUUUGGUUGUGAUUUGGACUGGUUUGGACUGAUGAUGCUUGCAAGUAACUUAAGCUAUAGCUAUGUUAUUGAUUAUGGUAAAGAUAGUUGCUUUUAUAGGACUAACAUGUCUUCUAUGGUUGCAGAAUCACUACUAUCAUUAUCCUAAUCUCUACUUAUCUUUUAUAAGAAAUUUUGGUUUGCUUAAGUGUUGUUUCAUAGGGUAAAGUGUCCAAAUCUGCGGGAAAGUUUUAUCACUAUAAAAAAUGGGGAGAUUGUUAGAGAAAACUUCUCUGUUUUGAAGUUGACAAAACGUUUCUAUCAGUCUAGUCUAAAGACUUGCAGACUCUAUCGUCAAUAUUUGAAGACCUCUAGACUUAAGAUUUAAAAUCUACCAUCAUUGAUAGUUUCCAGAUCGAUGAAGAAAAGAUUUAUCUGAUGAAGAAAAUUUAUCCAGAUGCAAGUAUAUCUUUAAGGAUUUUGUUCGUAUGAUUGAAGAAGAUCUCACGGCUGGAUAUAGCAUCUCAUGAUUAAUUAUUCUUAUUGAAAUCAAUUUGUCGCGACCCAAUUUUUCAGGUGCCGAACCUAAAGCUAGUUUAAUGGAUUGCUAAGUUUUUAAGCUUAGCUCGGGCUCUCCCAAACCCAUACCAAUUCGCGACUUAAGGUCAAUAUUUAGCAUGCAAAUGAAUUUUAACUAGGAGUCGCCACUAAUCGGUUUAUGGUAGGUCGAUUAGACACCUAAGUAAAAUAAUGAGAGAAUUACUUUACUCCUACGAACCAGAGACUAAGGGUAUGGGGACUUGGUUACAUUAGAUUUCUCUAAUGCCCUUUCGGUACCAUUCUUUUUAUUUUCAAAAAUGUUUUUUGCAGGCAACUGAUUUAUUUUAACCUAAAUUACUAUCAUGCAAAGCGAUCAUGCGGGUGCGCAAAUUACCAAUUUAACACCUAAGAAAGCAAUUAAAUAAUGCAGAACUUACCUCAAAGCAACGAAAGCAUCUGCAUUGUUAAAUUAAAAUCCACAUCAAUAACCCUAGAUAUGAUUUCUAAUUAACACGCAAUCUCAAUUUUUGUUUUCGCUUUAUUUAAUGAAAAUCAUGCGAUGCAUGCUAAUAAUCUAAUAUGACAUGGCAGCACGACCUAAACUAUAUGACAUGAAGAAAUGCAAUAAUUAAAUGCAAUAUAAAUGACCUAAUUCUAAUGACAUGCAAUGCAAUGCAAUGACAUACAAAAUUAUUUCUACUAAAAUGACACGCAACACGCAACUUAAUAUGCAAGCUAUAUGUCACGUGACAUUUAUUAAAUGACAUAGUCUAAUGACGAGGAAGUUUUAAUUAAAUGAAUCUAGUAAUCACUAAAUGACGUGUAUUUCAUGAACCUAAAUCUAUAUGAUGUGCACAUGAUCAUUCCUAACAAAAGCGUGCAAUAUAUUUGGGAGAAAUUAUCUAAACCUAUAAUAUACAAUCCUAACAUGCCAUGACAUGCAAAGAAUGCCCUAAUUCUACAUGACAUAUGCCUGAUCUUUUUUAUGUUUUUUAUUUAUUUAUAAAAUUCGAAAUUUAAAAUUGCCACGUGAUUAAACAUGCAACUUAAAUUAAAAUUGCCACGUGAUUAAACAUCCUAAAUGAAUGCAUUUUUUAUUUUAUAUUUUUUCUAAAUUCGAAAUAAAAUCCCUAUUCCAGAUAUGCAUGAUAACAAGAAAUAUUUCAAAACAAACUGAAUCCUAAUUUAAAUAUUUUUUGGAUUUUUUCAAUGGUUCUCCAAAACAAACAAUUAUCAAAUAAACAUUGUAUUUAAACUAAUCAAGGCAUCCAAUCAUAUAAAUGAUUAAAAUAAUCGAAAAAAUAACAUGUUGUCUAACAGAUCAAAUUAACAAUUAUUCUAACCCUGAAUAUCACGACAAGAAGUUCAAAAUAAUUAAAAAUCUAAUCCGAAGUCUUACGGAUCAAAUUAAUAAUUAUAUUGAUUCAACAAUUAAGAUACUAUCAACAAACCCAAAAAUUAAUAUAAUUAAAAAAAAUGAGCCGACAUCUUACGAGUCAAAUUAAUAAUUACAAUAAUUUUAGGGAUAACUCCUACCGAUAAUGCCUACAAUAUCCAUAAAAUAACGCCCAAUCCUCUAAAUUACCUAGUAACAAGUAAAUUUGAUAAAAUAAAUAAAUAAAUAAAACUACCUAAGGUAGAGAACCAAAGGGAGGAAGGCAGCACGAUGGGUAUGGGCGCAACAACAGUUGCUGAUCGGCGCCAAAACUUCAGCGGGGAUGACGACGAAGCACGGGUGAAGCGACCAAUGCUCAGACACAGGCAAAAGGGGCGCGAGAUCUGAAAAUCACAGUGAUUGCGAAGGCGGGUCUAGCUGCAGGAACGGCAGAGAACUCCGGGGCGUGCGUUGCAGGCGUAGGGCUCCAGAUCCAGUUCGGGUGGUCACUCGAAGGGCAGAGAGGUGAUCGAUCAACAGAUCUCAGACCGACGAGUAGAACCCAAACGGCUGCAAGAGUGUGUACGCGUUGGUAUGGACGACAGAGGUGUCGAGUGAACUUGGGAUCAAUCGGGAUGAGGCGAGGGCUCGGACUUUGGAGGCUGGGCGACGGGCCGCUCCGAACAGCAGGUGGAUUGCAGGUCUUUGGCUCCGAGCAACAGGUGUCGCGAUUUAGGCGAGGCCGGGGAGCAGCAUUCGGUUGUUGGUGCAGGACCGACUCAGGUGAGCGGGGGCGUCAGGCUUGGCUGCAAUGGGCUUUAGGUCACAGCAGCGGCGAAGAUGGUCUCUGGCGGCAAUGAACAGCAGGAUCUUGGGUCGGCGUGGCACGGGGAGGCGUUGGGCGACAACGGGUCAUCGAAAUCGUGGGUCGGCGCGGCACGAACGGGAGAGCUCGGGCGGAUACUGGUGGGGCUUCGAGCAAUGUGGCCGCGGCUGGCCUCGGCUUCCAGGCGGCGUCGGCGUGGCAAGACGGCAGCGGCUAGCAGGCAACGUCGGUGGCCGAUCAGGAUGCUGGCGGAGUGACGGUGGGCGCGGGGGUCUUCGCGGAUGGAAGUUGCAAGGGGUGCGAGCAAAGGGGGUCGGUGGUUCACCGAAGAAGAAGCACAGUGUUUUCUCUCUCCUCUGCUGGCCUCCUCACGUCACUUUCCUCUCUGCUUUUCAUUGUUGCACUUUUUCUCCUCCCUAAAGCUCGAAAACUCUCGCUUCUCUUCUCUCUCACGUCACUCUCCUGCUGACUUUUUCCUUUUCUCUGCAGUUUGUCAAGAAAAGAAAAGAGAAAAAGCUCUCUUUUGACUAAAGAUGGACGAGGAAGAAAGCCUUUUCUUUCUCUUUUUACUUCUCACUUCUUUUUCCCCCUUUCAACGAAGAGAACCCUCGAAAAGCCCCCCUUUCUCUCACCGUACACGAUUGCUUCUAUAGGUAAAAAUAGGUGAUCUUCUUAGAAUAUUUUAUCUCGCUUUUUCAAUAUACACAAAGAUAAUCUAUAACCUCCCGAUCACCCAAAAUCCUCUUAUUUUCCUUAUCUCCUUAAUAUUCCAAACGAUCUUAUCACCUAAAGACUAAAAAUAAGAUUGCGACCUAAUUCCAAAAACCACCGUAAUAUCGCAUAAAAUCUCAAUUUCCCACGAGAUAAUUAAUUUAAAAAAUAACGGGCUUUGGCUAAUUUACUCCUUUUGCGGGCCUAAUCUGGCCUGCCAAGCUAGAGCUCAGAAAUAUUAACUCACACCCCUCCACCACCAGUCCUAAAAAAUAAAAUGCAAAUAUGCAGACUAAAAAUAAAUGCAUCUAAAUUUAUAUGCUAUGCAAUUAAUAUUUUUUUAGGGAUAAAAUUACCCAUAAUUUUCUAUGCAAUAAAUAAAUGUUCGACUCGUCAAAAUUUAGGUAUCAGCACAAUUUGAAUAAUUAAAUCUGUUGAUUGGUGAAGUAUACUUGGAAGAUUCUACUUAUGGAAACCUAGAUCCUGAUUGCAUGGGCGAGCAUGAUUGGUGGGCUAUCAUCACAUUUCUUAAAUAACUCGAGAUCUUCUUAAUUGAUUCUAUCCAACGGAUAGAUUGGAAGAACUCAUUUGUAAGGUGCCAAUGGUUAUAAUGGCAUGGAGGAGUAUAUAAGGAGGACGUUCUAGUUAUUCGAGUGUGUGCGUGAAAGAAAAUUUUCAAAGUCUAAAGCUCUUAGUUCUUCGCCGUUUCAAUUUGUCAAGCUUAAAUUGUACUCAAAAGAGAGAUUAAAUACUUGUGAGACCUUGAGGAAGUGUAGUAGAGUCUCUACACUGUGGAAUCAAUGACGUGAGACUGUAAAAUUUCUUUUGGUUUUUAGUGGAAUCCAGCCAGUGGGCUGUCAGUGUGGAAGAGUGGACGUAAGCUUGGUGUAAGCCGAACCACUAUAAACCUUGUGUUUCAAUUCUCUUUCCCUAAAUUCUUUACUUUAAUUCGUAGUCUUAUAUAACUGUUUACAAUCUUUUAUAUCUUCAGUCUACUAUUUUCAUAAAGGUCGAAUUAAGUUGUUAAGUCUGACAAAAACCUCUUUAACACCUAUUGACCCCCCCCCCCCUCUCUAGGAGAUUUUACUAGCUUUAUCAAAUUCAUUCUUGAAAAAUGUUUUAGACAUCCUCAGAUAUGACAUAUAUUUUAUUCAAGAUUUUAGGCAUUUAAAAAAAAGGAGAUUUUAGCUCCGUCAUUUGAAAACCGAACCUUUGUUUUUUCUGGGACUUGUGAUCUUUUGGGAUUCACUGGAUUUUUAUCAACUCUUAGAGUUCGAAUUUCAAAAUUAUUUCUAUAUAAAAGUUGUUUGUCACAUCUUGUAGUUUAACAUAGUCAAAUUUCAGAUCAAAUGGACAAGUUUCAGAUCUCGAAUCAAGCUGGUUUUGGAAAACGUGAUUUCUAGAAACGGACCCAGUUUUUAUAUUGGAUUGAGCAAUUUAUUGGGCCUAAUCUAAAAGGAUCUGGGUUGAGGUGUCUCAUAAAAAAAUGUUUUUUUACGUGUCAUUUACAACAUAUUCAAAUUUGAGAAUUUUCCGAACUCGUUCAAUUAGGUUUCUAGAUUUAAACUUGGAGACGCGCGAGUGGACCGUUUCUGCCGGUUAGGAUCGAUAGUAGUUUGUGAUUGUUCUUGAUACUUUGUUUGCUAGAAAUUGGAAAUUUGGUGAUGUGGUUGACCUGUGAUAUGCUUAAAAGUUAUGCGUGAUGAUGCGCAGAUGGUUGUGCCAUGAUUGUGGUUUAUUGUUAUUGCUUCAUAUGGCGACUAUUGAAAGGGGAUGAGAUGUGUUGAGAAAACCGAAUGGUUGUGAGCAAAUAAAGGACUAAGUGUGUACGAUAACAAAACUUCGUAUGAGCCACCUCUAGAACCUUGUACCAUUGCUUAUGAUAGUCGAGAACUAAAUGAUACACUACAGCAUGGGAGCCACCUCUAGUAACUUAAGCUUUUGCUUAUGAUAGUCAAGAAUUAAGUGCUACACGACAGCGUGACUACGUGGGAGCCAUCUCUAGUAACUUGAGCUAUUGCUUAUUGUGGUCAGGGACUAAGUGCCACACGAUAUUGGAACUUCGUGGGAGGAGAGCACCUCUCGAACCUUGAGUCUAAUUUCAAGUUUAAGUAUUGAGUUGGAUAUCGAGAGUGAAUAUCGGGUGUGGAUUGAGCCAUCGAUAUGAGUUAUCCGCAUUUGAUUAUGGGACGAACUCGUGUGGCAUGGAAUGGGACGUGUCAUAACGAUUUGGCCCUAUAAUAGGGACUUCUGUGAAUAUUCGAUGAGUGUUAUGAAGUGUUCCAAUUGCUAAUUAUGCAUGAUGCGUUUAUGAGUGCAUAUGAGAUGUACUAAUGUGCAGAGAUGUGCCCAAGCAAGAUACGUUCUGGAUAGUGUAUGUUUAGGACGCCUUUGAGUGAAUUCUCACCCUAGUCGGGGCUUAGGAUUUAACUCGCUGAGAUUUUUAUCUCACCCCAUUGUGGGUUACCCUAUUCAGGUACCUAGGGUGGAGAACCCGGAGCCAAGACUGCAGGAUCAAGAGCGUAGGUAGUUCAGUAGUUCUUUUCGAACCAGACUUAUGCAUAUAGACUGGUAGGACCAACUUGAGAUGUUUGUAAAGUGUGUUUUGAGAAAAAUUGGUUGUCCUGCUUUCCUAUCACAUGUUUGUUGUUGUCUGGGAUUUAUGAGUUCGCUUCCGCAUGUGCACAAAACGAAAGGGUCGGCGCAAAAUUUUAGUCAACCGCCAAGGGAUGUGCACGUGCCCGGGGUUCGGGGCAUGACAAGUUGUGUUAGAGAAUCCCCACAUUAGAGAAGUGGUGUAAUGUUAAGCAAUUAAUAUAUAUUGUUCAUAACUCAUUAGCUUAAGCUUUUUUAAUGAAAGUGGAUCCAAUUAAAUAUGUUUACGAGCUUGAGCUCUCUUUUAGUGAAUUUCCUGGGUGAAUAUAUCUGGUUUCUACUGCGUGCUCCCAACAAAAGUUAUGAUAUUGUAAUAGAGUUGGUUCAUGACAUGCAAUCACUAUUGACGCACCCUUAACAAAAUAAAUGAUAAUCUUGACUAAAUUGCUAAUAAAUAAAUAAAUAAAAACGAAUGUCCACUUGAAAUAAAAAAUUCAACAAAGAAAAAAUAUGGAAGGUAAAAAAAUGUCAUGGUAUAAUUAUUCGAUUGUGGAGAACCAGGUGACUGAAAUAUCUAAAUGUGAUACUGAAAGAGUAAGAGUUCUGUAAAAUGUAAAAAAUAAUUAAUCUACGGAGAGAAUAAAAGUGAUUCAAGCGAUGGGGUGAUGAUCAGAUAAUCUUUAGGCAUGAUGCUGCAUAGAGAAAUAUUUUUUUUAGAGAAAUUUCUAGGGAAAAAACUUAGAUUGUGGAUGAAAAAUAUUUGAAUAUCAACUGUCUUACCAGCGAAUCGUAUAUAAUCUGGCCAUUGAUAUGUAUCUAUUAUUGACUCAUCUAGAUCGGCAUGAGGAGCAUGCUUGUAUUGCGUCGUCAGUUUUACUUUACAUUAUUCUUAUUAAUAGAAGAAGCAAGUGUAAGUCAAAGUCAAGUGGUGCUGGAUAUCAAGUCUCUACCAAAGCACCGCAAAAUUCCAAGCACCUUCCGCAUAAUGCGUUGAAAAUCACGCGUAAUACAAAUUAAAUUGAUUUUGCAUGUAGAAGUUAAGCAAAUAAAAAUUCAUUUAAUUGAUGAGGUAAACUACUACACUCAAUCCAUUUAAUAUUUAAAAAAAAAAUUAUUUACAAGAAAGCCUAUCCUCGUGUACGCCAGAAUUUCUCAUUGGUUUUCUUUUUUCAUUUUUUUAUUAAUGGAAACGACAAGUCAAAGUCGAGAAGCGCCUGCACGGGUUCCAAGCACCUUCCACGUUUACGUGCGAUGAUUCCCCUUUCCUUGCGGCAUAUAUCUCUGCACGAGGGUCGUGGACCGUCGGACGGCAAUAGCCAAGCAUUGCUCAAGACCGCAUAGCAGAAAGAAAAUUUUGUGUGGUGGGAAACAGACAUCGAUGAUUCCACGCACCAUCCACGUUUACGUGCGAUGAUUCCCCUUUCGUUGGAGCAUAUAUCUCUGCACGAAGGCCGUGGACCGUCGGAUGGCAAUAGCCAAGCAUUACUCAAGACCGCAUAGCAGAAAGAAAAUUUUGCGUGGUGGGAAACAGACGUCGAAAGGCUGAGAAAUCGGUGGAGAUUUCAGCAGUGGAGCAGUGGGUGGGUUGUGUAGUUUGGGCACUUCCCGGGUAAUCGAUGGCUCCUUCCUCCUUUUCUUUUCUCUGGUUCUGCUUCGAGUGCUCCAUUUUCUUCUGAUUAAGGUUCUCGUUUUCCUUUUUUUUUUCUUUUUUUUUUCUUAUUUUGGGAGUUGAUGUCGCUCUGAAUUGGGUUCUGAGAGAAAUUUCUGCAAUUCGCAGAUCUGGAUAGUGAAAUCUUGCUUUCUCUUAAGGCUCUACUCGAUCAAAUCUCUUAUAAGGAUCUUCUGGGUCAAUCCGUGCGUGAUGCUUUCAGAAGAUCCGAAUUUCGAGGCGUCUUCCUCAUCGACCCCUACACAUGAAGGAGCUAAUGAAGGUGGAGACGAACAGCAGAGAGGGGUUGAGUAUGAAGUAUUCUUGAGCUUUAGAGGGACGGAUACUCGUAAAGGUUUCACUGAUCAUCUCUAUACAAAUCUUAUCAAAGAAGGAAUUCACGCAUUCAGAGAUGACAAUGAGCUCCGUGUUGGUGACGAGAUUGGUCCAGAACUUAUAUCCAGUAUUACACAGUCUAAGAUCUCGAUCCCAAUUAUCUCGGAGAACUAUGCUUCGAGCAAAUGGUGCCUCCGCGAGCUGGCUCAGAUAUUAAAGUGCAAGAGAAGUGGAGGGCAAAUAGUGUUGCCCAUAUUUUACAAAGUGGAACCCUCACAGGUGCGACACCUUAUAGGGGGAAUGGGAGAUGCUAUCAAUGCAUUCAAAAAGAAUUUGGACAAAAUGGUUGUGAAGGAAUGGGAAGAUGCACUCAAAGAAGUUAGUUCCUUGAAAGGAUGGGAAUCGGAGAAAAUUGAAAACGGGUACAUUAUUUUCCAUCAAUACAUUAGUUUCUCCUACAUAGAUCUUACUAGAAAUGGAAUAUAUAUAUAUAUAUAUAUAUAUAUAUAUAUAUAUAUGUAUAUAUAUAUUGCCAUAAUAUAUCAAAAUUUAUAUUUUUCAUGUCACAGGCAUGACAAUGGUUGUCGGAAGAGUUAUGAGCGAGUUAACAAGAUUAUUUCAACUAAAUGUUCCUGAACAAUUGGUGGGAAUUGACAAUCGUGCAGAACAGAUUAUGAGCAAGAUAGAUUCUAAAUUCAAUGGUACAUGGAUUAUCGGGAUUUAUGGAAUGGGCGGCAUCGGUAAGACAACUCUUGCAAAGGUAUUAUACAACAAACUCUCUAGUCAAUUUGAGGGUCGUAGCUUUGUGGCAAAUAUUCGAGAGACAUCUCAACAUGAGGGCAUUAAAUUCCUACAAAAGCAACUAAUUUCUUCUAUAACGAAAAAAACAUGUGACGUGUCUAAUGUUGACGAGGGAAUCGGUAUCAUCAAAUCCCAAUUUACAAGUAAGAAAUGUCUCAUUCUUCUUGAUGAUAUGGAUGAUAAUACUCAGUUGCAAGCUUUGGCUAGAGAUGGUAGUUGGUUUAAAGCUGGAAGUAUAGUCAUCAUAACAACUAGAAAUAAGAGUAUUCUUGAUGAAGCUAGGGCAAGCUACAUGUACCAACUAGAUGAGUUACCUUUUGAUCAAUCAUUGAUCUUAUUUAGUCGACAUGCGUUUGGGAAGGAUUCUCCUCCAAGUGAUUAUGAGGUUAUAUCUCGUGAUGUCGUAUCUACUACUGGGUGUCUUCCCUUAGCUCUUGAAGCGAUAGGUUCAUCCUUAUUUGGAAAGGCAAAAGAAGCAUGGAAAGAUGCAUCGAAGAAAUUGAAGAAUGUGCCUGAUAAGAAAGUGCAAGAGUCGUUGAGGAUUAGCUAUGAUGCAUUAGAUGAAGAUGUCCAACAAAUAUUUUUGGAUAUUGCGUGUUUUUUUAACAGAUCAUCUAAACAAAUUCCGACUUAUAUGUGGGAUGCUUGUAACUUUUUCCCGGGGAAGGGGAUUGAAUUAUUAAGUCUCAUGUCCCUAAUCAAAAUCGACAAGGAUGGCAAAAUAAUGAUGCAUGAUCAACUGAGAGAUCUUGGAAAGGAAAUUGUUCGUCAAGAAAAUCAAGAGAAGCCUCAAAAGCGUAGCAGAUUAUGGAAUGAGGAAGCCAAAGAUGUGCUUGACAACAACAAGGUAAGUUUUCUCUACUUGUCUUAGUUGGUGAAUGUGAAUCCACGUUCUCUUUCUUGUUUGCAAUGAAAUUAUUGUCAGUCUUGAGUCCCUAAAACUUACCGUUUCUACUAGCAAAAGAGAUCUUUUGAUUAAUUAUUGUCGUUGCCUGAUCUUAGGACAUAAUUGAGGAACAAUUUAUUGGUUAUUGAUGAUAAGUGUUGUGAUGAGGGCACUCUCUUUUGGUAACUUCAAUGGAACAACAAAACUACAAUAACAUAAUGUUUGAAAAACACUUUUAGUGAAAACUUGACAUUUAUAAAGUGUCGGAGGUCAUGCUUUUCUCACUUAUCCAUUUGAUGCACGUAUUUGAUGUCUUCUUUUGAUUUCUUGUGAGGUGUUUUCUUUCUAUUCUUUUACCGAGCAUUGACUUCUGUUUUGACGAUUAGCUGUUAUUGUUGCUGUAUUUUUCAAGUUCAAUUAAAUACCGAUUUAGUCCCUUAAGUAUCACCAUUUGUGUGAUUUAGCCCCUAUCUAUUUUUUUUCUCAAGGUAGUGUGAUCAGAUUAAGUUAAUCACAUAUUUACAUCCUAAUUAACCCUGUAAGAUUAUGAGAUAUUACAUUACAGUAGAAAAUGUGAAGUAAAUAUUAAAUAUUGUGCAUAGAAUAAGACUUCGACUGCCAUAACAUUCUACAACAUUUGAAAAGGAGAGAAUGUAAACAUUCUUUCCGUGCAAUAUAAAAAGGACGACGUUGUAUAAAUUGUCACUAAGAAAAUAAAGUAAAAGAAAUUGCAUAAAGAAGUAUGUGUUAUUAAGAAAUGAACAUAAAAAGUGGAAACACAAAUGGAAGUAACUCAGGAAUAUUAAUAAAUAAUUAAAUAAUGUGUUGAAGGGGACAUAUUGUGGGAGGUCAUUCGAUUUUAAGAUAUAGGAAGGUUAUUCAUGGUGGUCAAAUUGGAAAUUUUAAAAUUUUACUAGUAAAGAUUAAACAUGCGUUGCAAGUGAAUAGUCAUUUCUCCUUUUUCUUAGGUAGGUAGAAAAUUGUUGAGUUAUGAGCAGUGACAUAGCUCCAAAGAUUUAUGAUACGUAUUUCAUCAUUUAGCAAAAGAAGGAACUUAUCUGUAGAAGAAUUUUAUUGUACACGUGAAGUCGAGUCUGUUGAAAUUAAAUGUGGUCAUGCAAUGUGUUUAGUGGAGAAAGAAGAGGAAUUGCAAAUUAAAUAAUAAACAUGCUCUUUCAAACACAAACACCUACUAAUUUCUCAUUACAAAAAUCAAAAGAAAUGCAUCUAUUCAAACUUGCUUGUUUCAAAAAAGAUGUCUAUUAAUGUAAACAUCAAAGAGGUAGAUUAUUAUAGGAACUCUCCUUUCAUUUUCAUCUUACUACUGAGAAUUGUUAACAAGGUACACCAGAAAAAGAGUGGAUUGUACAUUUGGAAUUCUGUAACCUUGGUACAUGUUUUCAUGGCAAGUUUGAUAGAUCUAAUUGGACUGUAAGAUUCAUGUUGCUUUAUGUAUAGCGGAUGCGAGUUUGCGUUUUGUUCUUUCACAUGUAAAUGGCGCGAAUUUCGAUAGAUACAUUUGAACUAGUGUGUAAAAAGAGAAGCCUUUUAUGAAAGAGGAUUUAGUUUGGAGAAUUCAAAAGGAGAAAAUCGUGGAAGGCAUUAGAAGAGGAAAGUACGGAAACACUCUCUUGAGCAUCACAUUUUCACAUAAAUAAGACAUGCAACCACAGCCUGUCAUGAGAGAAGCCUGCACCAUAAUAGUGUGACAACAAAUCGAAAUUAGUCCAUCUUCUUUUUAUAUACAAUUAGCCUCAACUCAUCAUGCAAAAUUUACUAUCCUUAAUGUUUACGAAUUGCAGGGCACUUGUAAGAUCGAGAUCCUUCAAAUAGGCUAUAGCUGGGGAAAAAGUUACACAUUUGAACAAUUCAAAGAAUUGACUAACUUGAGAUUCCUUCAAAUGGAGUUUGCAAGUCUCGCUGGAGAUUUUCAAAAUUUGCUUCCUAAUUUAAGAUGGCUUCAAUGGCAAACUACUUCCUGGAAUUUUGCAGCAGCUAACUUUCAGCCGAAGAAGUUAGUGGUGCUCGAUUUAUCGGGGAGUGGGAUUUCGGAUGACUGGAGAGGAUGGGAUCCAUUCAAGGUAAGUUGCAGAGAAAGCAUACCUUUUAUGAAUAAUAACGUGUUGUCAAAGGUCUAAUAGUACCAAGUUUUGCUUUCUUCUUUUGGAAAGAAACAUUUAAACAUUGGUGACACAGCCAAGCCAAACACUACUGCUUAAGAAACAUUUAAGUAAAACGCACAUGAAGUAAUGGGGCAUCAGAGUAAUGAUAGCAUGGAACCGAGCUAUGAGACAUUUAUAUAGUUUUGAGGAAGUCUAAAUAAAAGGAAUACUAGAGCAUGCGUAUUUUUUUUUAGGAAUUUUAAAAAGUCUUGAAAAGAGCAAGGAGAAGUGGAAAAUCACAUGUUGCAGAGGUCUAAUGUCAUUGAGGUAUCCUCCCUUUCUUUCAGAUGGCAAUCGAGCUCAAAGUUCUCAACCUCUCGAAGUGUCAUUACUUAAGAAGAACUCCUGACCUGUUCGCUUUCAAAAGCUUGGAGAUUUUGAAUCUGGAAGAUUGUGGGAAUUUAGAAGAGAUUCAUCCUUCUAUUGAAGAUAUGAAGACCCUCCUCUCCUUGAAUGUCAAGAGAUGCCAUAGAUUGAAAGAGCUACCAGCAGGAGUAGGUAGAAUGGAAGAAUUGAGGGAGCUUCUUUUAGAUGGUACUGCUAUACAAGAUAUCCCUAUUUCAAGAGGUUGUUUGAUGAAGCUAGAGACUCUAAGUGCCUCAUGGUGUAAACAACUUGCUCAACUUCCAGAAUCGAUGGGCUCCAUUGUGUCGUUAACUCAACUAAACUUAUCUUUUUCAGGGAUUAAAAGAUUACCAAAAUCCACAGGUUCCCUUACAUCGUUGACUCAAUUGAACCUAUCUCAGACAAGGAUUAAAAGGUUACCUAAAUCCAUUAGUUCUUUGAAGGAGCUCAUGACUCUUGAUGUCUCUAAUUGUGCGUCAUUAGUCCACAUAACUAGCUCCAUAGGCCAUCUAACAUCUUUGCGAUGCUUGUUGCUACGAGGUUGCCCCUCAUUAACAAAAAUUCCUGAUUCAAUCGGAAAGUUGGCAUCAUUAACUAAGUUGGAUUUAAGAUGGACAUCAAUUGCGGAAUUACCUGAAAGUGUUGAGGAUUUGCAGAAUUUGAGGAUCUUGGACAUUCGUGAAACUCACAUAACGAAAGUGCCAGGUUCCAUCAGAAUGAGAGAAGGCUUGUUGGCUUGAGCAUGUGUUGCUCCUACAGUUGAACAAUCUUUUUAGAGGAAGAAAAGAUUUAUGUGUGAAAAUGUUCAAGCACACAACGACAAACUGAUGAAGACAACUCCCCCAGCAUCUUAAUGGAAUUGCCUGGUGUGGUCAGAAUGUUGACUCGUUUUGUGAAAUAAUUUCAGGCCUAGGUCGCCUUAAGAUCUCCAUGCUUUCUCUUCUUUGUCAAAGGUGUGGCUUUUCAUUGCAAACUUAGAUAGGAAACAAAUGCUGAUAACGUUAGAGAUGUACUGUGUAGUAAGGCACUAACUCUGUUACUUUGACUGAGAUUGAAAAUAAAGGAAGCUGAUACUAAUGAUUCACCAACUAUAAAAAGUCAGAAUGAUGCAUUUGCUUAUCGUAUUUGAUGGAGUGAAAUUAGUCAAUUCUAUGAUAUUGCUCAAAUGGAUCACAAGAUGGCAGUGAAAUAAUGUGAUGUUGUAUGCUUGUAUAUGUCUCGUUUAAUUAUUCAUCAGUUGGAAUCUUCUUUACAUUAAUCUUACUUCGUUUAUUUUUCCAAUAUAAAUAGAACAAUUAUCCAUAGAUAGCUCCCUAAACCAUUUGUAAUUGCAUUGAGAAGGAUGAUUUGAUGAUGGACUGUGAUAUCGCAAAUUCUUUAUUCUCUAUUAUAUUCAAUUUGUAGAUUAUUCUAGCAACUGACCAAAACAUUUGACUAUUCGGUAUUCACUUAGUUGAAGCAAAUGUAUAUAACGAAAUGUCUAAAAGUUCAUAUGACGUUAUGUUAGUGUUAUGGAAAUUAAGCAAAUGAACAUAAAAUAGACUAAAGAAUGAAAUAAAUCAAAUAUCAAAUUUAUGUGAUUCAGUUGGUGUAACCUACGUCAACAAAAAGAGCAGCAAAAGAUUCAACUGUAGAGCAAAUGAUACAAUGGAGAUUACAAUCACACUUAAAUCACUCAAACACCUUCAGUAUUUCUUGACCCCCAAUUACACAUAAUAACUAACACAAUAUUUAACCCCACACUUUCUCACAAAAAAAAUUCUCAAUCUCACAAAGAAAUUCACAAAUUUUCCAUUGGAUUCAACACUCUUGGUUUUCUUCAAGGUGUAAAUCAUGAAGAAGUUGCCUCCUGAAUGAUUUUCACAAUGAAAAUACUUCUUAUAUAUAGAUAAUAGUUUGAUCCAAAAUAGGAAAUUCUUUUUAAAAAGUCCUACUAAAACUAAGAAACCUACUUGGAUUAGAAAAGUUUCCCUUUUAAGCCCAAACUCAAAAUAUAUUUUCAACAAUCUCCACGUUAACUUGACAUUCGAGUCAAAUCACAAUUACUUUUCUGAAAAUCUAAACUUCAUUACUACUCUCCACUAGCUCCUCGAGGGCUUAACUACCACAAUUAUCUUCUAAAUCGAAGCCACAGUGGAACUUCACCAUGAUUGUAAACCUCAUCAGUUCCACAAUGAUUUUUAGACAAAACAUGCUCAACUGUAAAUAAAACCAAACCUAUGUUACAUCCAUAUUUAUAAAGAGAUCGAAAAAUCACCUUGUUAAGUUCAUUAACUAUAACUGUCACGCCCCGAUCCUCGAGCGUGUGACCAUCUCUCAGUAGUCGAUAAAUUUGCAACGUUCCAAGACACGUCGCCAACCCGUUCAAUUUUUAAUGCAUAGGCGGAAGCGAAACGAUACCCCUGAUAACAACCAACACGGGAUAGAAAAACAGGAAACAUAUUCACAACCAAAAUGUGGCACCCCCUGAACAGCCCCCGAUCCAUUAGGAUCGUCACAAAUACCUUUCUCUCGACCUGAAAGUCUAUUACUCAGAUACCAUAGAAAUUUGACAAGUCCAUAAGUCCUGGGGGUUUAUAUCCUUUCUAUAGGUCCCUGCGCAAAAAUUUGGCGGAAGCAUAUCCAACAUCUCCCUAUCCCAUAUUCAGAAACGAUGCACACUAACUAAACAUUUUAGAAGUUAAAGCCGAACACUUUUAUUUACAUAACUAGAUGGACAUCACGGGUCGGUACAUCAACAUGCCAAGUUUCUAUACUCGGCCACUUUUCAAAAGAUAACCAACUUCUUUUCCAACAGUCACCCACAAAAGUCCAUCACUCAGUGUUGGCGUUCAAAAAUGCUGCUUCUGCUAACCCUCACCCGCGGUCACACCCAACCGUCCGGUCCGCCUGCUAGCGGCGGUGGCAAUGACCCCAGCAUGUGUCCAUCUCGGCGGACAAAAACGGCCAGAUACUCUUGUAGUACGGGGCCGAUGGGAGGACCGACGUCAAACACUAUCAACACCCGCACUUUGGGAUGGUGAUGCUCCAACCUUUCCACUUGCAGGUCGACCGAGACUCCAUAAAAUGUGCCAGGAGGUACGAGUAGCAUAGGCAUCUUGUCUAAUCUGAAAUGUUAGUCCCCAAAAGGGGAGUACAACCACCCAGCAAUUGAAGAUCUACCAAGCUAUACUAUGCAAGCAAUCACAAUCCAAGUCCAUGCAAGAUAUAUAAAACAGGUAAUCAAAGAAUGAGUAUACAUCAUAUCAACAAGACUUUUGAAAAGCAAUGGUAAUGCAGUUUCAAACCCAUAAUGUAUCAUUUUGGUCACAUAAGUCCUGAUUAUAGGGCAAACUAUUAUGACACGUCCCAUUUCAUGCCAUACAAUUCAGUCCUAUAACCAGACCACACACACACUUAGUAAAGCCAUCAGUUUUAACAUUUAAAAGGUUUCAUCCCCCAGAGGACCAAUGUUUGCAUCCUUCUGGGAUUUCGCACCCAACUUGGCGUCGCGAAAGCCUCCGAGCAUGUAUUCAUAAUACAACCAGGCAUCCAAAGCGUGUUGCGUUACACCUCCAGGCAUCUCGCAUCCCACCUGGCAUCACGAGGAAUCACCGGGGAUUGCCAUGAAAAUAGUUACCCCUACCCUCCGGAAUUACGUAUCGACAUACCACCGGGCAUCCUGAUGCUCCCGGGGAAAACCUCCGGGGCACUACAGAUCCCAGGCAUCCAAAGGGCAUCAACUCAUUCGAACCUUUGGGCCUCCCGACUCCCGGGGCAUCGUUGACCCGAGGGUCCAACGACAACAUUAACAUCUUAAAUUAUUUCAACACCAAAACACUUUCAAUGCAACAACAGCAGGCUUUGAAAUCAUAUGCCAUUUCUAUAUCAAAGAAAUCCAUUCACAAAAUUUCAGCAACAUAAUAUCAGUUCAUAAAUCCAUUUCCACGUUUCACCUUCAAAGCAUUUCAAGAAUCCAUAUGUAAAAUCCCGGGUUGCACUUGUGCCUCAUGGCCAAAAUCAAAGGGAGUUAUCAAACACAAGCAAUUUAAAAUCGGCAAAUUGGUCAUUCAACUUUACACUCCCGACUUCAAGAUUUUCAAAGAUUGGUUCUUGCAAAAACUUGAAAUCUCGAGGGCACCAAAAAUAUUUUCUUUUCCUCUUUGAAUCAUUGAUGAAUGGCGCCUCAGUAAGUAAAAGUUUUCAGUGCGAGUUAGGAGGUUUUACAAAUUGGACUACGGCCAAGUUUUUGUUCAAAACGAUAAAAUUCAGUCAACUAAGAAAUCCGGUGGCAGCAACAAUUGGUGACACCUCACACGUCCAUGCAAGUGACGUGUUCCUUCUUGCUCGAGCCUUCCCCAUGCGUUGUCCACCAACGGUAACUUCAUGUGGCUACUGAGUCAAUGAAUUUUCCUUUUGUUGACUUAUUUGCCAACCAAAUGAAGGGGAAGCUCGAGCAGCUUGGGCCAACAAUUCGUGGCCACAUGGUCUCCGUGCGUGGCCCAACUUCUCCCAAAGUUGACCAUGAAUUUCUACAUGUAUAUGAAUUGCAUGGGCCGUUUGUGAGGCCGUCAAAGGGGAGGGUGGUGGUGACGUCGUGUAUAAAAUCGAGGUCUUCAACUUAGCUAAUUGGCGAGAAGGCUCAGGUCCAAGAUCGGUGUCAAUGGCGGAAUCCAACACAACUUCAUCAAUUUGUGACGUAUCAUCAUUUUUCCAAGAUCGACUAAAUACCGAUGAGGUUGAUCUCACCAAUGACCUUAAGUAAGGGAAUUCCGACAAGACUAUAGUUUUUUCAAUGAUUGAGUCGUUACUUGAAUGCAAUGCAUCGGUCCAACGAUGAAAUUAGAAUGGUGACCGUAAAUAAUACCAAUGACACAGUCCGACGAUACUUUCGUCGAUCAGUCACUGACCGUCGCAUAACCGAGGAUCAUCAAAAUUUUCGGAUGCCACACAAAACACUUUUAUAAACACCCCAGUUCAUAUACAAACUAGUCUAUAUACAAGAGUCUACAAAAGAUUGAUCCUUAAAACAAAGCUGUCCUAUGACCAGCUAGCCGGACAUGUUCACCAAUCCUUCGGUCUCCACAGGCUCCGGGAGCACUGAGUCCUCCACAGCUCCAUUGGGAGGGUCAACUGCAGUCUCACCUAGAGUGGCAUCCACUACCACAGGGAGAAUUUUGAAACCCUGGAGGGGACCCACACGGAAUCCAUUGAAACCGUAGCGAAACCACGCUCUGAACCAAUAAGAUACCCUCUGAGGUAGGCCCUCAUUGACCCAGAUGGUGGUCACCACGAGUUCAUAGACCCAUUGACCCCCUGGGGUAUGGUAAUCAAAACUCUGCUCAGUAACCCUCAUCAGUCGACCAAAACAUUCCAAAGGAACCGCCAUCUAAGGACUUGAAAAGGUUGAGCCCACAACGAGGUAAGACAAUGUCUCAACAAAUUCACCUCUUAAACUCUGACUAGGAAGGAAAUACGCCUAGAGGCAGCUAUACACACAAGUCAAAAGACUUACCUUGCUUUAAUUCCCUCUUGCACGUCAGUACAGUUCAUAGUUCAACUAAUCAAUUCCAAUCAAUUCAAAACCAUCGCUACCAUAUAUCCAUUCAAUACCAUUUAUCAAUCAAUUGAUAUCAUCACUGCUCACACAAGCUGAAAUAGAUGGUAAUAGCUCUCACAAGUUUAUAUAGAUAGAUAAAUAGAUAGAUAGAUAGUAGCUCAUACAAGUUGAUAUACGGAUCGUUGCUCUCACAAGCUAAUAAUCGAUCAUUGCUCACAUAAGCUGAUAUAGUAUACUGCUCUCACAAGCUGAUGAUUUAAUAAUGCUCACACAAGCUAAUACACGAUAAAUCAAUCCCGACCAAGGAUCAUGUGCUUUACACACCAAUUUCCCAAUUAAAAUAAUUAACUUGGCAUAAUAUUACUGUGUUAAAAUAUAUCCGAUAAAAAUAAUCGUAUGUGGGUACAUGGUUAGUUUGAGCCAAAAUGUUAUUUCUUUCUUUUCAAAAAUCCUACUAUGUAAUAUAAUGACUAAAAAUAUUUUUGGCGUUAAAAACCGACGCCCCGGUAUUUUAUGAUUAAAUAACGAAAUUACACAAUUUUUGAAUAAAAAUCCAAAAUUACAAUCACCACUCAAUUUGCAUAAAAUAGCAUUCAAUUAAAUAAACUAAACACACCAUUGCAAUUGACACGAAAUUCCGGUCACCCGCUAUCCCAGUAUAAUUUCUGGAAAAUGAUAAAUAAUUAAAUAAAUACAAUUAAUUACCAAAAAUGCAAACUUAGGCCGGAAAUGCUUAAUUAACUGCCCGAACGGGCCGGGAAAAUUUCCGAACUUAUCUAGACAAAUAGUACAACUUAUUUAGUCUCUAAUUAAGAUAUUCUAACCACCUAACAUGCACAAACAAAUAAUUAAAUCACUAAUCCAUUCUAAUUAACAACAUAAACCAUACUUAGCAUAAACUAAUCACACAUUAAACAUCAUUAACUUCAUAAACAGAGUUUAGCAAGUAAACUCACCUGUUUUGCGAUCCGGUCAGUUCAUGGCAACGACAACGCGGAGACAGGCAACAAACCUCCUGGCGGCGAAGUCAAGCAAGGCUCGAAAAAGGCCUAAAAUGGGCCACAAGCUCACAACCCUUGCUAGAACCUUGGCUGCUGAUCUUGGGCUGUAGAGGUCGAUCGAAGGGGUUGGAUGGUGCGGAAACAGCAAGACAGGAGGCUAGGCGAGCAAGCAGAGCUACGGUCGACGAGGCGGAGCUGGACAGUGGUGGAGGCGAGCUCAAGCAGCGACCAAGGCUUCAACAGUGACCAGGGAUGGCUCGGGGGACGCGGCGCAUAGGCACUGGAUGGCGGACGGUGUGCGGGCGACCAGCGGGUUCGCAGGCACACAGGCAUGGCUCCAGCUGCUUCGGCGGACUUGCGACGGCUAGGGGGAGGGCUGCCGGUCACUCUCUGGUUCCUCUCUAUGAUUUUGAGCUUAUAAACUACCUUAACAAUGGAUAAAGCAAGUCCAAGGUUGAAGAAGAAGCCAGCUGCAGCUAAGGGGACCCAAAGGCCUAAAUAUCUCUUAAAUUGAUCAUGGCUUACCCCCCACUUGUUCAGCCUUAUCCUCAUCCAAUUUGAUGCACAAAAUCCCCCUAGAAGCAAUCCCAAGUGGUCCAAAAUGUUGAGGGACCUUUGGCCUACGAAUUUUGGCCAACUUCCACAAAUUGAACCAAAUUCCUCUCUAAUUGAGCUUAAAUUAGUCCCCAUAAAUUCAACCAAGAUGUCAUCGACUAAAUAACAUUUUUCCUUACCAAUUGAACCAACUUGAAUCCCAAAAACGUGACAAAAAACUGUUCUCUGAUUUUUCUAGUCAAAAACGGCCCUAUCUUGAAUUUUUGCAGAAAAUUUUGUUUUAUAGAAAAAUCUUCGGAGGACAGGUCAAUGGUCCUAAAAUAAAUCGUGACAUGACAGAACUUUCAAUUUCUAAAAUUGGGUUUAAAUUCGCGGUUAAUUUCAAUUUGGCGCAAUUUUAACGUGACAUAGUCUACCGGGUAACUUUUAAGAAUUUUUAGUACAAUUAACCCAUGGUCGAUUAUUUUCGAGCCACAUUGUACAUCUUCAACACAUUGACGACCACCGGUGGUCAUAAAAAUCUCAAGAUUUCAAAUACAAACACAAUGUACCAAAACGAUAGAAAAUCGGUCUAGUGCUGAUCGACGAGAAUUUUGCAAUUAGGUGGAAUCACCCACGCUAAAUCACAUGGCUAAGUCUAAUCGACCUACCUCCGAUCUCUAAUCAAUUUUUAACUGUGCCGUAAUAACCCUUGCAAACUAGCACGAUCGAAUAGUCAAUUUCUGGUCAAAUUCUCAAAUCAUUGCGUUAAAAUCCCUUAAUGGCUUCACCAGAUAAACUAGUUAUCUCGUGAGUGAUCAGCUCAAAAAAUAGAACUAUAGGCACGUCGAUAAAAAGCCCGAUUCAUUCAAUUGAAAACAAAACUGGAAUUCAGAAUGUCACAAUAACAACCACUAGUAAUACAAGAUCUAUCUAGCUAUAGGCAUAAUUUAUAUUGAUUAUCACGCUAGUAUCCGUUAUCACAAGAGUUUCUAGUUGUAACUCCACCUCAAGCUAAAUAAUGUGCAAUUCCAUAUAAACACUACUUUAAUAAUUCUUAUACAAAAGAAUAGGAAACUCAUUAUAUGUAUCUUCUCUACUGUUAAUAUGUGAAUUUAAUUCUGAAUACAACAAAUAAUAGCCCUACUCACCUAUCAGUCCGUACAUCCUCGAUCAUUUUGCCAAUCUCCAUUAUUUAUACAUCAAAGCUCUCAUUUGCCUGAUCGUGACAGUAGUAUCAAACCUAUGCCUCUUCAUAAAUACUUAGGUUCUUCUCAAUUAGUUGUCCACAAUUAUUAACAUAUGUCUAGCACUUUUCUUUGAAGGACACCGUAACAACCUACAAACAUUUAAGUAAACCAACUUUGCAAUAUUCGUGGUUUGUCUUAUAAUUCUAUUACAUUGAACUCUUCGUCAUUUGUCAAGUCACAAUACCUGUAUACAAUCAAUUUUUCAACCACAUAACCAUUUAAUAGAUUCUUUUGACUCAUAACCUUUAGGUUUCUUUUGCCAAAGUGCCCCAAAUGCAUAUGCCACAAUUCAUACUCUCAAACAAAUACAUUCGACAUCUUUUCAUUAAGAUUGGUCAUUGUUUCACCUUCAAGCUCACAUAAGCCAGUGUGUAUGAUGGAUCUCAUUAUUACCAAGAUCACCUUCAAAACUCUACCUUGUAAAGAAGUAUAUCGGCACCCACAUAAAUCUAGAGGACUUAAAGAAAUUAGAUUGUUUUUUGAUUUUGGAAUAUACCUCACUCCAGUCAAAGUCCUUGUAAUAUCAUCAUGCAUUCCGAUUCACACAUGACAACACCUAUAACAUUGUGCUUAGUGUUGUUCGCAAAUUGUACUUUACCAUUAUUCAAGCAUUAAUAAGUAGUGAACCAAAUUCUGUAUGGUAUAACGUGAAACGAAUAAUCAUAUUCCAUAAAUCAUUCAUCAAAUGAUGAAAUUAUAGUGACAAAAAAGUAUAAUCAGCACUAUCCAAAUCACAAUCCGUCACUAGCAAUAUUGUCAAUAAAUUUAAUUAUAAUUCCCUUACCUUUCUUAUUUUUCAACUGAAAGCAGUUCCUUCUGAGAUAAACCUCUUAUCACAACUCAAACAUAUAACACCAUUAAUCCCAUACUAACUACAUCUAUUCAAAUUCAAAUACUCAUUCUAACACAAGUAAUAGGUUUUCAUUUUCCUUCACCUACUAAAGUAGCAGAGACGAGUUCACCUAGUUCUCUUUUACGGCUAUCUAUACUCAAAAUCAAAUCGUGAACUCUUAGCCAAAAGACAUUACUAAUAGUAAUAAGAGGGUAUUCCAAUUAUCAAACAAUGGGGAUAAUAGAAUCAAAGCAUGUACCUUUAUUUAAAGUUAAUCUCAACCAAACUCACAUGACCAAUGAUAUUGAAUUCUUUGAUAAGCUCAUCAACAAACGUAACUUCGUGCAUCUUUAAGUGAAAUAAACGUCACAUGAAGUAGGCCUUGUUGAUUGCAAUGGCUUCUCAUACAUGUUUAAUAGGGCAUUCAUCAAUUCCGGAAUGGUGUUCUCUUUAACAAUGUUAAAUGUGAUAAUAUGAGCCUACGUCAACCAAGUAUCACUCAGUACCUACUUAUCAAUAUGCUUCCUUCUUGACUUUAGCUUCUUCUCAGAUAAGGGUAUCUGCAAAUUCCUCUAGUAUAAAUAAUCCUCAAUCUGCAUCUUUUAGAAACCAAAAUCAUUCCCAUCAAAUUUGUCAAUUUACUUUUACUUCUUCUAUCAUCAUUAAUUUGCUUCAACGCAACCAAGCCUAGUUUUGAUACCAAUUGUUGUUGAAAACAAGGGAUUCAAAUAAUGAAAUAGACUAAACAAGAAAAUAAAUCGGUAUUAUAUUUACUUGAUUUGAUCAGUGUGACUUAUGUCCACAAGAAGCAAAAGAUUUCACUAUAAAUCAAGUGUUACUAUGGUGAUUACAACCACAUUCAAGUCACUCAAUAAUUCCCAACCUCCAACUACAACAUUCAUAAUUUCUCGUGAAAUAAUCUCUCAAUCUCAUAAAUGAAUUCACAAAUCUACCAUAAGGUUUAUUAGCUUCAACACUCUCAGACUACUUCAAUGCAUAUUGCAUGAUGUUGCCUCUUAGACACUCUUUACAAUGAGGACACUUCUUACAUAUAAACAAGAGUUGGAUGCAGAAUAGGAAAUCCCUUUCAAAAAGCCUACUCAAAGUAAAAUACCACUUGAAUAGGAAACUUACUUGAAUUAGUUUAGUUUCCUUUUUGGGUUCAUCUUUUCAACUGUUAUUAUUUGUCUAAAUUGGCAAGCUUCUGUACCCCAUGAAAAAUGUCUCAUGGGCAAGAACAGCCUUGCACUUGCCCCUCACUGGGAAAUGUCAAAAAAUCACUAUGCUCAAAAAAAAUUAAGGGGUCAUGUACAUGGAACAAAACCCUUACAACAACCAAUCUGACAAUCUAGAAAUCACAACAAAAAUCACACCCGUCAAACAAAUUCCACAUGCCCAGGAGGAGGAGGAAACUAUGCCCAUGUUGGCGACUCCCUUAGAAUACCUCAUCUCCCAAGCUAAGGACCUUUGUUCUCGAGCAAACCUCGACCAUCAACUUCAGCUUCGUCGCCGCCGACUCUACCUUACUCUUUGACCUCGAGUCCUUCGGCUGAGCAACUCCCCCUCUUAUUCUUCCUUGUUUUGCUUUUUCUUUUUUUGAACAAAGUUUUAGGAAAAAAAGAAAAAAGAAAGAAAAAUUUGAACAACAUAUUUUUAGGUUCUUUAUUAUAUCAUCUAGGAUGCCACUUGUGAUGCACAUUAGCAUUUAACUGCCAAGAUAAUAUCUGUCUUUGUUUUUUUCAAGGAUCAAAUUGGAAAACAAAAAAUUGUAUAUAGUUUAGAGACCUAAUUGAGAGAGAGAGAGAGAGAGAGAAUCAAACACUAGAUUGAACACUUCGUAAUUGUUCAAGGACCUCUAGUGCCUUUAUCCUUAAUUCCUAUUAUGCACAUUCUUGUUUCUUAAAAUUCUUCAUGAGAAAAUACAAAAAAGAAAAUACAAAAAACACAUACCUCACUUUGGACUUGAUGAUUACUUUUGUGCCUCUAUUUUUGUUGAUAUCAUUCACGUAUUUCUAAAUAAAAUCUCACGUUGAAAGAACCAUAUCUCCUCUCCUUGUAAACUCAUUUUAGUAUCUUACAUAGAGUUUGGAUGGUUUGCUUUUUAGUUGGGUUUAGAAUGUUUUGGGUAAGUCUGAAAGUUUUAGGGUUUGAAAAUCGUCAUUCUCAAAAGAAAAUGUCAUUUUUGCAAAUAAGGACACAAACAUAAUAAAUGUGACAGUACAAAGUGAUCUCCAAAGAUAAUACCUAUAUAUGUAUUUAGUAUUUUUAAAAAUAAAGAUAUAUAGUUGAUUGAUAUAUCAUUUUUCUACUAUCCUUAGUUUAAUGAAAUAAUAUAAGUUUGUACAUCGGUAACAUGAAAAGGGAUUUCGUUUAAUUUGUAUCCCAUUUGGUCCACGACUACUUGUUCCUAAUUUAGUCAUAAUGCAACAUGGGAAAUUGACUAAAAUACAUUUUAUUUGUUAUUUUAUUGAAAGGUCACUCAAUACAAAAUGGGCGUUUAUUCCAUUUUUAUCAAAUUACCCCAUUUUCCGAAACAUUGGAAUAGAUAUGAUAAGAGUUACUUUGCUUUCUUAUAGGGAAUAAUAAUUCCAUCCAUGCCUUACACUAUUGAUCAAGUAAAAUGUGCCAUUACUCUCUUUUUUUAAAUCACGGAACAUACAUAAAAUGAGUUCAUUUUUUUUUUUUUUAAUAUCCUCUAACUUUUUCAGGCCAAACCCACUUUCUAAUCCAAUCCGACCGAUACACCAAUCCCAAAAAUAAAAUAAUAUAAAAACCCAUCCCCCCAUAGAAAGCAAGUCUCCACCAAAGGAAGAUUAAUGUUUUUUAAGCAGCAUCUGCCAUGCAAAAAGCAAAGAUCAAGUAAAGAAUCAUAGACUCAUCCCUGAUCCAACGGGGACCAACCUACUCUACGUGGACCCCCACAUCCACUGUCCACCGCCACGUGUCGGUCUCCCUCUCACUCUCUCUCAAAUACUCCCUUCCCCCUCUCACUCUCCUCGUCUCUCUUUCACCCCCUCUCGCUCUAACCUUCCGCUUCUUCUGCUUCUUCUUCUCCUUCUUCUUCUUCCCAAAGACCGUCUCUCUCUCCUUCUCUCUCUCUCUCUCUCUUUCUCUCUCACAGCGUCAUCAUGGCGAAGGGUCACGAGAUGAUACCAGUGACCGAUCCUUCGGGGAAGACCUCCUCGUCGUCCGCCAUGAGCAGGAAGGGGGCUUACGCUGCUGCCUCCUACAUGGCCUGCGCAGGUUCUCUACGGUUCACCCUCUUUAACUUUACUUUCCAUUACGUUCUCCUUUCUUUUUUUUUCCUCUGCAAAAUGCUUAUGCGGUCACUCACUAGUGGAGCUUUGCUUUCCUUUACUUUUCUGCUUCACGUGCGCACAAGUGCUCCAUAUGGAUAAGCACGUCAUGUUUUAAUCACUUUUCCUGUACCGACGCACGUCCGUUCACGAGGAAAUGGAAAAAAGGAGAGAGAAUCAGGCUCUCGAGAUGGGUUCUCUUCCUUAUAUUCGGUGUUUUCAUUCGAAGCCUGAAGUGCUUUGAGCUUCGCUUAAUGAAUUUUGCUCAGGGUCUGCUCGCCUUCUUGUGUUUCGAAUCCCUGUGACGAUUUUGAGUUUCCGGGACAAGUUAAACUUGAUUAUGGAAUGUGUAGUUUUCCUACCGCAGAUAGAGGUGGCCAAUUUACACGUUUGUGCUGAGUUCCGGGUGAUUGUGCUCGUGAAUGAGCGAGUCAUGCUCAAACUCAAGCAAAAAUAUCAGGAGGUAGAUAGGUGCCUGGAAGAUGAAAGCGAGUGUUAACAGUCAUUUUACAUACCAGUGUCCUUUUUCUUUGUCCUGAAAAUCGUUUAUGAGAAGUGGUAUAUGAAUUUGAGCAAAAGUUUUCUCUUUGUUGAUGCUGGCUUUUUUUUUUUUUUUUCUAUCACGACUGCUCAAUGAAUCAUAGCUGCGCCUCUUGUUUUCUGGAUAAUGUGAUAAGGUUGUGAUUUUACACACGGUGGUUGUUCUUCCAAAAUUUUGUAAUUGUACUUAGCAUGUGUAGUCUUGCUCUGUCAAUGGGAACCUUGAGCAAUAUGAUCCUGAUGUUCCCAGAAGUUACCUUACCGGGAAGGCUCAGAAUGUGGUUUUCUACUUGUAAAGUGGAGUGAUGCCAUGUCUUGGUAAUUACAUGACAGCUAUAUUUUUACCCAUUCAUGCAGUUCUCUUGGUAAUGUUCAACAAAGCGGCCCUUUCUUCAUACCAUUUCCCUUGUGCAAAUGUGAUCACACUUUUUCAGGUACCCUGUAUACCUUGACUAGGCUCACGUGUCAAUUACACAAUCCUGGUCUGUGGUUAGCUUAUCUUUAAUAGGCAUGCUAGUGGAGAAGGGAAUGUAAGAAUCAAACUCAUGAACUCUUCAUUCUUGGUGUAACAUUUUACUAUUCCAACAAGAAGGGACUUGUGACCAACAAUUAACCUGGUGUUGGACUUUGUCUAGACAAGCUUUGAUAUGAAGAUACGCUAUGCUGGGCAAAGCUAUUGACUGUAGUUUUCCUCUUCUUUAUUGUCUUUGUUUCUCCUUGGUUAAAUAUUCUACAGUUGAAUUAGAGAUUCCUCCCAAAGCAUCGCAUUUCCAAAUAUACCAUUGAUCUCUGGAAAUGAAAUCUGACUGCAAGACUGUACCAUGAGGAUAGUCACCGUGAUGAAUUUAAACUCUUUUAUCAUCACAAUUUCAUGCAUUUAUUUUUUUGGAUUGGGUAAUUAUAAUCUGCAGAGUAUUUCACCCUCGCCUUUUAUAUGGUCUAUCCUUUUCAGAUGGUAUGUUCUUGUUUGUUACUGUAUGCAAUGAGAUUCUGGGAUAUCAUUUCUUUCUCUGCUGGAGAAACCCAGAGCGUCAGUUACAACCCUGCGACAAUGGUUCCCCAUAAGACAUUGCUUCACACUAUUCCUCUUGCAGUGUCCUAUUUGCUGUAUAUGGUAUGACUUUGCCUAGUUAGCGCUUUUUUUUUUUUUUUCCUUCUGGUUUCUUUUGGUGUACCCAAUACCUGUUUAUUUUCCUUCUGGUUAAGCUGGCCUCCAUGGAGUCCAUACGUGGUGUAAAUGUUCCCAUGUACACUACACUCAGACGGACUACGGUGGCCUUCACAAUGGUUGUGGAGUAUUUUCUAACCAGACAGAGAUAUUCACACCCUGUUGUAGGCAGGUAAGGAACCUUCACUUCCUUUUGAGACCUUUGCAUUUUUCCUUAAGAUACUGUAGAGUUAGGUGACACACCAGCUACUCUUUCCUGAAACAAAAAUUAUAUCUGCUACUGAACUAUCUCCCAUGUACGCCUAUGAGAUUGUUCAUGGAAGAAUGAAUUCACAAGCCACAAUAGGGAAAAGAUCCAAAUCAUUUUCAGCCCACAACUUUUGACAUAGGAAAGUUCCUCGAUUCCCUCUUCCUUGGUUGAGAGGUGAAGUUUUAUGGAAUCGAAUGCCGCAUAUAAAGUAGCCCAGUAUAUUCUUUUACUUGUAAUGUUUUCUGCAGAACUAUUUAUGAAAUGAUAUCAGAGAGAGCUUAGACUCUACUCCCCUCAUCUUCAAUAAUUGAUCGCACUUGCAAAGAGUUGCUUUACUAGUGCCAUCAACUCAGAUAUACCUUUUGCCAGCUUUAUGGGAUGGUAGAAGAACAGGACAACAUUUGAGGCUUCUCCUCUCUAACAUUACUUGUCUGAACUUUUUAGGCAAAAGAAUCAGACAAGAACUGCAUGCAAUGGAGCAUUUAUUCUCUCUCUCACACAAUUGAAAAUUAGAUAUUCUAGUGGAAAUGUGUUGAUUUUGGCAAUCUGACAGAACAUGUUAUGCUUGUCUCAAGGCUUUCAUCUUCUAACCAUUCUUAUUGGAUUGUUUCCAAGGGAUGCAUCAGUGUGGGGAUCAUUAUACUGGGCGCUUUUAUUGCUGGAGCACGAGACUUGUCAUUUGACUCAUAUGGAUACACGAUUGUGUUCAUGUCAAACAUCUGUACCGCAGUAUAUCUGGCUUCUAUAGCACGAAUUGGUAGUUUUUAUUAUCCCUUCUGCAAUUUCUCUGUGUAUGAUGCAUUGGAGAACUUCUCAUUCCUUUUCAUCCUGUUUAGGAAAAUCUAGUGGACUUAACAGCUUUGGCCUUAUGUGGUGUAAUGGUAAGAUAUAUCACUAGCACAAUGAUCAUCUUCCCUGCUUUCUGCCAUGAAGUGCUUGCUGGUCACCAGGUGUAACUGGCACGUUUUUCUUUCAAAUUUAAUUGUCCCCCUGGACAUUAUGUAGGCAUAAUAUGUGGACCAAUUUUGCUGCUCUGGACUUCAAUCAGUGGUGACCUAGAAAGAACACUGAAGUUCCCAAAUUUGUUUUCUCCUGGCUUUCAGGUGAUUUUUUGUACAAAUAAAAUUCUUCAACUUCUCCAGACAUGCAAACUAGUGAAUUACUGUUUCGGUUGUUGCCAGAAUUGUAAAGCUUUACCUUUGCAACCUGCAAUUACAUGUCUAUUUCCCAUACACUCAAAAGCUUCUCCUUUAGCCACUAUGUUACAUCUCAUCCAUUUUAUUUACUGGGAGUCCAAUUAUAUUUACAAUUGCAGGCUGUCAUGGCACUUUCCUGCAUCAUGGCUUUCCUGAUUAAUUACUGUGUAUUUUGGAAUACAAUGCUAAAUUCAGCACUCACACAGACGGUUUGUGGUAAUCUAAAGGUUUGAUAUGCACACCAAAUACCAGUAAUACCUCUCCUCUUAUGCUCGGUUAUACAUAGCUAUUCUGAUGUUAAUGAAAUAUAUCUAGUAUCUAUACUUCCUGAUGGGCUUAUGGUUCUCGAGCCAUAUUCUUGGUUGUUACUAUCUCAAUUUUCUUGUCAAUGCUAUCUGGAAUGUAUUUUGUAAUAGGCAGGUCCACAACCAUUCAUAAAAUGUCUUCCCAUGACAUUUUGCCCCUGUUGAUAGCUACUUCACCAGAAUAAUUGUUAUUUGGGUAGCACUGUUCAUACUGGUGUUUGAUGUCAUGGGCAUUUGUUCUCGCUUCACUUUCUUCAUCCUUGGAGUGCUGUACUUUGCUGGUAGUGGAAAUCAAUGCACUAUAAGAUUUCAAUUAGCUGACUAGACUCGACCUUAUCUGUGAAAUAUUGUAAGGUUAUUUGUCCUUAUGCUUUGUCUUGAAGAACAAGAAACUUAAAAUGCAUUUACUAGCACCACAGUUUAUUCACAAGAAAUAAGCAAGAAUAUUCGAAUCUUAAUUUGCAUUUCCUGUGAGUAUACUGGAAGAUGCUCACAAAAUUUCUUCUUUCUUAAUGCCAACGACAGUCAAAAUUGUCAUUCUUGCACUAUCAGACCUCUUUAGAUGUUCUACUCUCAUCUUUUCUUUCUUUUUAUUUAAUAUAAUAACAUCUGGUUGAUAGGACCUUUUCACAAUUGGACUGGGCUGGCUAAUGUUUGGUGGGCUUCCAUUUGACUUGGUAAGUAUCUGUUGCCUUCUUUGCAGUUUUGAUAGUUUUGAUUGUACAGGAGCUAACGUCCACUGUUUCUUCCAGUUGAAUGUCGUGGGCCAAUCACUUGGUUUUUUAGGGUCCUGUCUGUAUGCCUAUUGUAAACUUCAAGGGAGAUAAGGUGAUAAGCAGCUUGUGAGAUUUUUGUUUUCUCUGAUGUAACCCUAUCAAAAAAUCAACAACCAAAUUUUGGGACGAAGUUUUUUUUUCAGUAUGCUAGUAUAGUUGAAAUUCGAAGUGAAACCUGAGGACUUAUCUAGCGUCCAUCAAAGAAAUUUACAAGCUACUAUGAGAGCUGAGCUUUGCUAAAAGUGAUUUCAGUAAAUUUAAGAGACUUCUCUAUUUGGUUUUAGGACGUAUGUAAAUUUUGUAUGAUACUAGAGUAAUGGAUCAUCAGACAACUUGGUUGUGUGGGGUUGUGGUGGCACACUUCAUCUUCUCGACGAGAGACCCAGAUUCAAAUCGUCGUAAUAUCCCAAUGUCGCCUAGUUCACAUUUGGUUACUUGCCUGCAGAUGUUACUUAGGGAGGAGGGUUGAUGAUUGAAGACUAAUAGUCAAUGGGCAGCAGACCCAGACUUUAUUUUCGUUUUUGGGUUUGCUUUUUCUUUUGGGCAAGGAUCCUUCCUCUCUUUUGAAAGGCUUGCCUUCGCUAUCCAGCUUGUUCGUCCCUACCACGGCGCAAUUAGUGCAGCAGACUGAAUCAUGUCCUCACGAAACAUUGCACGUCCAAUGUGGAAAGACAUUUUUGUUACCUGGCCACUGUUCACUUCCCUUUGACAUAAGUGAUGUGACGCUUUUGCAAUUUUUUUGGAGAUAGACAAGACAUUAAGAAUAAUUUCUCACGGGAAUUCAGAAGUGCACAGAAAGGUAGAAUUUGAGCCAUUUCAGACAAAGUACGAGGCGUGAUUAAGAGGAGAAUGAUAAGUUGAACAAAAUCGCUACAUCUGACUAGCAUGAAAGACUUAAUCACAUUGUCGUGUCACGAUGUUAAAAACGGUCUGGGCGUGCUCUCAUGUCCUUGUUCACCCUUAGAAAAGGAGAUCCCCAUUGUCAAUCCCUCGUUUUGCUCCCAUCUUUUCCCCCUGUCCAAGAAAGCGAAAAGGCGCCUUUUACGCCAGUUAUGGCAAAGAAGAUUCUUCUCUCACUUUUGAUUUCUGCUGGAUGGACAUUAGAUAUCAUGGUGUCGGCAUUGUAUGGUGCUUCAAAAGCCGUCUCUUUGGAUGAAACUAUUUCAUCUUCUCCUUUCUCGCAUUCUAAUUCCAUCGCCGUUUCUGCAUUUGCCGAUGUAUGCCAUCGUUUCUGUUUCUCAGUAUACUAUCCUUGUAUUAGAUUGCCAUCUGAUGUUUGUCCCAAAGUAGCAUUCUGUCUUUGUAAGGUCACGUAUGUAUGCAGCUGCAUGAAAUGCAUUGGGCUUGACUACUCGUGUGUGAACGUCAAGAGCCUCUCUCACUAGAAAAGUGGCCGUAGAAAGAGAGAGAGAGAGAGAGAGAGAGAGAGAAUGUGGGGGAUAGGGCGUGUCUGUGCUGUCCCCGGAACAUGACAAUGGACUUUGCCCUGAUUGCUGGGCAUGAUUGAGACAUAUUCAUCAAACUUCAAGUUCAACGACUGUCUUUUUUCUGCUUAGACAAAGAAAGGGGCUAAAGAAAACUCUCUCUCCUUGGUUCUUUCUCUCCUCGUCUUCGAGAUGAGAAGACGAAAUCUCGUACCUUGUCUUUACCACUAGGCCACCAUUGACUAUGAUCUUCGGUCUCAUUUACUUCUGCGUCGUCUCGACCAUUCAGAAGCAUGCUUAAAGCAGUCGUGUAUUGCAUGGAUAUUGCUGCAUCUAACAGCUCUAAAUUAUUAAUGGCCCCAAGAAAAUCUAUCAACAUGUCAUGUGAAAGCAUGUUUGCUUUGCUACAUUGUUACGUCGAAGGCCGUAAACGCCUCGACAUGUCCCUUAGACCCCUGGCCUUAGACCCCUGGCCUUCACGAAGAUUUUCAAUUAGGGAACGAAAUUGUAGGCUUUUCAACCAGGGCUCCACAUAACUUGCAACUCAGGCAAAACCUCAUUUGACUACUCUGCGGCAUAUACCUGCGGUCGGCGAAAUGAUAUUCAAACUUUAUAUUUUCAAAUGGUAACUUGACCUGGGAAGGAGAGUUGUAAGCAAUAAGCACGGAGUUACUAAUCGCUUAUUUCCCUUGACUACGAAUUGCCGAUUAACGGCCUUACAAGGGAAACAAAAGAGCGAAGAGGAGUUCUUAAAAAAUUAGGAAUAACGCGUUCCAUUAGCGAUGACUUCUAGAUAGGUUGACAGAUGGAUUAGAAAAGAGUGGCGCAAUGUAUGCGAAUUGCAACUUGCGACUUUAGAGAGAAACGAUGAAAGCUUUUAAAAGAAUAAAUGAUGGCGGUGGGGAAAUAACCAAGCUGAACCCAGAAUCAUGGAAACAAAAGCUUUUUUGACCUCCCAGCUUUUGAGAGAGGGGUGUGUGUGUGUGUGUGUGUUUGUGAUGUUGUUGUCGUUUGAAAGAGAGGUGGGGAACACGCUCAAGCUGUUUAAAAGACCAAGGAUCUGGUGACAAUAGUAGAACAAAGGGAUAAUAGCACAAAUAAUUCAUAAAUUUAAUUUUGGUUCAAUAUAUAAUGUUGUCCCUAAAUUUUUUAUUUAUAUAAUUUGGUUCCUAAACUUUGACCUAGUGUAUAAUAUCAUCCCUAGACUUUUAGUUUGUUUAAUGUGGUUCGUGAACUAUAUAGAGUCUCUAAACUAUACGAAAAGGUAUAAAAAUUCAAGGAUUUCGUUGAAUAAUAGACCAAAGUUCAGAGAUCAAAACAUACAAAAAAAAAGUUUUAAAACGAUAUUAUAUAUUUGACUAAAGUUUAUGGGCCAUUUGUAUUAUUUUCCCUAAAAUCAGCAAGAAAAGUGUUUGAGAAAUCCUGAAAAACUGGUCUUGUUUUUAAGGCGUGGGAUGAAAUUGCUUGGGACUGUGGCACGCGAACUUAUCGCCCUAAAUCAUGAGUCAUGAAAGAGAGAGGGGGGCCUUCAACUCUUUUGCCAAAAGGGUCUUUCACGCUUCCCCAAAUUCUUAAAAGAGGGAGGACGCAUUGGAGCUUGAAAAGAUUAAGUGCUCGAUUGGAGAGAUUUCAUACUUUGGCCUAUGACUUUUGGGAUCUAAUUCGUUUUCCUAGACUUUUGUUUUGGUCGUGAGCUCAAUUAAAUUCAGUGUUUGGGAGUCGUUAAUUUUGUCGAAAUUGUCAUUGUUUUAGCUGCAAGAGAAAGGGUUGAAACUUAGAUGGCACGGUGGCAAUUCGACUUGGGGAUUGGUUUUAAUUUUCAUCCUCAAAUUUCAAUUUGAAUCGUACUUGACUUUUGAGAUAUCACCUGACGUUCUUAACUUUUGAAAUUGAGGCAUUACAAUUCUAUUGGUUCAAUGUAUUCAUAGGAAUAUUAUAUCUCAAUACAACCCACAAGAAAACUUAUGCUUGUUGAAUAGAUGAUGUGAUCAAUUGAAUAAUGCCCAAAGAAGUGAAUCAAUCGAGAUGCAUGAAAACCAACCUGGACAUCACCUAACCGCUAAAUUAAAAAAAAAAACAAUAGGAAAAACUAUUCCUAACAAGUGAUGGUAAUAUCUUUCGCGUGUAUAGUUAAAUUAUGUGCUUAGAUUUGUUGGUGUGCACUUUGAGCUUGAGAUAUACAAAAAAUGAAUUUAAACCACAUGCAAAAUAUCUCAUAAUAUCACUAAUGAAUAAUGAUUCAAGGAUCUAUCCAGUCUUAAAUUUCACGUAUGCAAUGUUAAGACGUAGUCACCUAUAUAUUGAAAGUCUAAUCAUUCUGCAAAUAUAUUUUACCUACACACCCAUAGAUCUUCACAUACCGGACGCAAAAUCUGUUCUUUUCACGGUCAGUAAGUAGAUUAAAAAAAUAAAUCCAAUUCCCUUUUUCACCCGUGGUGGACAAAAUAAAUGCCGAUUGAGAGCACAGGAGGGACACAACAUGCAACAAAAAAAUAAUGAAGUUAAAUAGAUCAAAGUGGUCAGCAAAACCCAAGAAGAGUGUCCCCUAGUGCUCAUGCAAAGCUCAAGGCAGGGCUACUUUAACGCCGGUGUCUCCGGGGAUGGGUUGGCCCUGCCUCUCUAGUCUCUACCAUUCGCAAAGUGCUUUUGGUUGUGUUUCAUAUCAGGCUUUGUACGUACUCCUUGGAAACUUCUUUCUAGACGGCAAAUUUAUAUAAAUUAAACCUGUUCACCUUCGCUGACAUUCUGCACUCCUGUUCUCAAGAACUAAGAUUCUCUCCUUUCUCUCCACGCACUCAUGCCAUUUGACCCACGAUCCCUCUUUAAUUAAGUCUUCCUAGGCAUCAGUUUCUUCCAAUUGUUUAUAAAGUUGAUGUGUGAAUAUUCGAGCACUAGAAAAUACCUGAACAAGACUGCAGAAAAAGCGGGUCCAUUACCUAACUAAUCUUGGUUACUCCCGUUUAGUGAAUUUUCGGAUUUUAAUACUCGGUUUUCUUGACCCAUAUAUGGUGAAAGAAAAAUUUCGAUCUUUUGAUGCGAUAUUCAAAUCUAGUCAUGUUUGUAACACAUCUCCUUUUACAAGAUGUUCGGCUCUUGAAUAUGCAGAUGAUCAGAUAUUAAUACUAUAUAUGCUUAAGAAGUCCUACUUGUCACAUAUACGAAAAACAAGUACAUCAACCAAUAGUAUCAUAGCAGUGAUACUAAAAUGGAUACUAGGAAUGAUUUGUUACGCAAUAGAAAGGUUCCAAAUCUGGAAUCUAGAAUCUACGUUUAGAACUGGUUUUCCAUUUUUGGAAUCUAGAACCUACCUUAUUUAUCUUGAAAGCGACCUUGGAACUUACCUUGUUUGUCUAGUCUAGUUCUGAAUUCUAUCCCGAGAUUUUUUUUUUUUUUUUGGCUUCAUUAUAAAUAAAUAAAAAAAGAAGACAAAUAGCAAUUAUAGUAAUAUGAGUAACAAAAUAGCUCAAAGUAAAACAUCAAUACAAAACAAACAAAAAUAUAAAGCAAUAGGAAAGUUAAGCUUGUUUAAGAAUAAUAAACCAUAUUCUUCUAACUUAAAAAAUAGGUUCUACGCAAUUCUUGAGUGGGUGAGUGAAUGGGUAGGUUCAACACUCGGAACUUAUAACCUAUCCGCACAAUACCAAUUCCAAAAAUUUGAAAUCAUGAAUUGAACUUGUUUCUAUAAGGGUCUAGUCAGUUCCAAAGUAGAAUCGGAUCUAUUGCACAGCCCUAGUGGACACAUUGCACAUUACAUAGACCUAAUUAGGUGUUGGGACGUAGAGCCAACUGGUGUUGGGUGAUGUCUGGAUUACUUUAUCUGCUAAUGACAGAUUGAUUGUUGAUUAGAGUUUUAGGUUCCAUUCUUUUCUUCAAAAUGAAUUAUUUGUGAAAUAUUUUCCUAAAAAUAAUCGUUUGUACUGCUUGCAAUAAUUGGCCAAUUAAAAAUAUUUUCAUUAUUAAUAACAAUUUAUAUUUGAAUAUUUUCGUGAAUAAUGAAAAAAUUUAUGCAUUUAUUUUUCUAAGCAAUAUAAAAUAUUAUUUUUAGAAAAUUAUUUUUUAAAUUAUUCAUUUGCCGCGAAACAAAUAAGAUUGUAGAUAAAAUUCUUAUAUCCCGUCCCCAUGGAUGUUGUGAUUCCUUUAUUCAUUUCACCUUAUCUCUUUCUUUCUGUUCUCGCGAUUGCUUUGACGUUAAAUACCUAAUCUUGACCAACAUGGAAACCUCAGUCAAAAAGUUCAACUAAUUUUCUAGACAAGGGGAGGCCCAUGGAAUCAAAAUGAGCAAUUCUCUCUUUUCCUUCUCCAGGAAAAAGCAUAACCUAAUCCUAGCACUUCAACAUGCUGUCAGGAACAUGCAUUAUUCGGUAAAAGGACACCAUGGAAUGUUCUUGAUCAUAAAGUGUCCCCCCCUCCUUUAUAAGUAUUCAAACUUAAGAAUGUCCCUUUUUGAUUAUCAAAAAAGUGGGCUCUCUUCUCUCUUCUUUAUGAUUAGUGUCUAAAUAAGUAACACUUGGAUGAUGAUUCUGCUCACAAAGCGUGCAUAUAAGCCAACCAUCCAAUUCUCUUUCUCUCUCACACACACCCAAAAGCAUUUCAAUCAAAUUAAUGCAAGCAUGAACAAAAAGUUGGGGUGUCUUAGGGCUUUCAAUAAUGAUAAUGUGGAGGGGGAAGAGAUAACACAGUACAAUGAAAAGGAGUUAUUUUGUGGGUUUCUUUUUUGGGGUGGAGAGAAUAUUUCAAAGUGCAUGCGGAGAGAGAGUUUUUUUAUGUUAAAUUUUUUGAGUGCAAACUAAGCAUGACAAACCCUAAAAGUGAGGCUUGCUCCCUCUUGACAUCAUUCCACUCACCUUCUUCCCCUUCUCAUCCCGAGGCAAAUCCUUCCAUUAUACAUCCCCCCCUCCUUCCCUCUCUUCCUCGUCAACACAAUCUCUCUCGCUCUCGCUCGCUCCCUCUCUUCUUCUCCUCUCUCUCAUCACCCACUAUCUAUUGCAUGAGUAUUUCCUUCAUGUUGGCCAUGGGUUUGGAGUCUAUCGAUCACCUUCAUAAGUUUUUUCAUGCACGGACCUACCCUCUUUCGGCCAAUCCAAAACCCUGCUUCUGAGUCAAGUUCUGCUAGGAGCUCUGGCUUGAUAUAUUCAUUUAUAUAGCUACUGUCAUGCAUUUGUGUUGUGUUUUUAUCUUUUCAUGUUUCGUCAACUUCUAGUUUUUCUCUUUUCGUUUUUGUUCGAGCUAUUAGGCAAUUUCUACCGUGUAUCGAUCCCUAAGAAUACCAAGCUAGCUGAAUUCAUUCCAUCUGCCCUUAUUUUUCUUUUUUUGAAAUUAUCGAUCUUGUACUAAUGCACAAGAUUAAUUUUAACAACACAAAUAGCGGCACAUAGAAUGUUUUCAUACAUGAAUACCAAGAAUAUGCAAUGAUUUGGGUGAUCCCCACUUCACCAUCACAUUAAUUCCUCUAACCACCAACAAAAAACCAUGAAUUGACUCCAUCAAUCCAAGGAAACCCUUUUCCCUACCAAAGAUGCUCAAGUAAUAAUUGUGUUCUCGUGCUUUUGCAAGCAGCAUGAGAGCGUUGGUCUGAAAGCUGAAACCAGCACAAGGCUCUUUAUUCACAUGGUGCAAAAGAAUGUUGGGGCAAACGUGUGGCCUGCUGAUGAUGGAAGUUAAGUCCUUGACUUUUGCGUUUGGCUUUUAUCUAGAACGAGUUUGACAGGUAUAGGUGGGAAUGAAGCUAAAGCGGCAAAAAGACAGCGAUAUUGGUGAGGUUCAAUCCGAAGACGGAUUUACAUAUGGGUUGUAAAAGACGAUCUCAGAUUGAGCCGCGCCAAUAUCACUCUCUACGUGACAAGUUUCAUUCCUGUUCGGUCAGAAGAUUUCUUCUCAUUGCAGGUGCGGUCAUAUGUGGCAUAGCCGAUCGAGGAUACUCCGUCUUCAUCUGAUUUCUUUCAACGUGCUAUCACGUUGUUUCUCAUCUUAUCUUCACUUUCACUUGCAUAAAGACUUAGUGGAAGCACAUAGUCAAACUACCUGUCUGCAUUUUUCCUCGCAUCUUGCAACUUGUUUCCAUAAUAUCAACGGCAUACUUCAUGAGUUGUGAAGUUCUUAGAUUGAACAAGAAAAUGCUAGAUGGCAUGUUGGUUUUCUAAUAGAACUACUUUCUAUUUGCUAAAUGUUGAUUUAUUCAGUGAAAAAUGUUUUACUAAUAUCUCUCAUCUAUGCUACCACUAUUUUGUGAGCUUUACUUUGUUGGUCAUUGGUUGACAAAUGCAUCCUAUAUAGGUCACAUUAGAAGAUUGCUAGCGUUUAUAUUCGAAAAUUUUAUCUUUAAUUAGCAAAUGAUAUAGCGAAAAUGUAGACUUACUAAUUGGACUUUUUAGCGCAGGCGGCAUGAUCUUUGGAUUGAUUACACAAUAUACAUCUCUAGCAGGGUUGAUUUGGAUUGGUUUAUCCCCAAAAAUGUAAUCGUCGAUCUCAACAGUGAUGGAGAAGACUUAUACAAAUAAAAUGUUGCUCAGCCUGUGUAGCAAAACAAUUUCCAUGUUAAUUAUGUGAUAUGCUCUUGGAGUUCCAUCUGUACAUUAAUGUUCUUUUAUAUUCUUUUCUCUUCCGGGGCCCAGAGUUGAAGCUUGUGGCUUAUAAGAGCUUGAGCACGUUGCCUCCAUGGAACCAGCUAGGUACGUGAAAAUAGCACUUUGAUCAUAUCCAGUCCAUGAUAUUUCCCUAAAUAACUUUAUGAGAUUUGAUGGGUAAAUGUAUAUCUUUGCUGAUCAUUGAAUCUUGAGGCUAUUUUAGCUUUUUCCGUAGCCACUGCAAUUCAACCUAUAUCAUUGCAAUUACUCCUUUUUAAAUACCACUUUCCGUAUUGUUCUCAUGUCACUACUCUGUUGUAGUGCCGUCAAAACUAUCUAUGAAACUUUGACGUAGACACAAGCUAUCAAUGACACUUCACUUUACAAUACGUGCAUAAGCGAUCUCAACAGUAAAGUCGCAGAGUUUCAACAGUGGAAUACAGUACUAAAAGUUGAUAAGUUGCGAUGGUACAAAUUAUAGGUACAGUAAAGAGAAAAUGAACAGCCGCCUGUUAAUGUCCAGCAAAAGAGAUUUAAGUGGUCUUUUUUCGAUAAGAAUGAGUAUGUGAUUAAUUGAUGUAAAAGAUGCUGAUCAAGUAUGUUCUGGGAAUAACAUAUAGUGCAAACAAUCUGUAUACGCCGAUAUAAGUCACUGUUACCAUGUUGUCCAGUCUGCGUCGGGGAAAACGCGUGAGUACAGCUACUUGUUGACGUAGCAUAUAUCAUCUUUAGCCACCGAGUUCCUCGCAAACUUUCUGGUAAAAAGUACUUUCAUGUGGCCGUCUUUUAAUAGAGCUAGUCGAUCAAUUGAUAGACUCUUGUACCGACGCAUGCUAGUCACAUAAGUGCACAAAGAAAUAUUGUCUUAUGACUGUCUCAUCAACUUUUUAAUAAGAAAUAUUAUCAUGUGACUGUCUCUUCAAUAAAACUAGUUAAUCGAUUGAUAAACUCUUGUACCGAUGCAUACAAGUCAUGUAAGUCCAGAUUUUUUAUCCGAUGGACUUCAUUGCAGCACAAUUAACCAAAUCAAAGAUUUAAAUGUAUUGCCCGGCAUGCACCACGUACGUGCAAGAAAUUUCCAAAUUGGUAGAUCAAUUUAUGUAUUUUACUGGUGAAACUUGCACUUGGGAAAGAGGUACAUCAGACGCUCAAUCCAUGAGGCGAAAAAAUUGUUUCUGUGAUGAUCUCUUCAUUUAGUGAUGAUCAAUGUACUUCUUCAUUUUCAGUAAUUUUUUGGGUUCUCACGGUUGAUCUGGCCUGUUUAAUUUUCUAUAGUUCUUGCAAUGGCAUGAUGCAGUGUGUCUGAAGCCCCACAUCGGAAUAUAAGCCAUGAUCUCGUUUCGAAUUUAUAAACGACACUACAAGAUCCGAGCUCAGUUGGAAGGCAAGGUGGAGGGAAAAAACAAAUUAUUUAUUAUUGUAAACUCAGAAAUGGGAAUUGGAGGAAUACUAUAAUAAACUAUCUCUUCUCAGAAUUAUAUUGAUCCACGGAUCCUUUUUUUCUUUUUCUUUUUUUUCUUUUUGCACUUGUAAAUUCCAACUAUAUGUUGGCAAGUGUCAAGUAUUCAUUGAUGAAGUAUGGUUAAUGACUUUUUUCAAAAAUAACUUGGUAACUUUUACCAAAUCAACAUUUUUGUACUAUCUCAUUACUUUAAUUUACAUAACUUGCCAAUGCUCCAAAUAACUAACAAUUAUACUAAAUUAUCAACCUAAUUUAGAGUAAUUUAUUAAAUUUUUAUCAUAUUAAAUUACUACCUAGUUUUGGAGUACCAACUUUCAUAUGCAUUAUUUAUCAAUGUUUAUUUUUUUUUUCAAUUAACCAGCUUAUCCAUUGGAUUACUAAUUUUUAUUUGCCUUGGUUAGCAACCCCUUACAUAUGUUAACUAUGUAUAGAAAUUACCAAACUAAAUAAGCUUGACCUUUACCGACUCUCAUUUGAUUUAUUUAAUGACGUUUCUUUGAUUUUUAUAGUUUGUAAACUUCAUAGAGUAUAAUCCAGGUGUAUUGCUGGUCAAAUUGGGGCGCUAUCCAAAUGAGUGCGCAUUAUCGCUGAUAUAGUGAGAAGUAGUUGGGAGUUGAUAUUUUGUCAAAUGUGAUUCCAUUGCUCAACUUCCUUUUUAAUUUUUUCCAUAGUCAUUUUUUUACCAAAAGAAAAGAAGAGGGGGGAGGGUGGAGGGAGGGGGGGGGAAGUUUCUUUCUUAUUUCUUGUUCAUCCACAAUUCAGUUAGUUCAUUAGACUUCUAAAACAGUCAAUUAAGGGUCCGUUCGAUUCGCGGAAAAUGGGCCAUUUACGGAAGAUAUUUUCCCAUAAGUCAUUUUUCAGGAAAAUGAUAAUAUUUUUUUGUGUUCGGCUAAAACCUGAAAAUAUUUUGGAAAAUAUUUUCCAGUGUUCAAUAAGGAAAAUAUUUUCUAAGACUUCACCACUUAUCACUUAUCAACCUAUAAAUCCAUCAAAUAUGAACUUGCCUUUAAAUUUGAACAAAUUUACUUCAUAUCUUUAUUUCUUCAUUGUCGCCAAACGCUCGUCUACUCUAAAAAAUGUUCAUAUGGAUUUUAAAAAGAAGCAAAGCAUGUACAACCCUAAUGAGAAUCUUCCAGUUAAUUGGCAUAUUCUCCCCUUGCAUUUUUUGUGUUCUAAUAAACAAAAUAAAAAAGAAGCAAAGCAUGUAAAGUCAUUUGCUUGAGCAAUGAUAACUGCAGCGUAGAGUAAAUAAAGAAAAUGAUAAGCAAGAGUCCAGAGCACAAGCUUGAGAUCAAUGAGCUCGAGGUUCGCUUAGCAACGGCCAACGACUAGUCAAGAAAGAAGAAAAUUGGAAACAAAGGGAAAAAAAAAAGAAAAAUAAAACAAGAAAAAGAAACUAAAAAUAAUUCGAAUUAAAAAAGAAAAUUAAAAAAUAAUUCGAAUAAAAGUAGAGGUGUGAGAUAAGAAAUAUCAAGUUAGGAAAAUGUUUUCCACUUUUCAAAAGUAGAAAACAUUUUCCCCAAAAUUAGAAGAUUUUUUUGCUUUCAUGGAAAACAUUUUCCCUAAGGAAUUCAUUUUCCGUGAAACGAACGCUGAAAAAUCGAGAAAACGUUUUCCCAAAAAUUAUUUUCCGCGAAAUGAACAGAGCCUAAGUGACAUAUAUUAGAGAUGCAUUUGUGUCGCUGAAACAAUCAUUUUUAAGAAAUUAUUUUUUUAAAUCGUCAAUUUUUUACAAAACAAACAAAGCAUAGAAUGAUUCAGUUCCAACCAUAUCACUAUGUCACGUGUCAUUAUGCACAAUGUGACAUAGUUCUCUAGUGAAUGCCUCACUAGCUUUCCAUUAAAUUUUCUUUUAUAAAUGGUUGACGAAGCAACCCGAUCGAAAAAAUUCGAAAACAGCAUGGCUAAUUUCUUAUAUGCAACAGGAAAAUAAUUAAUUUGCAAGUCAAAUUGUUCCUAAAAGAAGAUAAUGAUAUGGGGUUGGCAUAUAGUUAAUGUAUGCUUACUAUUAACUUAAACCCCCAAAAUAUAAUAUUUUCAAUUAAAUUAAACAUGCUAGCCACCGAGCUUUGCAAGACGCGCUUUAUGGGUAAUGAAUGGUUUUUAAUUAAUUAUUAAAUGCAAAUAUUGUAUUUUCUUUGUAACACUCUAAUGUAGAUAAUAAUCCCCUCUUUAUAAUUAAAAUAUUUAGGUCAAGAAAGUACAUUACCGUAAAAACCUGGCCAAUUGUUCAAAGCUCUUUUAAUUGAGAAAUUGUCCGACUAGUCUUAAACUUGUCAUACGGAUAACAACUCAAUUUUGUCAUUUUAGUCAUAUAUCUUUAUGUGAUAUUCGAAUAUAGUCAUUUCAGUUAAUUUUCACCAAAUCUCAUUGACGUCGUGAUGUGGCACAUCAGAUGAUCGGCAAUAACUAAAUCAUCAUGUCAGUGAUUCUUAGCGAAUAUUGACCAAAAUAAUUACAUUGUAAUUUUGUUUAGAAGUUUAAAAUUGAAUUAACAUCCACAUAAUAGGUUUUUAACAUAUUGGAUAAGUAUCCCUCCGUAUAACGGUUCAAGUUAAGCAAGUGAGAGGAUAUUAACAGGGAACAUCUCUCAUAAAGGCGUAAGAAAAUGUGACUCCUCCGAGCUAACUUGUCGCCACUUGGUUUUGUCUUUUUUGUGCUUUCUUUUUUACAUGAUGAAAAUGUUGAAACUACUCGGCUGGUCCAAUGACAAUUGAACUAGAAUGAGAUCCGUGCCAUGCGAGGGAUAUAAUGACUUUAUUCUUAAAGAGUAAACAGUUUCAUUUUACUCAAUAUCUGAUCACUUGAAAUUAGAUAAUAAACAAAAACCUUAUCAUUGCAUGAUCAUCUCUAAUACAUCAUAUUAGUAUAACUAUUUCAUGGUAUGAUUUCACAUAGGUUAACUUGUCUAAAAGGCGUGGGAGCGAAAAAUUUGGAAGAAGUAUUGAUCUUAGGUAUCUCCAUAAACAUUGUACAUAAUCUCUACUUAUAUUUUGCAUAUGGCCACUCAAUUUGAAGGCUAUAAAUUAGAGACGUUUGUUUGAUUUUACAGAUGAGACAAAUGUUAGACCCCGAAACAAAUUCAUAUUUUUGUUGAUUGUUCUAGUAUAGUAAUAAUAUUAAUGACAAUUCUUUAUGCAGCGUACCAAAUACUUAUCCUUAUGAAUGAAUUACGGACGUGGAAUUGAUUUUCUAUCCAUGAACUGCAAGAUUUUUUUUUUUUUUUGGGUCGGCAACUCCAACUUUAGAAGUAUUUAAAUUUAUUUGUGAAAUUCACCAACCAAGAGAAGAGCGAGAACUGGCUUUUUUUCGAAUAUUGGCUUAAAACCUAAGAAUGAAUAAAGAAAACUGGAGUUUUUUAGUACCCAACAACUCCUACUUCAAAAAUAAAAUUGAAAAAUGAAAAAAAAUUCCAAGCAUGCCACAUCAUCAUUUUACUAUUCAUCACACCAAUGACUUAUAUAGAUUUAUAGAGUAUGGGGAAGAACAUGCACUCACCAAUGGACAUUAAUAUAUGUGUGUGUGUGUGUGUGUGGCAUAUGAAAAUGUGAAACAUAUGGGAAUAAACGUUAAAUCUCUUCUCCCUACAUAAAAAAAAUUGAUUUUUUCGCUUCUUCUUGAGUCAGCGUAAUGAUCAGCUGCUCUAGUCUAUCGUCUCUCUCCACUUUGAGCAAGUGCACUUCAUUGAGAUCCUCACUCAAGCUCGCCUUCUGAAGAAGAUCAACAGCUUAAACACGAAGCAAAGACGCAAGAUUGUCUCCUGAGAUUGAAGAAAAGACGCCGUGCUUGCACGCAUUCGUAGACAAUCUCAAAGUGCAGUUUCUUCGAACUCCAAGCAAUCGACAUCGAGAUUUUCUUUUUGGCCUUUUUUUUUUUUUUGGCUCUUUUUGGGUCAAAGGACAUCGACAUCACGUUGCUAGAUGUACAUAAAUAAUCGCGGAGAACAACAGGGGUUCGUUCAUGUAAUUACAGAUGUAAACUCAACUACAAUACAGACAACUCGCGGGGAAAUCCGAAGGUUAGUUUCUCUAGCAUGAGAGAUCAUGGGAGAAGACUCGAAAGCACUUUUCUGUCUUCCUUGUUCUUUCUCAAUCCGGCACUAAUUAGGACCAAACAUUCUAGUACAAGAACCAAACUUACAAUAGUACUCGAAUCAAUCAGAAGAGUAGGAACAGCUGAGCAGUCACUUUGAGUUCUGCUUGCCGGCGUUCAGGGGAGAAUCUCUAACGCUUUUGGUCUGGAUGUAACUCCGCUGCUGAGUCGGGUCCGGCUUUUUCUUGCGCCUCCCUUGUUGAUACAACCGGGAAUGGCAAGACGAGAUUGCGAGGUCAUUGAGGUCUUGUAAUGGAGUGAGCACCUUGACGAUUUCGUCCAUCGCGGGGCGGGACUUGGGAUCCCUGCUGAGGCAGUGGAAGGCUAGUUGAGACACCUUCUGGACUCCUUUGAUUGAGUAGUUCAGUUCGAGGCGCGGAUCAACCAGAUGGUAAAGCUUCCUCUUGUCCGUCAAAUGGGGUCGGGCCCAUGUGACGAGGUUCUGUUCUCCGCUGGGACGUUUCUUGUCCAUUGAUCUUCUUCCCGUUAGGAUCUCAAGAAGCACAACGCCAAAGCUAUAGACGUCACUCUUUGAUGUCAAAUGACCUGUGGAAAUGAGAACAAGACAAGCAUCAGGAUAGGGCUUCGAUAGUGUGGAAAAACUCCAAAUCCUCUCGUUGCUGCCGAUGUUUGUCUCAUGAAAAAAUCUAUGUGAGAACUUAGUUCAGACAAAAGAUAAUUGCUCCUGUGCAACUUUGGUGAAUCGGCUCAUGACUAAAACUCAGUAUUCAACCACUAGAUAGACUAAUGUCUAGAAUGAAACUCACUUUUUCUGGUGAAUCACAGUGCUACCUGACACAACCAACUUGUCUUUUUUGAGCUACAAGCAAUGAUAGCUGAAGACCAUUUGUGUCAAGGUAUUAAGAGAGUUGUGUGAUUCUUGAAAAUGUUCAUACAUGAAGCUUUUAGAACCAAUUUAACAAACCAGAUAUCACAGGAGUACCUGUCAUUACAUAUUCUGGAGCAGCAUAGCCAUAUGUCCCCACAACUCUAGUUGAAACAUGAGUUUUGUCUCCCUGAGGCCCAGCUUUCGCCAAACCGAAAUCCGAAAGCUUUGCAUUGUACUCCUGCAGAGCAACGGCUGUUAUAGUUAAUAGAGUGAACAGAUAUUGGCAGUCCCAGUAUAGUGCCAAAGUACAGUAUAGUGCCAAAGUAUGUACCGAAUCAAGCAAAAUAUUUGAGGUCUUAAAAUCUCUGUAAAUGACCGGUUUCCUGUUCCCGUGCAGGAAGGCCAAUCCUUUUGCUGCGCCAAGGGCGAUCUUUAUCCUGUUGGACCAUGGAAGAGGCACGGCUCCUUCAAGAAUUACGACAUAAUCAGUACAUGUUAGGGACAGUGACAGACAGAGCCACAAUGACAAAAAAGCAAACACUUUCACAAUCAAUUUGAAGAACCACAGCUUGGCUCACGACAGUGCUUUAGACCAUUUUGGCAUAUGAUGCAUAACCUAGCAUUGCAACUGGUCAGAACAUUAUGGUACUUAGACAUGAUGCCACAGCCAUGCAAAGGAGGUAGCGAGCUCAUCAGAAACAUUAUGUUGAGUAGGAAAAUCUUGCAUACGCUAGGCAGGCUACCUAAUUAGGUACAUAGGAAAACCCGAUGUGUCAAAUUAACGCCGGGCUUCUUAGGAGCAGGCAAACUUCUCGUCUGUCGGAAGCAUUCUGAAUCAAGCAUGCAAUUUGAUUGCCCAUUCUGAUGGAGUCACUACAUUGAACUGUCGAUAAAGGCAGAAAUCAACACUUACUUCUGAAAAGAUGAUUUUCAAGGCUUCCCCUGGUCAUAAACUCAUAGACUAGCAACCUCUGAUCAUCUUCAAUGCAGCAACCGACAAGCUUAACGAGAUUGGGAUGAUGAAGCUGUCCCAAAAAUUCGACUUCAGCCUACAUUAACGAAUCUGUCGAUUAUGACUCUAUUCUCAGCAUUUCAGCAAGAAACACGCUUGAGACAUCAAUUUAGCUGGUCAGAGUUCUAGAAUUCGCUCACCAUCCAUUCUCUGUGCCCCUGGAGACCAUCUGGCUUCAAGCUUUUGACUGCAACUGUAAUUCCCGAACCAGGUUUUGCAGGUGCCGUACCAUUCUCCUCAAUCCACCCUUUGAAGACAUAACCAAAUCCUCCCUCCCCGAGUAUACUAUCCGGCCUGAAGUUCCCAGUCGCGGAUUUUAGCUCCUGAAAAGUGAACUGGAGAAGCUGGCACCUGGAUUUAUUAUCCGCCAAUGGUGGCUCGGGCGUAUCAGAGGAUAAGCGAGCUUCGUGAGGAGGAUACAUCUCACGGUUGCUCGCAUUGAGGUAUCGCGUCUCGGCUGCUGCAUCAAAAUUAAGAAAUUGCACCCCAUCAAUUUGCAAUGUCGAUUUUAUCCAAAUCAUAAAAGUGGAAAUCUGUACGAGAUCAGCUUGGAUAAGGCUUUAGGUUAUUGAAUGUUCCAACUUUCAAGUUUGACUUAAGCCCAAGAUGACUACUUUCCCGAUGAGCUAUGCAAAUAACCACAUACAGUCUACUGAAAACAAAAGAAAUCAGCAACCGGAAAAAAAAACAAUGAUUUACGCAAAAACUCAGCCAAGAAAACAAAAGAAGGCAAGUGAAAGAGAGAAGCCUUUUCCUGGUUACAAGACUGGUUUUAGCCAAUACCAAACGGAUGGCUCGGAUUCCAUUUAGAUUUGUCGAAUGGAUCUCUGUAAGGGAUAAUUACAUCCCAAAAUCAGCACACAGUACGCUCCUGCCAAACUUCAGUACCCAAUAAGAGCAUGAUGCUGCGUUCUUGAACCAGGUCCAAAGCUUGAAGAGAGAAAGAAAAGAACAUGCGAGAUGCUAUGUGGAAAAGAAAGCGACCCAUUUUGUUCUCUACAUGAAACAAGGAUUGAAUUUUCACAGGAACGCAAGGACAUGAUCGUGCUAGUGCUGUCACCUGCAUCAUAAACGGUGCUGGUACGAGGAAUUGAAUUAGCGGAGUCUCUUGAAGCAGAGGAGGUGCGUCUCAGAACUGCCCAGCAGCCGCACCUGCUCUUCUCCAUCUCUUCUUCUGCUUCACUUCCCCUCCUCCCUUUUCACUUUCAUGGAAUGGCGUCAACUAUAUUGAGCUGAAGAGAUGAGAGAGAAAACAGACAGCAGACAGAGAGAGAGAGAGAGAGGGGGGGCGAGGCCAAAAGGAGAUUCAACACACUUAUGAGGUGUGAGAAACAGAGGAGAGGCAGAGGAAUAUGAGGAUGAGAGAGAGAGAGAGAGAGAAAGGAAUUCGGUGUUCUUUUGCUGUUGGAGAUUGCAGGGAUCAUCAUCACCAUCAUCGCGGUGUGUACAAAAAGAACUUUUUUUCCUUCCACUUUUUGCUUGUGGGGGAUGGGAAGCAAUUCUCUCUCUCUCUUUCUCUCUCCCCUCUUUCAAGAAUUGAAAUUUGCCCAAAAUUACUAAAAUGACUAUGAAAAUAAUGAGGCCAAACAGAGUGACUGAUGCAAUGUGGAUUGUCCUGAACGUUCUUGCUUUAACAGCUCCAGGCGUUGUCUUGCUCGAAACGGAUUAGUACAAAGACUAGCAAGAAGCUUUUAUGCAAGACGGUGCAUCUUCAACCAUAAACAACACGUUCGGGCUACGGUUUUUAAGAGCAGACAGACAAUGCUGAAGUGUGGACCAGAUCGAAUGAAGUUGUGAAAUGUACAUUGACUUAAUUGGACGGUCGGUGAGUUUGGACUAAAUCCGAUCUUUUUUUAGACCGGUUUCGAAAUUUUUCAUGAAAAGAGAUGAUUCACUUGUACAUUGUUAUGUUGCAGUGUGUAGCCAUGCUUGGAUAGACGUUGUAGCCAUCAAGAAAAUAUUAGCAAGCAGAUUUUAUCAACAACUACGCUUAGAAAAAUUAAUUAAUUAAGAAACGUUUUUUUCUAAAAAUAGUAACUUACAACGUUUGCAAAAAUGAACUUUACCAAAAUGAAUGAAUGAAAAAUGUUUUCAUCGUCCAUGAAAUAUUUAAAUAUAAAUCGUUGUGUAUAUGAAAACAUUUUUCAUUAACUAAUUAUUUCAAACAACGUAAUGAAUCAAUUCUAGGAAAAUAUUUUCCAAAUAAUUCAUUUCGCAUGAAACAAACGCACUCAAAGAGUUAGAAAUUGUUCUGUAAAUUUUUCUUGGCCAGAUAGCUUUAGGGAAAUGAAUUUUAUUAGGUCUAAUGCCAGCGCUACCUUAAUUCUACUCGUCCAUAUGGGUGAUGUAUAAGGUAAUUGCGUAGAAAAAGCAAUAUAUACCAAGAGGGAAAAUAUUGGUUGACACGAGACCCAGUAGAAACUUUUUUCAGAACUCUCUUCGUGCGAGUGCAGAUUUUAGAAUUUCUACAUAUGAAAAGCUGUAUGAGUGUCAUUUAUGCAAGUAUAAGCAGAAAUUAAGAAAGAUGUAAAGUUAUGUAGCACAUAUAUCUACAGCAAUGUAGCAGAUAUAUCUAUUGCACUUUUUUACCUUCGAACUAUAUCAAUCUUACGCUGUGUACGUGUCAGUUUGCUUUCUUCUUCAAUAAUUAUCAAAAUAAUAUUUAAUAUACAUGAAUAUCCCCCACUUUAUAUCUCCGUAGGUUCUGAUCAAGUGAUCAAGCAUAAACUCGUAAAAAUAUUUAACAUGCAGUAUGUCUUCAUCAUACACUCAAAGAAAUCAAAUACUUUGAUAAGUUUUUGUGAUCAUCAAAAUGAUCAAAGAGAUUUCGACUUUCCUUUUCAAAUUGUCCAACAAUAGUAGUCUAAAAACUCAAUUACACAAAAAGAGCACAUCCGAAAACAACAUUGAACGAUUAAAAGAAAGUUCGAAGAUUUAUAAUAUAUUUAUCCCUAUUCAAAAACAACAUUGAACGAUUAAAACAAAGUUCAAAGAUUUAUAAUAUCUUUAUCCCUUUCUUGAGGAAAUCUCACUUUAACUCUGUUUGUUUCGCAAAAAAUGAAUUAUUUGAAAAAUAUUUUUUUUCAAAACGAUUGCUUGUAUCCAUUAAAAAAAAAAUGAACAAAAAGAAAUUUCAUUGUAUACGAAAAUAUUUAAAAAAUAAAUUCUUAUUGAUAAUGAAAGAGAAUUGUCGUUGGCUAAUUAUUUGAAUUCCGUUUGUUUCACAAAAAUGAAUGAUUUGAAAAAUAUUUUCUUAAACAUGAUGGCUUGUAUCGCUUAAAAUAUAUAGCUCAUGAAAAAUGUUUUCUUUAUAAACAACAAUUUAGGUCUAAACAUUUUCAUUUCUUGGAAUAUAUUUUUCAAAUCAUUCAUUUUUCAUUGAACAAACGAAACCUUAGUUCACCUAUAGUUUGUUUUCGGAUUCACACAUCACCGUCCGCAUCCAAAAUCUAUGUCAAACACUUACACAAUCGUGAUAUCAUGCUUCAAGUAUAUAUAGUUCAAAAAAAUUCCAAUUCUAAAAAGUUGAGGGGAAUGUGUGAGCAAAUUCGGGAAAAGAAACCCCACAUUGGGCAAUACAUGAUGAGACAUUAGGCAAAGUGAAUGUGGAACUAAAGAAUGGGAAAACUAAGAUAAAUAGACCUACAUGAAAAAUAAAUGAAUGUAAAGGAUGUGGAAAUAGCUCUCAAGCAAGUUAGAAAUGUACCGACCCGAAGACUUAAAUCAUUAGUUAAAGAAACAUUACAUACAUAUAAGUCAUGCCUCUAUAUUUUUGUUUCUUUUUUUUUUUUAACUUUGAAAUACUCAUCGACUAAUUAUGAACCAUUUACUCUUAUUUCUUCUUCCCACAUUAUUAAUUCAUUUCUUAUUUUCCUUUGUAGAUUAAUGUUUCGGAAUAGCGCGAACCGAACUCAUUAGUGGUUUAUUUCAACAGCUUUAACUAUGAAAGAGGGACGAAAAUGACUGACCAAAGCGUAACUUAUAACCCUAGACACCUGUGAUCUACAAACAUCAUGCACUUCGAGUAAGCACGGAAUAACUUUCAGAGUCGAAACUGGUGGCUUUUGCCGAUAAAAUAAUAAGUGCAUCAAUCUCGCGGCUAAAAAGUUUUGGGUGGACCGGCCCAAGAUUUUCUCCACAAGCCGUGUCUGAGACAUUAAUUUUCUGAGUAAUUUAGUUUAAUUGCUGUAUUUUUAUUUUUAUUUUUUCCUUCCUUUUCUUUUUCUUUUGGGCAAAACAAGGUUGAGAGCCAGUCCUGUGACCUCGACAGGAAAACAAGGGAGCACCAUGCCUUUGAGGCAUGAUGAUGCGCCCUAUUAUUGUCCUCUUAUUGCAUUAAAACUCUUGUACAAGGCCACUGGGCGUCCGAAUAGUCAUCUAGAUUUCCAUUACUUUGCCAAACUAUUUGGAACUCCCUCUCUCUCUCUCUCUCUCUCUCUAAAAAGAAAUAUUUUUCCAAUUUCACGGAGGUUUACUAUUGUAACCGGCAAUUAUGACGCUUUUGGUAUGAUCUCACGGCACUUGGCAUUCACGUUUCGAGGUUAAUUUAUCCAAACUCGACACAAAUUACUAAAUAAAUAUGCAAGAAAACGUCACAUGGCAAGGUGUUUGCUGGUGCUACAAAGGUAAUGUCCAAGAGAAUUACCUAAUAGAGGGCUCAAAUUGCUUCCACUUACCAAUGAUUCUUCGUUGUUUCGCCGACCGCAAAUAAAAUCUAAACGAUUCUAGGGCCUAUAAUUGGGUGGUCAAAGCUAGACGAAAGAUGGUCAAGAAGCAUAUUUUUAGUGCAAUCCCAUCAAAAUCUCUCUCUCUCUCUCUCUCUCUCUCUCUCUCUCUCAAUUAUUCCAUUCAUGGACGGGAAAUGGGAGGGUUAUGAUAGGUGGGCUUCCAUGGUUAAGUAUUUUUUUUUUCCUUUCAAAGAGAGAAGGGGAAAAGUGAAGUGGGGGAGUGGGAGGAGUGUGAGUAGUGCUUGGUGAGGAGUCAUCUCAUCAACCACCAAAGAAAAUAUAUUCUAUGAUGCUUUGGUUGGACAAAAGCAUUUUUCGAUCCUUAUUCUCUUUUCUUUUUUCCUUUUUUUAUCAACACGAAUCGCGUUUUAACACCAAACUAUAUUUCAUGAAGCGUGAGAUCACAAGUCGAAUCUUAAUAGAAAUGACUCUCUCAAAAGCCUCUCCGCACUCGUAAUCACUCAACCAAGCGUCGAACGGAGGGACUGUCAUGAUUCGAUGCGAUGAGGUCUAAGAAGAUCGAAACUUGACUAGGAAAAAGAAAAAGAAAGAAACAGAGAAAUCCUUAUUCUUUCUUUGUUUUUGUUUUUAAGGUGCCUUCUCUAGACUGUGCUGACCAACUUGACAAAAGCCUUGUGGAAAAGGAGUGAUACCCAUCUUCCCCCACCUAGGCACUCACUACAUGGACCCACGGCCCACCGAAAAGAACGGCAUUUACAUAAUUAAAUAUAUAUAUAUAUAUAGAGAGAGAGAGAGAGAGAGAGAGAGAGAGAGAGAGAGAGAGAGACGUGGGGCACCACAAGCUCAAUCAUCACAUGGGGCAAGGCAAGAUAUUCCAUUCUUGGAGGUGGUAAAGUUUCCCCCAGCAAUACUGCUGGAGGAGGAGAGGCCCAUCUGUCCUGCCGAGACAGAGACAAGAGAGAAUGCAGUGAACAUGUUACUCAUCACUCACAUUUUCACACUUAAAAUCACUUUCCAUAAGCAUCUUGAUGAAAGCACCUAUUACAUGCCGGGAUUUCUCAACAUAAUCAUGAAUUUUUUUUCCAAAUUAUAUUACUAGAGUGUAAGCUUGAUCAUUCGAGGAAAUUAUGCGACGCUAGAAGUGGGCCCACGAAAAGUAAAAGGGACGCUAGCCGACAAUUCUUGUACGUAAGGAUUCAUCUUGAUUAUUUGCCCAAAAAGCAAGAUUAAUACUAUAGAAAAGAGGGGGGAACCUCACGGAAAGUUUUUUCUCAGAAUAUCCUACAGUAUGUAAUGCAUGAACCGUGCUUUUUAAGAUAGGUUCGAGGAGUAGCAACGGUUCAUAGAUGCCUUCACUUAUUUGUUGAAAUUGUCUCCUCGAGUCAAGAUAGGGCAUGAGUUAGGAAUUCUUCCUUCUAUCGGGCCCUGUUAGGCUAGAUUUCAGCCCAUUCAUUUUGUACUUUAUUGGGCUUUCUUUGUCUGUUUUCUUGUCCUUCAAUUGCUUUGCACUAGUGACCAAUUUAUGGAUGUGCGCUGGGGGAGUCAAAACUGGCUCUAAGCCAAGGUGCUAUCACGCCCCGACCCUCAAGCGCAAACUCAUCCCUCAAUAAUCGAUUAAAUUUGCGAUUUCUCAAGCCGAACCGUCGACCCUUUCAUUUUACUGCACAUGCGAGAGCGAAUAAAUAUCCCCUGACAAUAAACAGUUUGAGAUAGGAAAGUAAGCAACAAUUCACAAUAAAAAAAAGCCUUUUAUAAACACACAAGGUUUAUAUACACAGCACUAGACUAACUACAAAAGUCCGGCUCAACAAAAAGAGAACUAUCGUAUGACCAACUAGUCAGACACGUUCACCAAUCCUCCGGGGCUUUGGGUCCUCUACGACUGUUAUCUAAGAACUUGAAAAUGGUUAUACAAUAAUAAGUGAAACGAUGUCUCAGCAAAUUCACCCCUUAAACUCUGACUAUAAAGAAAAUACGCCCCAAGAGCUACCUAAGCACCAACACAAGUCAAAGGACUUACCUUUACCUCGGAUCCUUCCUGCAAGUCAAUAUAAUCAAAUACCCGACCAAACAAUUCAACUCAAUUCAACCAUCAAUCAAUCGACUCAUUCGACUUCAUACCAUCGAUACCAUCUAUAACUCUAUCGAUUCAAACACUGCUCUCCUAAACUGAAAUAGAUAUAACCAUAUAUCAUUGCUCCCAAAAGCUUAUGUCUAAAAUUUACUCACCGAAGCUGCUAGAUCAAUUAUUGUUCACCGAAGCUGCUAAUAACAUUUGCUCACCGAAGUUGCUAAAUAACUAUAAUGAUCGCUGAAGCUAAUAUCUAAAGUGCUCACCGAAGCUGCUAAAGUAUUAUUGCUCACUGAAGCUGCUAUAAACUUAUAAUGGUGUUGAUGCUCCCCGAAGCUGCUAUAGAUCUAUCUUGCUCACCUAAGCUGAUUUGGUGCUUAAAGACCACUUUUGGUGUCAAUACCCGACACCCAAUAUUUUCCAAUUAAAAUACCAAUAUUUCACAACCAUCACUCAAUUUCACAAAUAUAACAAUCAAUUGAACAAACUAACCACACUACUGCGUUCAGUGCCAAAUUCUAACAAACGACUCUCCCAGUAUAAUUUUCGAAAAAUAUUUAUUAAUUAAUAAUUAAAUAAAUUCCGAAAAUUAAUUUAAUUUAAAUAUAAAAUAAAAUAAUUAAAUAAUAUUUAAUUUAAAUGAAUAAUUAAUUAAAUGCAAUAAUUAGUUAAAAUUCUAAUUAAGAUUACACUAAUCUAAUUACAUAAUUAGACUAAUUAAUUCAUCCACUAAUCUAAUCAUGCACAUAAUAUAAUCAACAUUUAAUUAAACUAAUCUAACAACCUAAACAUACUUAGCAUAAUCUAAACACCACAUAAGAAUAAUUAACUCCCUAAGCAGAGUUUAGCCGGUAAACUCACCGGAUUAACGAGCCGGUGAGUCCACAGCGACCGCGGCGCGACCGCGGCCGAUUAGCUCCAAAGCGGCGAUGACAAACAGAGACCAGGCCGGGCCAAAAACGGCCACGAAACUUGCUGGAUUUUCUUUGCGGCUGUUGGGCUCGGCUUCAAACUUCGGUGGGCUCGGGAACAAGGAGAAGACACGGGCUGCUGACUGGAUUCUUGCGGGCUGAAGGCACGGCUUCGAUGGAGGCGCUGCGGACGAAGACGCGGCUGGCUGAUCGUGGGCCGCUUCAUGAAGACCAACGGCAAAGGAGCAGCUGCUUCGGUGUCUUGCGGCUUCGGAAGAUGUGGCUGCUGGAGUCAACAGGAUGGGAUUUCGGUGGGGGUGUUGACCGAACAAGGAGGAAGCUCGGACGCGUGGGGCAAAAUGGAGGGGGAUACGGUCUGUGGGCUUCUUUGGCUGUGAGAGAGAGAGAGUGAGUGGAGGAGAGAUGAUGAUGGAUGGAUGAGGAACGUGGAUGAGGGAAAAAUGAGCGAGCGGUGGGAUGGCUGAUCGAAGGAAAAAAAAAAAAUGAAAGCAAAACAGAAGCUAAAAAGGAGAUGGGGUUGAUCGAGCGAAGAGGGUGACGGUGGGGGGAAGAAAGCGUGCAAGAGGAGCUAGCUAAGAGGAGAAUAAAAGUCAACCACUAAGAUUUGCCCAAAUGGUCAUCCUUCUAACUUGGAAGGGAAAAGUUGGGGGUUCGAAUCCCCACAUUCUCAGGGGAAUUGGGGUGGGGACGAUUUAAUUUUAAAAGUUGGUUUCGACUCCCACGCCUUAUAAUGAGGCAAAACAAAAGUCUGAGAGUAGAAUCGACAAAAAAAAAAAUAGGAGGAUAAAAGUCAAUAACCUUAACCAACUAAUUGAAUGCUUGGUCCCCUUAAAGUCCACACACCUAUCUCUAAUGUCCCCCGAUUAUUUCUUGUACAAUAAAUCCGCUAAUAAUCCCAAUUAAAGCAAAAAAUGCAGCCCCCAUAAUAGCAUACGAAUUUCUUCAAUUUUGGGCUUCCAUUCUUUAUCAAAUUCCUCAAAUUUGAUGUCCAAUUUCGUUGAAGAAAAUGCCCAUACCAUUUCUUAAGUCCCUAACACCAAAUAGCUCAGCUUGAAAGUCAAAACUCCCCUCAAUUCGGUCAAUCCGAAUUUCUAUUCGUUUUCUGAAUCGUCUGUAUCGAUUUUUAGUAAAAAUCUCGAAUUCUCCGAAAAUUCUUCGAAGGAUGAGUCGAUGUUCCUAAAAUAAAUCGUGACAUGACAGAACUUUUAAUUUCUGAAAUCGGGUUUAAAUUCGCUGUUAAUUUCAAUCUGACGUGAUUUUAGCGUAACCUAACCUACCAAGUAGAUUUCAAGAAUUUUUGGUGCAAUUGACCCGUGAUUGAUUCAUCUCGAGUCACAACCUACAUCUUCGACCCAUUAGCAGCUUUCGAUUGUCGUGAAAAUCUCAAGAUUUCAAUUACGGGCACAGGUACCAAAAUGACAGAAAAAUCGGUUUAGUGCCAAUCGACGAGAAUUUUGCAAUUUGGUGGAAUUACCCACACUCAAUCACACACCUCAGUCGAAUCAACCUAUCUCCAGUCCCUAAUAGAUUUUUGACUGUGUCAUAAUGACCCUUGUAGACCAGCACGGUCGAGCAGUCAAUUCAUACUCAAAUUCUCAAGUCUAUAACAUUAAAAUCCCCUAAUGGCUUCCCUAGAUAGUCUAAUUAUCUUAUAAGUGAUCAGCUCAGAGAAUAAUACUAUAAGCGCGUCGAUGAAACGUCCGGUUUAUUCAAUGGAAAAUAGAAUUGAAAAUUCAGGUUGUCACAGGUGCUCACGGCUUCAUUUCUCAAGUGAUCGACGUGGAGAGGAAACCCUAAUCUCUGAAAUCAUGUUUCGGACAAUUGAUUUAAUUUUCCAUAAAGCUUCUAACACCGGAUGAAAUCAUAUAAGUCAUACAUAUGGACCCUCCAUUCGACCUUUUCUCUUACUUUAUAUGCCAUUUGGUAAUGCUAGUUGACAAGAUUGAUUGUUUAGCAAGGUGAUAAAUUGUAAGGGUGUGUUAUCAGUGAGUCAGGUCGAAGCCCUCGACAGAAAUCUAUCACAUAGGCUCAAUGAAUUAAUCUUCAAAGCCAGUCAUGGCAGCUAUAGCAUCGUAUACACGUGUAAGUAUGUCAAUCAAUGUAAACGCAUUUCUUCAAAAGAAACAAGAACUCAAACAAUACAAGAAGUUAGCAUUUUAUGUGUGGAAAACGUUUACAAUAAAUAUGGGUCUGCAGCAUCACCAUAGACCAAAGGUUCACGAUGCUGAGGUAGAGCUAGACAUGAUCAGUGGGUAGGCUCAGGCUAAGCUCACUCGACCCCUCCUAAUAUUUUUCAUUUUGGUGGCAAAUUCGAUGAAUGAACCUAAAAUCCUUCUUGAGCCCACCCAAGCCCACUUACUUGUGUAAAAAUCUUGGGCUUAAGAGGGCCUGAAAGGCAGUCCAUGAAAUUGUCCAUCUAGCAGUCUAUCUAGUUUCUGCAUAGAAACAAUUUUUUCUUCUUCUUUUUUUAAUUUAAUCUGGAAUGAUAUGCUGCAAGGGUGAGCAUCAGUCCACGGUCAACUUUGGAUUGACUCUAAACCGACCCAACCCGAUCGGUCCUAGUCUAAUUUCCAGAAGGACUGGUCAAUCAUUUGUCCUAGGAGCUUAAAGUUAGUCUAACCUAGACCAACCCUAUAUCUAAUAUAUAUUAUGUAUCUAAUAUAUUACAUAUUAUAUGAUUUUAUCUACUCUAAAUUCUAGCACCUCCUCCUUUGUUCUCUUCACGGUUCAGUUUGUUGUGUAAAUCAUAAAGUAAAAAGAAAUACAUACCUAAUUCGACCAAAAAGAAAAAAGCCUCUUCACUCACCUUGGUUUGGCUUGCUUGCCUUGGCCUCGCUUGCUUUGUCACUCACUACUCACCUUUAUUCCAUUGUCUCGUGCGUUUGCUUUUAUGGUUUGUUGCUUUUAGGAAGUGUAAAUUUCCGUUAUUACCUCAUUUUAUAUUUAUAUUUAAUAUAUAUUAAUAUUUAUAGUUUACUUAUUCAAUAUCGCAUUACCGAUAGAUAUAUAAUUAUAAAUAAUAUGCUUUAAGAAAUAUAAAAAAAUAAAAAUAAAAAUUAAUCGGUUAGUCUCAAAUUGACUUUGGGACCGGCCAUUCCUUAGUCAUAGGCUCAACAAGGUCGGUCCUUAAUCUCAAAAAGUGAGAAUCAAUACUAUAUGGGUUAAUAUCCAAAUUAGGUGCUAAACUGGUUACCAUGUUCUCGUACACUUGACUAAAAGUGGAAGUGAUCAAGUAGCAAUUCUCACACAAUCAUUUUCAUGAUUUGCCGACAAGUGCAGUGGUUGGAUUUGGACAUUUUGAUGUCCAUACCCUCAAUUUAUCUCAGCGGCUAUUUUGCGAUUUGUUUUAAAGCAUGUACGGAUCGACAGAGCCCUAGUCAUCUGUUUAGGUACAAGCAUUGAGGCUAGAUAAAACAAAUAAAUAAAAAUUGAAGUGAUGUUUUGCAAAUCCCAUUUAGAGUGAUUCACGUUAUGCAAAAUAUAAAUUCGAAUAAUGUCGAAUAUACUGAAAUUACUCUAUAAAACCAACAAGCUAAAGUAAUGUGGCAAGUUUUUAUCAUCUCAUUUUAUGUUCUUCUACGCCAUACGGAAGAUAAUUUCAUCGCAAUACUCCAUUUGUAUUUCACUUCAUGUACAAGACAUUUUCCUAUUACCAUGCACUUCAGCUUGCCAAGGGCCCUCAAGUUACGGUACCCUACAUAGUAAAUUUGACAAUAGAAAAUAUGUACCCAUAUAUUGUUAUCAACUUAUAGUGUCAGUAGAUAUAUGAUUUAUGAACAUUGCAAAUUAAAAUUAUCUCAACUGUUGAAGCGGGUUUUACCAUUGAACUUACAUACUUAGUCAGUAGGUGACAUGGAUCCAUAUGACACCUUCUUGUGGCAUUCCGUAAUCAAGAUCUAUUAAAAAUAACUUUACCAUUUUAUUGUCUACUUCUUUUGAAUCUUACAAUUUAUACAUUGUCAUUUUUUUAUAUACAAUAUAAAAUAUGUUUGGAAUGAUAAACAUGUAGGUUUACAUAUAAUGCUUUGAUUAUUUAUUAAAUUUGAACAGUAUUUUGAAUUUUGACAGAAAAAUUAAAGUAUUACUUUAGAUUGAUGUUUAGUAUUCUUUAGAUUGAUGUCCAAGCAGACCAUUUCUCUUUUCCCAUGCAUAUUUUUGUUUUCUUGUUUCUCUCUUUUCUUUUUUCUUUUUUCUUUUUUUCUUUUUAAACUCCGGCUUAGUACCUGCACGGCUACCCAACACCGUCAGCGCAGCACAAUGCAAUGUCAGCAAAUGCAGAGUCUUGCUCGUGCACCUUAUCUGUCACGCAUCAGUCUCAUCAAACCACAUAUAACACACAUCACAAAAGGCCAAAAUGAAAAUGAAAAUAUAUAUAUAUAUAUAUAUAUAUAUAUAUAUAUAUAUAUGAGCGUUUCUAUUGACUAAUAAAUUCAUGUGAUACUAGACAUUACUUUGAGGGAAAUAUUUUCAAAAUUAUUUAUUCUCAUGAAAUAAAUAGAAUCUUUAUGGCACAGUGGAAGGCCUCGAGCAGUUGCAAUAAAAUUUGAAGAGGAAAUUGAUCACGAUAAUGAACUUGUUCUUUCUACAUUGAAACAAGAGUCCAGCAUUUGAAAUUUAGAAUCAAUUUGAUUCCACUUAUCAGGGAUUGGCCCGCUCCCAGCCAGUUUUGAUUUUUGAUAUUUUUUAGCACGAAACGAUGGAAUUAUGCCAACAAAGAAAGCUUCCAACGAAGAAUUUAAGCUACAAUUCUUAUACCAAAAAUUAAUGAUUUAGAAAAAAAAAUUCUUAAAAAUUGUCCUUUUAUAUCAACUAAAAUAAUUAAUCAAUGAAUUUUUAUUAUUAUCAACAAAAAUUUACGUCUAAAAGUUUUCGUGAACAAUGAAAAUAUUUUUCGUUUAUUCAUUUUGUUAAAUGAUAUGAGCAAUUAUUUUUAGGAAUUUUUUUGCCAAAUCAUUCAUUUUCCAUGAGAUAAAUUGUAGUAGCAACCACGCAAUUUGCUAUGCCCAAUGUAGUGAUCACAUAGAUGGGAUAAUAAAACAAAGAAAAAAAGACACAAAUGAUAUCUAAACUAUUACUUUAUUUAAUAUAAUCCCUGAAUUUUUUAUAUUUAUCCAAUUUAAUCUUCGGACUAUAUAAAAAUAUUCAAUGUUGUCAGUGAUUCUAAAUUAAAGAAAUGAUAACAUUAGAUAUUUUUAUAUAAUUUAAGGAUUAGAUUAUUUACCAAAACUUAGAGAUCAUAUUAAACAAAUUAAAAAUUCGAAGCUAACAUUCAUAGAUCAUAUUGAAUAAAUUAAAAAUUCAGAGAUAAUAUCAUAUAUUAAGUUAAAAUUCAAGAAUCAUUUGUAUAAUUAUUUCUUUUCACGACCCUCUCAUUAAAAAUGUUCGGCAGGGCCGCUCACACUGGCAAAGCUUAUAAAAAGCUGAAAUUACGAAUCAUUUGUAUAAUAUCCACCUUUUCACUUAUAAAAAGAGAAGGAAAAUCUCUAGGGCUUUGUAUUAUUUUUCUUCCUUUUUGCUAAAAUAUCCCGAGUUUCAUAAUUUCAGGAUGCAUCGGGUCCUUCAUGACAGUGGGGGCCGGUUCUUGGAUUUUGGAGGGUUUGGGGCGGUGGGGGGGAACUGGCAAAGCUGAAAUUACGCCGGCGGAAACUGCAGAAGCAUCGGCCACACUGACCAGCACCUCUCGCUUUCACUGAUGGCGACCGCCAAUUAUUUUCCCAUCAAUAAUUGGACCAACAUCGGCUCCUGCGUGCAGCAGCAACCGCACUGUGCUCAAAGCCAUCGAAUCCGAUUUCUCCUCUUUUGGCCCUUCACGAGAUACCUUUAUGCUUUCGACAUCCAAUGCCUCGACUUCUCUCACCAUGGAUAUGUAAACAAAAAUUUGAUUUAUUUUGCAAAAAUAAAUAAUUUAUAAUAUGUUUUUCUCAAAAAUAGUCGUCCCUAUUGCUUACAAAUAAAUGAAAGAAAACUAUUUUUAUCGUUCUUGAAAAUAUUUAGUUAUAAAUCUUUAUCGAUGAUAAAAACAAUCUUCACUAGCUAGUUAUAUCAAGGUUCCGCUUGUUUAGUGAAAAAUAAAUGAUUUGGGAAGUAUUUAUCCUGGAAGGAGCACUUGUAUUGUUUAAAAAAUAAAUGAGCAAAAAAUGUUUCCAUGGUCUAUGAAAAUAUCUGGACAUAAAUUGCUAUUGAUGAUAAAGACAUUUUUCAUUAAUUAAUUAUUUUCAAAUAAAAAUCAUUUAUGUUUAUGAAAAUGUUUUGAAAUUAUACAUUUUUCGUGAAAUAAAUGAAGUCUUAUGGUGUGUUUGUUUCGUGAGAAAUGAGUGAUUUGGAAAACAUUUUUCCAAAAAACAAUUGCUUAUGCAGUUUAGAAAAAUUAGUCAAUAGAAAAAAAAUUUCAUCGAUAUUAAUCCAUACUUAACUAUUCUCGUGGGUGAUGAAAAAAAAAAUCUCAUUUAUUUAUUUUAAUAGAGGAUAUAAGCGAUCAUUUUUUGAAAAAAAAAAUCAAAUCACUCAUUUGUCGCAAAACAAAUGCACCAAAGUACUAAAGUUGUAUAGUGAGGACAAGCAGUAAGUGUUUAUUUCUCAUUUCUAUUCUAGCAAUAAAGAAACAUAAAUUAUUCUUACCCUUUACCAAAAAAAAAUAAAGAAAUAUAAAAAUUUUACUUCUCAUUUUUUUUCCUAACCUACUUCUUGACUAAAAAUUUAUUCUUAAAAUAGAAAAAUGAAAUUAUAUUACAAAACGGGCUUCUUUUCCAAACCUAUUAUUGAGAAUAGAAAAUAGUUCUGGUUAGAAAUAGAAUGAUUAUCAUGUGCAUUCUAAGUUACCCUAAACAGCACCAUGCGAUUGUUCUAGUUUUAGGAAAUGAAAUGGCAAUGUUAGGCUUUUGGACAAGAUGCAUUGGAGCUUUUAUUUUUAUUUUUUUACUAAUAAAUGUAUUAGAAGUCCUAAAACUUGUCAUGGAUGUACAAUUGAGUUUUAAAAUUUUCAAAAGAUACACUAAAAUCCUCAAAUUUAUUACAAAAGUGCAAUUGAGUUAUAAAACUUUAAAAAAUUGUAAUCAAAUCUUUCAAUUACCCUCGUCCAACUUGACAAAUAGAAAAUAUUAACAAGUUCUAGGAUUUGAUAGCACCGAUUUGAUAAUUUUUAUGACUUGAUUGCAUUUUUUAAAAUGUUUUAGAACUCAAUUGUACUUUAUGAUAAGUUUUAUAACUUUCAAUGUACUUAUCCCAUUUUUUUUAGGUCUUUAUGUACAAUUUGUCACCCGUGAACAUGUAUUGCAUUGAGAGCAGACUUUGGGCCAUAAGAGUUAGUUCUAAAUGUGAGGUGGGGGCUAACCGAUUGAGUGACUUGAUUAUUUUUUUGGAAUUGGCAGGUCGAUUCAAUAUAUUGUUACUCGCUUCUCACAUCUUUAGCUUUUAGUAAAAGAAAAUUUUUAUAUAGACACUUUGUCAUACGAAGGUGAUGGAAGUAAUCCUCACAUUGUGAUUGAAUGUGCUGAUCAUGUGGGCUCGGACUUAUAUUGAGCUAGAUGGAUUGAACAAUUAAGAUGGCACGAUUCCAAGGGAAGGAAUCCAAAAGAAGUGUAGUAAAAUCACGUAACAUAGCACGUUACACCUUAUAACAGUACAUAGCCAAAAAAAAAAAAUCAAUGCACUUUAGAUUCGUAGCCCAAAGUAGAUGUCGAUCAGGUCAAGUACAAGACCGUAGGUAACAAAACUUGGUGGAAAAUCACUUCAAGGAGUGCCAAUGAGAACAAGAAAAAUCUGACAAAAGGGUUUUAAAAAAACACAAAUUGAUUGACAGCUGGCGACGAGGUGGGCCUGAAAGUGGGCCCACUGAGCCUCCCAACUUUACGCAACGCCAGGCCCGUAUGAAUGGAGUGGGCCACGGCUGGCGAGUACAAGCAUCACAUCGAGGCCCACCCACCAGAUCAGCAAUUGUCCAACCGCACAUCGCGUGGUCCUGAGUCCUGACCGACGAUUUGAUAAAGUUGAAUCCAUAAGUCGUCCUGUAUCUCACCUGUGCGUACCAGUUCCCAUACGACGACGCGUCUCAUCGCUGCAAAUCGAUCACAUGAGGGUGAAACCACACAUGGGGGGGGAGCGGAAUGAGCGGAAUGGAGUGGACCAUCUGGUUCAUUCUCAUGCGAGGACUUCGGCGGGCCCGAGGCGCGCGUCAGCCCGCCGGCCCGAUAGGCCCACCCGGCGGUCUAGGCGACAUGUUGGACCCGACCUCGGUUGCUGUUCGGGAUGGGGUACACCUACGGGCAAGUGGCAUUGAUGGUUUUGGAAAGGUACUUCUCAUGUUUUUUGGCAGGCUAUGGGCGAGGAGGGAUUUGAACCCGCGGAACAGUGGGAUCAUGCCCACGUGCUCCCAUCUAUUCUCGCGUCAAGAAGACACGAAAACGUCUCUUUUUCGUAAUAAUGGAGCUUAAGGAGGAGUGAGAUGAGAGAGAAGGGGUUUCAGAAUUUGAAUCUUGAUUUAUAUAACCUUCUUUAAAUAUGUUCUUUCUCAUGAAACAAUAGUAAUAAGAAUGACUAUUAGUAAGCUUUUUGAAUUAUCAUUUGGGCGUGAAGGCCCGACCAAGCUUGACAAAUUUAUAAGUAAUUUUUUUGAGAUUUUUCGAAUCUUAGAUGAGAUUGACAAGACUUCUUGGUCCAAUUAAUCUCAGAUCUGCACAACCAUGGAGCCAAUAACUAUUCCAUCGAUCAUACUUUUGGUUCAAAAUGAACAGGUCUGUAGUGAGGUCACGGGGCGUUUGACAAUCGGCCAAAAAGUAAAAAUUUAUAUUAUUUUCUUAUCAGGAAUAGAUUUGAGAAAAAAAUCCAUUUGGUAAAAUUUUUAUUCCUAAGAUCAAAUUUGUUCUUAGAAAUAGAUUUGGAACUAAAUCAGAAAGUGAAAAAAAAAAUUAAUUCUUUGCUUUCAAGAACAAUUCUAAAAUCAAAGCCAACCCACUUUUUGUUUUUUAUCUUUUAUCUUUUUUCUUGUUGUUCUUCUUCCCUCUCUCUUCUUCUUCCACUACUACCAUCGUUAGUCGCCAUUGGUUGUCACCAGACCAUCAUGAGGGUUUGCCUGGCCUUGUUGAGGUUGACCCUAGCCCAACCACCAGGGAAGCUCGGCCUUGACAAGGGCCGAUGAUGCUCUAACAAGGUCGUCAGCCCUCAUUUAGUUGGUCACUAGCAACAGCCAGGUUGGCAACCGGCCAAAGGAAGAUAGACUUCUUAAUUUUAUUCAAAAUUUAUUCUCGGGAACAAAAAUAUUAUCAAACAGAUUUCUAUUAUUUUUGUUCAGAGGAACGCAAAAAAAAAAAAAAAAAUAGAAUCAAACAUUGUUUAGUCGAUUAGCAAACAUACCCUUAUUUUGGCUUAUCCUUGGAGUUUGAUUUCUGAGGUUCUAGAGGUGUUUGCAUGUUAUGAAUAUUGCUCUUCAUCACCAUAAAGAGAUAACAAUUCUCUAUGUACUGGCAAUCUCAAUAACAUAAAAGGAGUAACAGUCCUUUACAGGCUAGAGUCUCGGCCACGAUCGGGGGCCAAGAAGCCAGCAGCAAGGGGUGGGAGUUGAAAGAAAAAAGGCCAUCAUCACCUAGGCUAACGGGUGAUGACGGCGAGGGCCAAGCGGCAGCCGCCGGUGAAUUCAGGCAGAAAAGACCGGGUGGAAGAGAGAAACUCUUUUUCACACCAGAAAAAAGUUCUUUUUCUAGGGCUCGUGAUAUUACGCAGCCGGGUAGCACAAAUGUAUAAGUAAAAACAAAAAGCUUGCCGACGGUGAAUGUGUAAAUCCGAAGAAGUGCAGCUUUUAUGUAGCAGGACAGACGACAAAACAUUCAUUUUUGUAUAAUGUCCGUCCCCCACCCCCUCUAUAAAAAUCAGCCGGAGUCGAUUUAUUUCAUCACACGAUGAAGGGGUCCUUCAAACUCUCUCCUCCCUCCCUCCCUCCCUCUCUCUCUCUCUCUCUCUCUCUCUCUCUCUCUCUCUCUCUCUCUCUCUCUCUCUCACGUACACACAGAGAGAGGAAAGAAGCUGGUCGUUGGAAAGCGAAGUAUGCACUGAUGAUCUGUACGAGAUCGUCGAGGGUGAAGGCGGAGACGUUUAAGUCCUGUCAUGCUUUUCCACAGCUUUCUUGAACUUCCUCGAUCGUGGAGAUAUUACAGACUACGAAGCUCAAGAAAGCUGUGGGACGACAUGGCGAUUCAGGAUUUCUCACAAUCUCAGUUGCUCUGCAGAAUAAUUUUCACCGGCUCUGAAUUCGCUAGCAUACGAUUCAGGUAAAUCUCGAUGACUCUGUGUGUUUCUCUUGAUUUUUUUUGGUUGGUCAUAGAAAUGCAAGAAGAGAGGCCAAGGCAACGACUUUUUUCCUGCUCCUUGUACUUUGAAAAAUGUUCAAUUUAAGCCCGUGUGUUUAUUUGGUGAUUGUCAAAAGUCCUUGCGCCGUUCUUCUGUGAUUAUCUAAAGCACUUAUGUCACAUUUGGGUCCAAAAUUUGACAUGAGAUAUCGGGUCCACACCGGCCAUUACCGGGGGAAUUUCUUACCUGGACCUAGGUUUCGGUGGAAAGGAUUAGAACAAUCAUUGAUCCCCUUGGGGACCAUAUAUGGGCACACAAGAUUGAUGACUGUGAUCGCACUCGAUCCAAUGAUCUGGGUUCGAGCAAAAACUUCCCCUAUGAUCGGUAGCUACAAGAAACUAUACUUUUGGCCACAUACUUUUAGGAUGUUCAAUGUUAAUCUCUCCACCUUUUUAUGUCACAUUUAUAUCCAAAAUGCGAUGAAAAUGUGGAGGGGAGGGAGACGGGUAGAGCCUAAUUUACAGUAUAAUUUUCUUUUAUUAUAUGAGAGUUUGUUUAAAGAGAUUACAUGAACAGGCAUUGCUUUUAGUGAGCAACGCUCAACUCAAAGCCUUUCGUUUGAGUUUAAAAUGGUGGCAGAAAGAUGCGGUUGAAAGUUGAAACGAGAUGACAAACGAGUGAAAGAAAUGUUUGUUGGGCCUUAGGAGCGUGCGUUAAGUUCCUCAUAACGAGUGAAAGAAGCAACAUUCAGCCUCCGAGAUGAUGCAAAGCAUAGGGUAGUCUCGACUACUCACGGCACCACUCGACUAAGUCAAUUUCCUUCUAGCAAAGCCCAGGCCCCCAGAUAUCGCUAACUCGACAUCUUCUACUAGCUUUUCCGGUUAGAGAUGGUGAAAGUACUUGAACUGUCAUACAGGGAUGGUACGCAAAUUGUUAUGGAGGAAUCAUUCGUAGUGUCGUCAAGAAAAUAUCGCAAGGACCACACCCAUAGUGCGCUUCAUAGGAGCAACGUCCUCUUUUUCUUCCCUGAUCACCUUAGAAGCUGUCACAGAUCACAUCACAUCUCUGAGAAGCUUAAGAUAACUCAUCAUCACGUGAUCACAUUAGUCAGACCACGCUUCUUGCCGAGAAAAACCCUAGUGACCUGGUACAUGUAGCCCCACGCUGCAUUAUUGCAGGAUCCAUUAAGUUUUCGCUCGAAAGGAACCGCUCAUGUGGGGAAGACGCAAGGAAACAAAAACAAAAGGAUGGGAAAAUUCUCAUUGGGCAGGAGUUGGAUCUCAUCUCAAGCUUUUUGUCAGUGGAAUUAGGGUUUGGUCACCCCUCCAAUCAAGCUCGUGAACUGGAGAGAGAUACCCGGAAGCUGCCGUCGCUGAGAAGAUUCCCCUCGUUGCCCUUUUAGCACCAGUAAUAAUUGCAGCUCCUCUUGUUGGCUUUCUUUUGUGGUCCUGAAGUGUCCGGUUGCGAUCUCCUAAGUUUCAGUGAAAAAACAGGGGAGUUUACCUUUGUCACUAGGUGACCGCAGGGUGCGUUUUUUUUUCUUUUUUAUCUUUACCCCUCAUUGGUGGUGACUGGUUUUUGUUCGAUUGCCUGAAUUGUCGAAGCUGAAGAUUCAGUUCGAUCCCGACCGAACUUUCCCUUUUCAGUGGAAUUGGGAUUCAUGCAUGUACAUCGAAGUCAUAUGACAAAGUGAAUGACAUAUUUGUACUCUAUACAGAGUAGAUUGGAUGAAUCCGAGCCGUCAUAUCUUGUGAGUUAUGUCUUUCUAUGCCAUCUCCGACUAAUUUCAUAUGAACCCGGCACUAGGAAGAGCUUUUCUGUAUCGUGGUCAUUUUGUCAGCCUAAUCGAAAAUUUGAUGAGAAUCGAAACUAUUUACGGGGACAUCUAUAUUUUGGUUAGAUGAAUUUUGAAAGUGGGAUUAAUGUUGGAUUAGCAUUGCAACAUUAGUUAGUAUUAUGGAUGACAAUUCUUGAUGUAACACAGGAGCACGGACGAAUGGCUCAUUGACAAAAAUUUCAUAUGUUUUGGCCAAUUAAAAAAAUCCACUCAUAGUUACGUUGAGAAAUUUAGUUAAUGUCAGAACAUAAAAAAAUUAGAUGAUACUAAUAUGAUGGAACAACAUGAAUUAACAGCUUGAUUAACAUGAAAAAGAUUCAAGUAUUAGAUAAUCUACAAUGUGUCAGACGUAUACCGUGAUGUGCAUUAUCCCAAAAAAUAUGGACUACAUUUUUUUUUUUUUACCUCAACUUGAGUUACACCUCAGCAAUCUAUUUCCAUAUCUAUAUAAGCACAAUAUUACAUAAUUAUCCAAACAACUUUCUAAGUUGUUGCCGUGGGAAGUCAUGAUGUUUGAGUAUACUAUCUCUAUCUCGCAAGACACUACUAAUCCUUACUUUUGAAUAGUUUUAGGAGAAUAUUACCUAUAUAUGGUAACAUCUUCAUAUGCAAUAUUUCCUCAUUAGCUAGAUUAUCCAAAAUUUUGCGGCAAAAUGAUUUUUCUACUAAUGUUCAGUAAGUUUGCUUGUGAAGAUUGAAUUCAAGGAGAGCAUAAAUUCUUUCGAUGGCAAUAUUUUGCAAUAUAUUCAAUUGGCAACUUUAAUUAUUAAAAUUAAUAUCUUUAUUAGAGAAAAAUGUAACUUUGAAAUUAUUUGGCUUCUCUACCCUUUUUACAAGUAUUUUAACUCGAUCCACGCAAUCGUAUUAGGGUUUUCAUCUUGAUUCAAACUCUAGCUAGGUUGUUUUGGAUAUUGGUUGGCGCAACAAAAUAGGUACAAUAUAUGUUUACACAGGACAGGGACAAGGAAUGUAUUCCCAAUCCCCACUCUACCCCGUGCCCAUCGCUAAUCAAUUUAAAUGUGUCAACGAGCAAAUUAGAUAGUUAUGCCUGUGAACAUUUUUGGAAAAUCUUGCGAUCAUCAAUUAAGUAAUAUCGGUACUAUGAAGCAGCACAAUUUCCUAGGUGAUACAUCGAUGCACGAUAUUACAAAUGAAGAAAGCAUUUCUCAAAGGUUGUGACCGAAUUAUGGAAUUUUAAUUGAUCGUAGACCUCGUAAAUUUAUUUGCACUCUUUCUCAACCCAUUCCCUGACGCUAAAUAAUAAAUAUCUUUUGGAUUCUAGCUUUUCUUAAUGCGUAGGAGUUGCAUCCCUUUCUCAAGCUUCUGGACCAUGUAUGCAAUAAAUUGAAUAUUUUCCAAUUCAAAUUUGGCAUUAGUGUACCAUACAGAAUGCUUAGCAUAAGUAAGAAAAUUUCCAACUGUGUCUAGCUAGGCUAUAGUGACCUUGACCAAUAAUCUCAGCAUCUGCAGUAGGGCUCUGACCAUAUGGCAAAGACUUUAAUUAGCCGGACUUACCAAAAUAAUUCACUCCUCAGCCCUAAAGAUUAUUUUAUGUGGAACCCAAUUAUAUUCUGACAAAUUAAAGGCAGGAGAGUAAAAGAGAAACGCAUCAUAUGCCGUCCAAACUCUCUUUAAGCUGCUUUCAAUACCGCGUCUGCUUUUCCAGCUUCUUUUGGAAUUAUGUCAUGCACGAAUACAUUGAACUUUGGAGUUUUAGGUUUUCAUCACAUGGUCUAAGCUAUUUCAAGGACAUGUAAUACUUCGACCAAAAAACAAAGGACAUGUAAUACUUAUAUUGGCAGAGUCUUGGCAUUUCUUGAAAUAGCUAGUCAUCAUUACUUACAAGCUGGACAUUAAAUCUUUGGACCACGGAAUAUCUACGUUUAUAAUCUAAUCGGCAGCACCUAUCAAAUCAUGUUAGCGAGCGAUCAAGUAACGUAUUGCAAAUCCCUUGGUAAAAUGGAUAAUGACUAGUUUUCAUCAGGUCAAGUUUCGAGCUUGGAAAUGCGAUCCGAUAGAUUGUUUAUAACUUUGAUGCCCUAAGUCCAUUUGCCAAAUGAAUAAUGUUGAGCUCACUUCUGCCUCGAAUCCACUUCUUAUGUGGGUUUCGAUCCAUUUCAUUUCUUAAAAGAAUUUGGCCUUCUAAAGUAUACACUCUGAGCCCAUUUGCUGCGAUUUUUUUAAUUAUUUCCAAAUUUUGUUUCUGUUUGGAGCUUUUCCCUUCAUAUUGAUUAGGAUUUACUGGGGCUUAUAAUGUAUUUUGCGUGCUGGCGGUUUAAUUAGCACUAACCUCUCUAAUUUUAUUUUAUUAUGGUUAUCUUAUAAACCGUUAUUACUUAAAAGGUUGUUUUUUGGUUUAUUAAGUAUUUUUGGAAAUUAGAAAAAUUCGGAAUUUUAUUAUUAAUUUUUUUAUUUUUAUUAUUCUGAAUUUUUUAUAUGUGUCUUUUCAAGACAAUCUUUGGAAAUUAUACUUGUUCAAUUUGUAACCUUUCCCAAAGAGUUACAUUUGUUUAUUUUGUAACUUCUUCCGAAGAGAUACCUUUGUUCACUUUACAAUAUUUUGCGAAGAGUUGCCUAUAUUCUUUAAGACCGAUGUGUGUGUGUGUGUGUGUGUGUGUGUUUUUGGCAUUAACGAGAACGAAAUCAUUUUUCGAGUACGAAAUCAUUUUUCGAGUAUUCUUUCCAAAAUUACAACUAUCUUUUCAAUUGUUUCCUAAGAGAUCUAAUAUUCUCAUCUGAGACUUUUUUGUAUCCCAAAUGAUAUUUGCCGGUGACAAUUAAUAAAAUUGUUGGGCUCAAAAUUCGACUUGAUUGCUUUGUUGAUUCGAAACAAUAUUUUCCCAACAAAUACAUCUACGAGUACAUAUUCAUAUCCUCCAAUAAAUGCCUUUCUCAAGCAACGAUAACGCAAUGUGUGUGUGUGUAUCUACAAGUACAUAGUCGUAUGUUACGUGACCCAAAAACUCCCUUUUUCUUGAAAUAGAAUCGUAAACUUGCAAAAUUUGGAUUGUUAUGAAUUUUAGCUCCUCUUUUUCGUUUCAAUGCCCUUUCGGUUUUGGCUAAUUGAACUCCUUUUCUACCCAUCCACGGCUAAUGAAGCCGAAAAAUUUACCCAAUUAGUCUUAAAAUAUAAAUAAAAAUUCAGUACUAAAUAUUCUAAUUUUGUCAAUUUACUAAUAAAUCUUUAUGUGAAAUUCCAAUGUAAUAAUCCCAACUGAUUUUCCCUAAGAAGAGCUGACAUGGUAGUCUAGUCAUCACUAAUUGUGUAAUAUGGCACAUUGUUACAUCAGCAAUUUCUAACAAAAAUUUGCUAGAAUGGCUACAUUAAAAUUUCGUGCAAAUGCAUAAGACUAAAUAAGUGAAAUUGGUUGUUUGUUUCUAGCACAUCACCGCGUUAGUCAUUUUUGAUAAAAUUGAUCGAAAGAAGUACAUUGAAAUUUGGCGCAACAUUAUAGAAUUAAAUUGACAAAUAGGACUAAUUUCCCCUUACUUCCUGGUCGGGGAUGCUUGAAGUACAUAUCUUAUUCAAAAUCACCACUUACUGUGAGGCACUAUUCAAUUUUAUUGACCAAUAAAUAAGCCGAAACAAGGAAACAUGGGGUCAUCAAAAUUGAAGUGACAUUACGGAAGUGAGUAGGUGGGUGUACUCUCAAGAGGAAUCUUUGCCAAAUACAAGGCUACAAAGUUUCAUCAUGAGAGCAUUAAUUGAUUGAUGAAAUGUUGUUGAGGUCCACUAGAGAGAUUAGCUUAUAAAGUAGGCACAAGAUGAGGAUAGGCUGUUCUUUGCGAUGUAAUGAUAAUGUAUAGCCUGUCUUUAUCAACUUGUUACUCGAAAUAUAGUACGCUCCGGGCAUUAAGUGGCAUGCUUAUACGAUAUAUCCCCACCAAUGUUGUUUUCACAUUGUUUUGCCAUAACUUUUUUUCUUAGCGAUCUGCUUUCAAAUUUCGAAAUGCCGCUGGUGGGAAACUCUUCCGCGUAGCGGAGCAUGGGUGGAAUAUGGCUACAAUGAACUAUAAUGAGGAGGAGGACGGACCCAAUCACAAUCUACUAAGAAAAAAAAAUUAGCUUGAUGGGUUAGAACCUAAUUUCAUAAGAGCAUAAGAAUAGCCUGCGCAAAGAAGCCUAGUUAGUGAUAAUCUUCCCCAUACCGUAUUAGGGCUACGCAACCUCCUUCUUUAAUAACUAUAAAGGUUAAGGACAAAGAUUAGGUGUCAUUGACAUUACUUUUUUCUUGGCUAAAUUACAUUUUGCAUAAUUGCCCUAAUUUUGACUUAUAUGAGAUUCGUAAAAACCGCGUCAUUUUGAAGAAAUUAUAGUAUUCCAUGUUCAAUCAUUACAUAAAAUAUUUCAUGGCAAGUGGAGUAACAUGAGAUGAUUAAGGUAUCGUGAACUUAUCAAGCUAGUAAUACGACGUACAUUUAUGACGGUGAUGUUUGUAGCUAGCUAUCUCAUUUAUAUAAAACAUAUGCCAAUUAUUCAUGACACCACAUCCCCGUAUAGUAGACUUGGGUAUGGCAUAAUGAUAUUUCCAAAGGAAAGCACAGAAAUCUCAUGCACACAUAUUUCAAGAUCAUAUGCCUUCAUUAAUGUCCGCCAAAAGUCUUGUUUCAUUAAUUGCAACGCCUCUCUCUUGUUCUUUUUUGGAUUGAUUAAUCGAAAAGUGCUAGAAUUCUUCCUUCUGGUAAUGGAAAAGGCGACCGUGAGCGGUUGGGAACCGAAAGCUAGCAUUGAAGAAAGCAUUUGAAGUUCAACCUUGGUGGAGAAUUUAAGUAAAUAAAAUAGAUAACAAUUUAAGUGAAUGUGAAGGUAGCUGUUGAAUGAAUUAGCCAAUUACUUUAAGUUAUCGAACCUUUGAUCGCGGAUAUAAUGGAGAUGGAGCAAGGUCACUAGCAUAGGUCAAAAGCCUAGGCUUAACCGUUCAUGGGUUUGUUGGGUGGGUGUUUUAUAGGUUUCCAAGUAAUCAGGGCCUAUGCUCGCUCCUUGGUUAGUAAAAAAAAAAUAAAGGAUGGAAGAAAACUUGGUUGAGCAUCUAGUAGAAUGACUUAUCCAAUAAUUCAUUUUCUCAUUGCGCCAGAACUCUAACCCAUGUAAAUUGUAUGGAGUUAGCUUAGUAGUUAAAGGGCGGACUCGCAUGGAUUCGGGACAUGUCACAAAUUCGACUUCUCAAAUCUGUAAUGAAGCGCUGCUUUCGGGUUGUACUGCCUUUCCUAUUUAAAUAUACCUACCUUUCCGACCAAAAAAAAAAAAAAAACCACUAUUUGCAUACAGUUACAUAUAUGAGCCAUUCAACGUGACUUUAACUCCCUUCUAGGCCCCACACUUUACCUACCCAAGAUGAUUUCCUCAUCAAUCAGCAAAAAGUAAGUAAAUAAAAUUGCGUCAUAAGCAUCCCUAAGAGCUGAUCAUACCAGUUGGACACUAUACUUGAAGAGAGCACGUAGGUCGGGAAAUCAACUCAAAACCAGAUGCGACAGCUAUAACUUACUGAGUACACAAAGGAAAAUUACUUGAUCACACCAUUUUUAUGAUAGAAAGUUUAUCAUGCCGUUACUCCAUCGACAUACGAAGGACAAAAAAGAAGAAGUUCUAGGCAAAGAGUAUAAUUUGUGUUAUGUGUUGAUUUUAUGUUUCAUUUGUUUUACGAAAAAUGAACGAUAUGGAAAACAUUUUUCUAAAAGCAAUUGCUUGUACUGUUUAUAAAAAUGAAUGAACACAAAAUAAUUUUAUCAUAUACGAAAAUGUACAGACAUUGUUGUUGAUAAUGAAAACAUUUUCAAUUGAUUAAUUAUUUAUAUAAAUGACUAUUUUUUAAAAAAAAAAUUAUUUUAAAAUUAUUCAUCUUUUGCGAAACAAAUAGAGUCUUAAUUCCAGAUAACACAAAUGCCAAAUCAUAAAGGAUAAUUCUGACGCAUCGGCUUGAUCCCAUGAGUUCACCUCUUAUGAAAGUGCCCUUAUAUCCUCAUAUAACUCUAUCAUCUUCCAAUCAUUUUCAAAAGAGAAAAGUUCUCAUUAACUCAAAGAAUGGGAAAGAUUAAGUAUAUUAACUAGUUUACGACCUUCCUUAAUUUACCCUAACAGAAAAUUAGAAGCCCAAAAGAUGCCUUCAACUUCAAGAAUCAAAUAAGGGUUUUUGUGGGAAGUUGGGAACUUAUUUGAAGUUUCGUAUGAUGAACAUGCACUACGGAGAUCGUGGGUUAUUUUGAAAGGGAAAUGGCGGAGAGAAGCAACAAAUCAAUAAUGGCGUCCCCCCUUUUUUUCGUUGGCCAAGGAAAGGGAGAUGUGUCCCGUCGCUAUUCACCUAUUUAUAUCCCUCCAACCCAUUCGGACAUUUGCAAUGGCAACCACCUCAUCACUUGAAAGCUACCAAAAAAAAAGGGCUGAACGCGAUUGGCUCCGAUUCAUCGGCCAUCCUUCCUUGAGGCGAAUGUGCAAUCGUACUGAUUGGAUGAAGCCAUUUCAAAAGAAGAUUUUCUUGAUUUGCAAAUUCCUUAUAAAGUUGCCAUUUUUCCUCGUAUAAUUCCCUUUCCUCUUUCAUGAUAAUUCGUUAAAUUUGGACAAGCCAGGGUGAUCAAGAUGAGCAACAUUCCCAUCUAUGUCUGCCCUAGAAGAUCCACUAUGUUUUGCUAAUUGGAAUUGCGUACAAGAUGUCACGGUUCUUAGGGUUGUACCUUCCUAAUUUCGGUCCCAAUGUUAGUAAUUCGAUAUAUUGCUGAGCUGUUGGACCUUCAAUUUGAGAGAAGCCGAGGUUUUAUUUAUAAAGUGGGAGAUUGACCAAUCAUAUAUAAGCUUCUAUAUUGUAUUAGGAAAACAUUUAGCAAUGUGUCUGUUCUUCCAAUAUGGUGCGGAAUAUAUAAAAUUAAGCAAUAGAUUAUUGACAUAUCGCCGCAAGUUCAAGAUGCAUGUACUAAACGAGAGAGAAAAGGGAAGGCUUCCAUAGAUGUGUGUAGUCUUGAAAGGAUUUUUCCUAGGGUUUUGAGGUAAACAAACAGGAGAUUAUUGAAAAAUUUGGCUAAUCAACUAGACUAGUUGGUUAAGAGAAGUUAUAGUUUGACUUUAGACUGGUAGGCUUGAAUCAAAUACCAAAGACCUAAAACGUGCAAGACAUAGAUAGCUCUCAUGUGUGCCAUUCAUAGUUUCACAUGUUGUUUUCGCAUACAUAGAUUGUCUUAAAUUCAAAGAUAAAUUGACAACAACAUGUGAGGUCUACAUGAUCUACAGUUCUCGCGCAUCUAGUUGCACCCAACUUUCAUUCGUCACUGGCCGGACUAACUGGUUUGCCAUGGAAUUCAUUGAUCUUAUAAUUUUAGUUUCUCAUGUAUCAUUAUUGGAGGAGAAAAAUGAUAUAGAAAGUAAUCGGUUGGUAAUAAUGUUUGUCUGUCUUUAUCAUAUCAUAACAAAAGAAUAGAGAUUAGAUUCAAUUUUUCUGAAUCUCAUCAUCUUUCCUUAUGAAAUGAAAGCAUUACAAAUAGAAUCGCAUAAAGAAAAAGCCACUGUCGUGACUUGUUUAUUGGAGUGCUGUCUUUCUGUUCUUUCUUUAUGGAGAGUGCAUAAAUUAAACAUUGAGCAAAGGACAGACACUAUAGUUAACAAACAACGACACAAAUUGUCCAAUUGAUGUGUAAUCGAUUGUGCAAAUGACUUAUUUAUUAUCUCUUUUGCCAACGGAAUCAGCAGAAAUGAGGUUGGAUCCUUGUGAGAGAAUAUUUUGAGAUAUAAAGAGGGAGCACCAAAAGGAGAAAUAAAGUAAAGUCCAUUGAUCAUCUCUGGUGAGUGUAAAAAAUACUGCAAUUUACAAAAAGAUGAGUGAUUCCAGCAAUCUUAAGCCAAAUUAAGCAAGUAAAGUAAAGCAAAGCGUGUGUAUUAUUGAAGCAGCCACAUUAGAUUUGCAGUCUCUAUUAUCUAAUAAUCAAUUCCCCAAAUGAAAUAUAAAAAAAGAUCCGCGCAAAAUAAUCUGCAUAAUCUUAAGCCAGACCCUUCAUUAGAUCUGAUCUAAAUUUUAAAAUGCAGCAACAAUUUGCAUAAGCUCGGGCAUUGGAAAUUAAUGAUACAUUUCAUCUGGCUUAUGGUUUUGAGUUUUGAAAGAAGAACUUCAUAUUAAAGAAACUUUAAUAUUCAUUUCCUCAAAAGGAGAGGCCGGCAAGAACAUGAGAAUCUUAUCGAAGGCACAUCAGGAGGCACAUCCGUUCUAACAAAGACAAAACAAUGUUUCUUUUGUCAUUUGCAAAGUCAUAUAUAGGAGGGGACCUUUCUUGCCUCUCUCUUGUCUUUAACUCCACAUACAAAAGGAAACCCUAAUUUCCUUUUCGCAUUAGAAUUUCCUUUUCAUGGGGUUUCAUGGGGUCCCGGGAAAAAAAGGCCAUUUUUUGCAAGUUGGUUGAUGUAUGUCUUUGGUUUCUUGUUUCAUAAUCAAGAUUUCAUCUACCCAAUUAUCCUCAAGAUUAAUUGCCCCAAAACCCUCCAUACGUUUGUUUGAGUGGGUAUUUCAACUUAGAUGAAAGUAAGAGAUUCAUUGCAAUUGAACUUUGACUUUCUAUAAAAAGCAAAGAUAUAACUAGCUUUAUUCUCAGGACAUUAUCGAUGUAAUGCAAGCAAUACUAUAACGUACUAAUGACGCGUACGUAUAAACAAGCAAUCCAUCUAACCUCUUCAAAUGCACAUUUUAGUACCUAAAUCAGGCAUGGCUUGCAUGAUUAACCUUUUUGUUAAAUACCUAGGAAGCAAACUGAGAGAAAUGCGUGACUUUGCAGACGUGCAGGUGAACAUCAUCAAGAAUGUUACGAAGGUAUAGUAGAGAAAUGCAGAACAAAUGACAUGAUAUAAGAAAAUUCCCUCUCUGGUGAAAACCGUGACCAAUCCCGAAGGCAAAUGAUGAUGCGCGAGGCCAGAAUCCAGAUAUGACUCAAAAGUACAGAAACAUAAGAAACCCCACAGUCCAAAGUACAGAUCGAAUAGAUCAGCAACAGGUUCCUUACAAUAAAAUACAAAGUGAUGGCUUUUAGAUCUGCGUUGAUCGGCCAUGAGCUUUUUAUCUUUUAUUGAUCUAUAACAGACGCCCCCACAUGGGGGCGACUCUCCGAAGCAAGAAAGAAGUAUCUCACACAUUGCUCUGGCUUAAAAAAUAACAAAUUUCGCCAGAUCCACGUCUAAAGAACUACUCAGAGAGAGAGAGAGAGAGAGAGAGAGAGAGAGAGAGAGAGAGAGCGAGCGGGAGAGGGAGAGAGGGAGAGAGGGAGAGAGGGAGAGGGAGAGAGAGAGUACAACUCCUUUUCACUAUCAAUGAGGAGAUCAAUCAAGAACGUAAAAGGAGUACAACUAAACACCGAUGAAUUAACCAAGAAUUCCAAGAACAAGAGAAAAACCGAGGACGAAAAAAAAUCAAAACUUUAAGAGCAUUUGCACUUGAAAAUGAUGAAAUCCUUCACUUUUCAAGAACACCAAUGAGAGAGACUCCUGUUCUAGCGCAACAAGAAUCAGAUUUGCAGAGGACAUCGUCAAGAACGGCACCUUUAGCCUUUACAUACCCAACAGAAGCAAAAUCAAUACUAACCGCGCAAAAUUCUGAACACUUACCAUUCGCGGGGAUGAUUUGGGCGGAGAAUUUUUCGCUUGACCCUAUUUGUAUCUUCCCACAGCUAGCUUGAACCGCAAUUGAAACAAGGACUAGUUGAAAGAGUGUGAGUGCGUGUACGUGUACUUGCUUCAAAAAGAUCCCCAUUAAUAUAUGCAGUUCAAGAAAGCUGUGGAAGAAUACAAGGAGGACCAUUCACUGGACACCCUUAGAAACCCUAAAAGCAAAAGAGUUUGAUAGAGGGGAAGAAGUAGGUGAAGGUUAGGCAGAGAAAAGGGUCUAGCAUAGGGGUGGUAUUUAUAGAAGAAUUGAGUCCCUUUUUUGCUCCACCACCAAUCCCUAGAAGAAUAUUGGGCUGAGAGAUUGCUGAAUCCACCAUUUUCUUUUCUGGAACUGUUUCCCUUAUUAAAAUACUUUGUGUCUACACUAAAGUCUUAAAAGCACUCGAGGCAGCUCAGCAUAAACUCUUGUUUUGUAUUUUUUUUUUGUUUAAUGUAAAUCUUAUAGUAGACAUAUUUUGACUUCUUUAGUUAUAAAAAUAACCGAAACUUUUAUGGUAUAUAAAUAUUGACACGUAAAUUUACUUACAAUUUUUUAUUAUUAUUUUCUAAAAUUUGCAUAGGAAUACAAAAAAAAAAAAGUACUUUUGACCUAAACUUAAUGUUAAACAAACAAAUCUUAAGGCUUGACCGGAAACUAAGGAAAUUGGGGGGAAUGCAAGCACUUGUGAACUAUAUGGAAUUUUUUUCAAAUUUUUUUGAGAGAGAGCAGAGAUGUAGAGAAAAUUCUAAUUUUAUUGAUAUUUUCAUUGCCCCCCUCCCAAUAUUUUUUUCCAUAUCCAAGGUUCCCAAACUAACUUGAUUUUUUUUUAAAGUAUUAACCCCAUACACCGUAUAAAGUCAAUAGCUAGCAAAAUUAAUAUUAUUUUCCUCAUCCUGUCCUGAGGCAUUUUUUUUCUCAUAUAUUAGUGUUUGAAAAGGCCGACACCGUUCGAUCCCACUCCCGGUAACCCAGAAAGCUGAUCACAAGAAAAGCCAUCAAAAAACGUGCGGCUACGAUGCAAGUUGCCGCAUCUGACGGUGAUCGAAACCCUAGAUGGGGCACACAAAUGGCGGGGCCCACCUCAGAUCUGUCCUCUUCUCUUUUGGAGGAGGAAAAGCGUAGAUGGCCAACCCACGCGCCCCGACGCCGGUUGUUGACAUUCGCCGAACAAUUAAAACCUAGCUCAUGGCAUAAAUCUAUGAAUACAAUAUAAUACAUAGUAUGACCUCGUUUAUCGAUGAUUUUUAAUUUUUCAAUAAUUAUUUAGUGAAAAUAAGAUUUUCGGCAAAGAAAUUUGAAAGAGCGAUAUUUCUAUUGUUAGAUAUCACAUGUACUCGGUUUUCUAAUUUGAUAGGAAGUCUAGCCUUAAGUUCGAUGCUAAUGUAUCGUGUUGCGUAUGUUAUUGUACGAAAUUCAAGUUAUUAGUCCUUUUCUUAAGUGUUGAUAUUGAUAGCCACUAAGGUAACAAAUUAAAGGUCACUUUAACCCAAAGUGAGGUGGGGAGAAAGAGAAAGGGGGGGAGGGGGGAGCCUAUGAAGGAACAAGUCUCCCUUAAACCUGAAGUCCGCAUUUGAAUCUCACUGUCCCCUUUCACUAUUCGAUCAAAUAUAAAACUUCGAAAAGAUUAUUCGGUGGGGAGCGAAAGAAAAGCAAAGUUAGUCUCCGAUCUGAAAUAAAUUGACGAGAAAAAGACAAACGAGUGCCGUUAGCAAUCAUAUAAGAAAAGGAUUACAGCGAGCGAACAAAAUGCGCUAGUAAAAAAUUCGCUUGAAUAUGCUUGAAAAGACAUCAGCAAAGCGAUUGACGGGCCGGCUACAAAUUUUCAAUUCAAUUUAUCCAAUAUUUCCCCCAACCAAAGGAUUGCAUUUGGUAGAGAUUAACAGAUUGACAAGAAAAGUCAAAUGAGUGCUGUCAGCAUUCAUAGAAAAAUAGGAUCUUAUUGUACAAACAAAAUGCGCUGGUCAAUAAUUCAUCUGAAAUGUACUCAUAACAGCGGAGCGAUCGAUGGGCCGGCUAUAAAUUUUCGAUUCGAUUCGAAUCAUCUGCACUGGUGAUGAAAGGGAUUAAUGCAAGGUGGGGGGUGGGGGGAAGUAAAGCAAGAGAAAGAAAGGGAAAAAAAAAGGAGAAGGGGGAUUAAGAGGAAAUUAUAGAGUAAUUUGGGGGGGCAAAAAGGAAAUAAAUGGGAAGUUCACAUGGAGGCAUGUGAGGGGGGUGACCCACCCGUGGGGAGGUGUGUGCGUGGGAGUCGGGACACUGCGUACACCCCCGUUUUUCCCGGGACGGAGGUCUCUUUGUCGGGGCGCUUGGCCCCUGGACUCUUCCCCUUUGUACAUUUCCAUCUCCAUCUCUCUCUCUCUCUCUCUCUCUCUUUUGAAUAUUAUUCCACUUCAAUUUUUUUUUUAUAUUUCUUUUUGUAUUUUUUUUUUAUACCUUCUUCUUUUUGCAGGCUGGUGCUGGUGUCGUUGGCGACUCCCAAAAGCUCGAGCCCCUAGAAAAUAUUAUUAUUGAUUUGACUUUGACCUCCGGAAGCACGAAUUUACCCGUUUCCCCUCCCCUUCCCUUCUCGUAUUCAAAAUUUGUGCCAAAAAAUCAAACCCGUGCGUGUCCCUCUCUCUUUCUACUUAGUGCGAAAAGGGAGCCGAGUUGCCGGCGAGUUUCCGGCCAGUAGCUCGGAUUCGAUUCGAUGGUACUGAUCGGACUUGACUCAGCUCGAAUGAGCCCAACUUGGGGUUCGUGCCAUGCAAGCAAGCAAGUGCCGUGAUAGAUUGAACUUAAGCUUGUAAUUUAUUGGAACCCUAAUUGAGUCAAGUGCCUAGAUCUUGUAAAAUUUCAACACCAGAGGUAUUGAGACUGUACAUCAUACCUCGACAGUGUGUUACUAAGCCUGGCUGAGCAAAGCUUGAGUUUCUCAACUACAUUUGGAGUCAGGCUUGAGCAGGAUGAGCAAUGCUCGAUCGAGCUUGAGUUUCAAGCACUACCAUUGAGAUAAGUCGAGUUCAGACCUUUUGGUGUAUCAACUUGACUUGGCUUGGUUACAUCCCUACAUUCCGUUAAUCAUUAUGGAUAGAUGCGAAUCCAAACAAUCACGAAAUUUUACUACCAGUAUAUAAUUUGUAAUAUAUAAUAUAUUUUGUAAUAAGCAUGAUGUGCGCACGUUAAUGCACUUUAUUUUAUUUUAUUUUAUUUUUGCUAUUGGGUUGGAGUUUAGUGGGAAGGUGCAUUGUCUUAAGUUAGCUGGCAAUCACUUGAUUAAAAUUUUAUGCCAAUCUUGUCAAUGACCCUCGACCCUCGACCCACCCCCACAUCAUGCCUCUCUGUUUUUUCUAUUUUUUUCAAAGGGUUGAUUUGAUUUGUGAGUAAUUAAAACAGGUUUCUAUUCCAAUGUCCAUCGUGUCUCUUGCUUUCUUAAAUGCAACGUGCGGGUGUUUGGCGCUUUGGUGCUACUCGAUGGAUCGGAGCCCACGUUGCAAGAAAGCGACGUUUAGUGAUUGCGCAUUAGGUAGGAGCGGAGUUUGCCCCCCAUCCAAGGAAAUGCAAGUUUUUAUUUUACCAUGAUGAUACAUGAAUUUCAAUUAAGAUGUGUUUGUUUAAGCAAAUUUUUAUUUUUAUUUUUUAUGAAUGAGUACUCUAGACCAUCACGCAUUUGAUUUGCCAAAAAUGAUCAGUUAACUAAAAACCAUUUAUAGUUAAAGAAAAUAUACAUAUUUAAAAUUAGGAAAAUUAAUUGCUUAAUUCGAAAAAGAAAAACCGUUUUCUUGAAAUAUGAUUUUCCGCAAUACUUUUUUCUUUAUCAUAAAAUUUUCCUUGAAGCAAACAUAUUUUUAAUUUCAAUUUGCGUCAUACCAUUAUUAACAAGAAAAAUGACUGAUGAGCUCUUUACCAAGUUACUUAUAAGUUAAUUAACUACACUUUCUUAAUUGACCAAUUUUUUUUAAUUCACAAAUUGUCGUUUUUUCUUAUAAAUAAUCAAGACUUCCAUUUUUUUUUUCAACUGUUCUAUAAAAUGACCUCACUAAAUUAAAGUGAUUUGUCAACUUUUGUUAGAAUAAAUUACUAACUAGGUUUGAAUUACCAACUCUCAUUUUAGCUACUUGCUGAAGUUUAAUUUUUUUUUUUUUUUAAUUUACAGAUUGUCCUACUGAUUUCCAACUUUUAUCUACCUUGCAGUUGUCAACCCUUUAUAUUUACUAAAUUUUCUUAAAGAUUACCAACAUAAUUAAUGUGACUUACAAACUUUCUCCAUUAUAUUUAUACCUAAUAUUGGGCUAUUAACUCUUAUUUGAGUUACUUAUUAUUUUUUACUAAUUUUCUUUGUUUGAGAACUUUUCUUAUCACUUACAAACUUGUAAUUUCAUUUCUUAGCAACGUGUAUUACAAACUCUUCUCUAAAACGAAUGACUUUAAUUAUAGCACAUUACUAACUUUUUUCCCAUGAAGUUAACAACUGGUUUUGGGUUAUUAACUCUAAUUUGAGUUACUUAUCAAGAUAUUUUUCUUUUAAUUUUUCAAAUUUUUUACCAACAUUGUUUAUAUUAUGCCUUAAUUUCAUCAACUUUUAUAUGAAAUUGCUAAUUUUAACUUACACGAUUACCAACUCUUCUCCAAGCGAGAUACCAAAUACUUCUCGGUUAUCAACUCUCAUUAGUGAGUUACCAACUUCAAUAUAAUUAUUUUUAGUUAUCGACUUUUAAAUUGGAUUACUUGAUUGAGAAAAAAAGUUGAUUAGUCACUUGAAUAAAGAAUGGUAGUUUCAUACAAUAAUUGUUAUAAUUGAGGGAUUGGUAAGAAAAUACUUUAUUCGUCGAAUGUAAGAGAAGUUCAUAAUUUAAAAGAAUCAAAUAAACCUUGGUAUUUAGCUCAAAUAAGAACAAAUAAUACAAAACUGAUGAUAAUUCAAUUAUAAAAUGAUGGGUAAGUAAAGCAAAUUAUAGUGUUAACUCAAUAGAAAAGUUAAUUACUUUAUUAUUAAGUAUAAAUAAAUAUCCGCUGGUGGAAAACUCAAAUAAGAGUUAGCAAUUCAAAAAAGGUUGGUAAAUUAGUUGGUAAGAAAGGUAUAUUAAAGAUGGUAAAUGACAACGGACGUUUUUUUUUUCCUGGUCAUAGAUAAGAUAACUUAGCAAUUUAAAAUAAAAAUAAAUAAAUGUUGGUAACUAACUCAAAUAAGAGUUUGAAUGCGAAAUUAGUUGGUAAUUUUAUAGGUGAAAAGUUAAAAGCGACUCUAACUGAGAUUGGUAAUUUAUAAAAAGUACAAGUUGGCAAGGCAACUCAAAACCAGUUGGUAAUGUAAGACAUAAAUGUUGGUCGACAGCUCAAAAUCAGUCUUUGGUAAGUCAUAUAGAUGAGAGUUAGCAACCUAAAAUGGGAAUUGACAAUUCAAAAUGAAAGUCAGUAAUCCAAAACUAACUGAUAACGUUCAUCCUAUUGCAAUCACAAAAGUUGCAACCUCCAAGCUCAUCAACAGUAGUUGUCAUCCUAACAAAGGCCAAGGCGAGGCUUGAUGAUACCGGAUAUGGUGUCAAGAGUCUUCACCAACUUGUGACGAGUCUAACGUAGAGGAAGAGAGAGAGAGAGAGAGAGAGAGAGAGAGAGAGAGAUUGGUGUUAGGAUUUCGCAAUUAGCCGACAGUGAGUGUGGCGAGGUCACACCAAAGGUUUAGCAAAGUCAUUUGGUGGAGAUCGCAGAUCGGAUUAGGUUAUGCUUUAUCUUCUGUUGAACACCAAAAUAGGCCUGUGGGGGCACGAGCCAAAUAGAAAGGAGGAAAAUAGGGAAGGAAGGAAAAAGAAGAAAGAGAAGAAGAAGAAAAAGAAAAAAAGGGAUAAGGGUCUUAAACCAAUUUAUUGCAUGUCUUGACCACAUCUAGAAAUUUGAACAUCUAAGUUUAAAGUCGAAAAUCAUCAUCAUACUUGAUUAAUUGCUCUUUGAUAGGGAUGCUCAUAAUUCACAUGUGGGAUUUUUAAUUUUAAUUCCCACAUAAGUUGACAGGUAUAUAGCAAAAAGGUGGGAAUUUCCCCGAUCAAAUAAGUAUUGAAAUGGCUAAGAAAUCAAAUUUGUGAUAAUGGAAAAAUCAAGAUACGUCCUUAUAAUAGUAUUGCUCUUUUUAGGCAUUAAAAUGUAGUAUGUACAUAUGCGUUAAUAGCCCAAAAAUUCACUGCUCAAUUAUAUAUAUAUCAACAACAAUAUAUCCAGAAAUAUUCUGUCAUGACAGGAGUUUUUGUCCGUGGGGUUGUAUUCUUUCACUGUGAGAUUACAAAGCAAUCGCAUGCUCUUCGGUCUCCCCUAUCUUCAUUGCUUUCCCUCUUCCAUCUUUCCAUUCGACCACCCACAUGAUAUUGCUUUCCCUUCCUCUCUCCCGAAUCACUAAGCUCAUUCUACACGACUAAGUCAUUUUUUUUUUCUUUUCCCCACUUCAAGGGCUCUGGCUUUUGUAAUUGACCCUCCUUUUUCUCUUCCCAACAUAGUACUUUCACACAUUUUCGCGGGGACUGUACAACGAAAGUUGAGCUAAGUUAUUAGCCACUAAACUAUUUGGGGAUUUUCACUUGGACUAACUUGUAGGUUCGGAGUGGAGACCGCACGAGCUGAUAGCCCUUGUCAAUGCCCAUGCAGGAAGACAGUUUCAGGAAGGUUCUGUGGGUGGCAAUACGUGUACGAGAACGGGGACAAGUGCAUGGAAAUGCAUGCACCCUUUUGUCACUUUUACCGCUUGACUUCCUGAUCUGAUCAGUCUUUCAAACACACAUCCCAUGCCCGACACUGCUGUGAGGUUGGCCUGUCUCUUCGAUCCAACCCAUAAAUUUGUCUAGCCUUUUCCCCAUUAACUGAGCAGCGUCUCUCUCUCUCUCUCUCUCUCUCUCUCUCUCUCUCUCUCUCUCUCUUCCAUGUUCCUUCGGUUUAAUUUAUUUUAAGAACCCCAGAUAAAUAAUGGGUUUCCAUAUUAUUUAUUUUUUUGGUCAGCGAGAACUUUACUAUUUUGUUUAUUACGCACAACAAUACAAGGGAGAAACACUCACGUCGAUCUUUACUCGAUGGCACAUGAUCAUCUCCCUCGAAUGUGCCCUAGANNNNNNNNNNNNNNNNNNNNNNNNNNNNNNNNNNNNNNNNNNNNNNNNNNNNNNNNNNNNNNNNNNNNNNNNNNNNNNNNNNNNNNNNNNNNNNNNNNNNGGGGGGUCAAACAAAAACAUUUGAAAAUUUGGAAAUUUUUUAAAAUUUUUUGUAAAACCAACCCCCUCCGCUUCCCUUUUCCCCCCCCCCCCCCCCCCCCCCCCAAAAAAAAAAAAAAAAAAAAAGGGAGUUUUAUGUGAAGCUCAAAAGAAAUCAAAGCAAUGAAUUAGUUGGUGAUUUUACAUGAAGUAUAGGAAUUGCGAACCACAAAGACGAGUUCUUUGUGAGGUGGAACCUAAAACACAAAAUUUUUACAUGAUCUUAGUUGAUAUGGGUUAGGUUUACACGCAUCAAGUGCAGGCAAUAACUUCUUUUGAAAGUUCUCCGCCUCUCCUUUCUCGGCUCGUCGCUCUUUCCCUGUCACAUUUCGUGUUGUUCCAUCCUCAUGUCCCUCGCUUUCACUUGUUGUCAUUAAUGAAAAUUGAGCUACCUACGGUUGCAUCGGAGCUCAGCUUGGCCGAGAAGAGGUGAAGCUCGACCUGGGGUCUCGCAAAUAUACAAAUAUCUGGGACACAAUGUGAGUUCUACCUGAACCAGCCUUUCAGGUUUCAGGUUCUCGGGUAGAAUGAGUUGGGUCAUGAUGUAGAGUCGGAAAAUUGAAUCAGUCAAAGCUCGUUUCUAGUUUUAAGAACUGGAAACCAAACCGGUCCCCCUAUGAAUCGGCUGAGUAAGGUAGGUUUGGACAACUUCUGGAGUUGAACCAUUUGGUUGCUUAAUCCUAUUCGACCCCACUUGGGUCUAAUUUGUUGCCAAAGCUCGCCCGUCUCAUAAAAUUAAUAUUUUAUGAAUUUUCAGGUCGGAUUAGGUUGAAUCUAGGCCAAAGAUGGCCUGAUAGGCCUUUUUCAUGUUAAACCAUUGCCUAAGCACACCCAUUUACUUAUUGGACUUAGGUGUGCCAAGAGAGCUGGCUGUCCAUUGAUCAUCUCUACUAGACAAGACAAACAGUACAAAAGGUUUUGUUGUUGAAAUUAUUGCGAUGGCAGAAGAAAAUCAUGUGUUUAGCACAAUUUUUUCCGCAAUUACCAUAGUUUUGAAAUUGGGUUCAAAAUGUUUGGUAAAAAUAUCAUAGUUGUCACACGCUCGUUGUUGAAAUACAUUCACAAUAGCUUCCACAAAGCUACUGAGUAGCUUGGGGGAUGAUUAUCCAAAAAGUGUUUAAUCUAUCGUUUGAUAGUCAACCCAAUCCUAAACAUUUAGAAUAUGCAAAUUUAGUACUAAACCUUCUAACAACUUGCCAAUUUAGUCAUAAAUAUUUCAAUUUUACCGAUUCAGUUUUAAAUAUUUUAUGAUAUGUCAAUUUAAUCCUAAACCUUAUAAUGACUUAUCAAUCUAGUACUUCCGACUGGAAAUUGCUGAUGUGGGGGAAGAUUGAAGAAGUGUGGGUUUCGUAUAAUAUGCAAGCAACGAGAGGAUGAUCUGAGGGUUGUGAUCUCGCACUAUCUGCCAAUAGAAACAUAUUAGUCUUCGGAGGAAGAUGAUCGGAUAGACGUCGAGGAAGAAGAUAGUUCAAGCGAAACGGAUGAUGAAAUUGUCAAAGCAGACGAGUGGGACCUGCCCAAUCGAGGAAAUCGGCGGGGGGAUAGAAGCGAACUGUCGAAUUGGUCUCCAUUUGGCUUUGAUUGUUNNNNNNNNNNNNNNNNNNNNNNNNNNNNNNNNNNNNNNNNNNNNNNNNNNNNNNNNNNNNNNNNNNNNNNNNNNNNNNNNNNNNNNNNNNNNNNNNNNNNGAAGAAGUCGUGAGGUGAAAAUUUGUCAGUGUCAAUUUGUUCAAGAAAAUGGAGGGAGUGGAAAGGAGAACCGGAAGUUGCGAACCUAAUUGAAAAAUAAAUAGUAAGUAACGAAUGUGUUGGUAUUUUCCUGUCGAUUUUAUUCAAACUUAUAUACUAAGAAAGACGAUAUGCGCCAGCUUUGUAUAUAUUUUAAUUUGAUUGCUUAAUAAUUUCUUUUGAUUGUUAUCUAAGUUUGGCCAAUUCCACCUGGUUGAAAGGUUGCAACGUGAUUUGAAGAUUUAAUAGAUCUUACACAUAAGGCAAUAUUUAUUAGAAUUAUUGAUUUUUGACGUGCUAGAGCUUGAAGUCCAAGAUGCAUCGACCUUUCCCAGAGACAGUAACUAAGUUAUUCAGUAUCAACCACCGAAUGAUGAUUUUUCAUAAAUAGCAUAGCCGGGGACCUCUUUCAUUUUCUUCCUCUGGUAUAGCAACAAUCAUUCCCGUUCCCUUUGGAUCCUAGCAGCAUCUGAGGGAGACAGCACAGAACUCACAUGCAUUGGGGGGGGGGGGGGGGGGGUGGAGCAAAAUCUUGAUUCCAAUGCCUCUUGCUUUUCUCUUACCUUAUAUACGCAGCACGACAAGUCUUUUUUACAAAUUAUAAAUCACACCUCUAAGUGUUUUUUUUUAUAGAGUUGCUUGCACAAUUUAUCUCUUGACUAUGCCUUCACUUUAAGUAUAGGCACCUUUUUUUUGCGCGUUACGAAUGGGUUUCUCACUUUUGUUAACACUUAGUAAAAACACUCUAAUGGGUAUUGCAAACUUAUAAAGAGACAAAAUCAAGAAUAUGUAACGAAUACCUAUUUCGUUAUCAUUCUAUCAUGCGGGCAAUGCAUAAUGAGAGGAGGAUCACUAGACAACACAAGGGAAGAAGAAAGUUGGACUCAUGUUACAUAGGAAAUAAGAAACCAUUCAUGGUGAAAAUCAGAAAGCUUCCGGUUUAUGAUGAUUCCGCACUCAUCAUCCUCUAGACGAGAGGCGAAUGGUAAUCGCAUGCUUCAAACGAUCCCGCCAAUUCUCAAGCUGGGGUUAUAUUGUAUUGAUUAGCACCAUGAGGUCAUCGAGAAAAGCCAAAUUGGCUAAAUUGGCCACGUUGAGGCCACAAUUCGAGCUGCUAUACAAAUAGAGAAGAAACUACAGGUCAAUAAGCAAAAAAGAAAGAGGGAAAGAGGAGGAAAGGCUUUUGUCUUCUCGAUUUUACCAAGAGAAUUUUCAAUUGGAUGGUUUGUAGCUACUAUGAUAACAACAAAGUUACUGUAGAAAGAGAUCGACGUGCGUGUUCAUGAGUAAUUCAUGAAUGGUCUUAUCUCUUCCUCAUAUUCGUCGAUUUUCCGAAAGGCUCUCGCAUCAACUAAUAUCCUACGGCCUUCUAUCUUGCCUACCUCUGUAAAGUCAUGUGAAAUCGUAAAACGAAGAUUUGUCCGAAAAAAUUCAUUUUGCUCCAUGAAAAAUUCCCCUUCGAUAUUUUGCCUUAUAAAACCUCCUAUGGUAGGAAAAUUAUUGAGACAAAUGUGUUCAAAAAUCUUUAUUUUCAUAUUAUUUAAUAUAGACGAGAUUACAACACCCGUAAAAUCAUGUGAAAUUAGAAAACAAAGAUUUGUCCGAAAAAAUUCUUUUUACCCCAGUAACUCACCUUAGGGUGACAUUUGAGAGAAGGCCUUAUUCCAAAUUCAUUAAUAUAUUCAAUUGAAGUCAAAUCCAUUCAUAAGUUUAAAUCAAUGAAUCAUAAUCUUGUUUUAACUCAUAAUCAUGCCCAUCUUUAUGCUUUCCUAAGUUUCAUCCCAUAAAAAACCUCAAACUUAUAUAUUUGUGACAAAUUUACCCUAGAUUGACCACAAAAAAUUCUAAAUUGAUACACUUGUAACAAAUUUACCCAAAUCGGAUUCCUCUUGUCUAUACCAGUUCUGAGUUGACUAUUUGACGCCUAAGACUCAUAACCAUCUCUGCUUNNNNNNNNNNNNNNNNNNNNNNNNNNNNNNNNNNNNNNNNNNNNNNNNNNNNNNNNNNNNNNNNNNNNNNNNNNNNNNNNNNNNNNNNNNNNNNNNNNNNAUUAGAGAGCCAAAAAUCAGAAUUUUAACAUUCAUUAGGAUUAGGAGGUUGCACACAAGGCGAUGUUUGAUCAAAUGUUAAAAUCAAUUAUGCAUCGGAGGAUAAAUCACGAUCAAAACUUUCCUUAAUUAAGCAAUUACCAUCAAAAUUUCAUGGCUUACAAAACCAGCAAAAGAGACAUCGCAAGGAAUAGUCUGUGAGACAAUAUUUGUCAAAAUCUAUAAAAUCCACAAAGAGGGGAGGAUAGGCAAGCCACUAUGAAGACCCUUAAUUUGGUCCUGACUAGUAGGCUAAGGAUUGAUAUGCCGAUGGUGGGAAUAGGUCAUGAAUCGACCCUAGAAUCAGUUAUGGGCCAUGGAUUGUGGCGAAGGAUCUUGGAAUGGCCACAGAACUGGCCUGGGACUUAUUGGCAGGCCCGAAGACUGGACCUUGGAGCCACUGGAGAUGAACUAACGACCGGUCUUCUUGAUCCUGACCACAACUUGGUCGGGGAUAGACUCAAGACCAGUUUGGAUCAGAUCCGGUGGCUGUGAAGUCAUCAUCGCACAAACUAGCUUGAAGGAUCUAACUAAGCAAUCACAGAAAAAAACCUAUAACAGAAAGUUUUAGACUAAGCACGCAGGGAUUUGAUGAACUUGGUUUUGGAGAAAGGGCACAACAAAGUGCCGGUUUUCUAUGAGCAGCCCGCCAACAUAAUUGGAUUGAUUAUGGUAUCUACAAGAAACUUUUAGUUUCAUGUUUCUUUCUUUAUAUAUGAAUAACUUAAAUGAUAACUCUAGCGCCAGGUUCUAAGCGUGAUACCAAGUCCUUUAGGAGGCUUGAGCCCGAACGUUUCGCUUUAAUUCCUCACAUUCGCGAGCAAGGGCCACCAAAGAAUCUUGGACUCGGUAGACGUCUCGAGUUAAGACGCCAUCGAAAUCCGACAAAUUGUCCUAAUGAGCGCUCUAUUGGCGGCCAUGUUUCAAUGGCCAUAGGGUGGAUUUCAAUCCACAAAUAAUGGCUAACAAGUUCAUCCUAUAUAAUAUUUUUGAUUGCGAAACUUUUACAUUAUAUUCUACGGCAGCUGGAAUGACUACGUUGGUAAAUUAUUAAAAGAUUUAUGAUUAAAUAGGCAAAGCAUCAAAAAGUUUAGGACUAAUUUGACAUAGUUAAAAAGUUUAAAGACUAAAUUGGCAAAUCAUCAAAGGUUUGAGAUGCCGACUGAUCCCUAGUCAUCUUAUGUGGGUUGGCCAAUGCUGGACAAACUUUUCAUUUUUCUAAUUCUUCUUCCUUUUUAUUUCUCUUUGGCUUGUAGCUGGUACUCGACCAUGGCUGGCGAAGGUGUCGCGGCCUUUGCCAAAUUUGGCGAGGGCUCAACCCUCGUGACUUGGGCAAGAGUGGAGGCAAGGGCAACCCUCGCCUAUGCCAAUCGCCAGCCAUGGCCAAGUACCAGCCAUAGGCCAAAGGGAAAGAAAAGGAAAAAAACACAAAAUUUGUUUACCUUAAUAUUGGCCAUGCUACGUAGGAUGCAUGACACUCAUGUUAGCGAUUUUUCACCAAAAUUAGUCGAAACUAAAUUGGCAAGUAGUCACAAGGCUUAGGAUUAAAUUGGAAAGUCAUUAAAAGGUUUAAGAUUAAAUUGGUAUGUUGUCCAAAUAUUUAGAACUAAAUUGACACAAUUAAAAAAUAUAGAACUGAAUUGGCCGUCUUAUAAUAGACUUAGAAAUUUUCCAAUAGCUUUGACAUCUAAUUUUUCCUCUUAUCAUCUAAUGUGUUUCUAAUUGUGUCCAUAUUUUUUUUUUUGCAACCCUACAAAAUAAGAAAAAAAGAAACUUGGUCAUGGCCACCCCCAAUCUUUUUUGUUCCAAGUUUUAAUUUCAAUUUUUCACCAUCCUUCAACCAUGUGACUCAACGGCAUCGUCACUUCCAUCCCUCUUCAUCAAAGCUAUGAUUUUUUUUUAAAGAAAAAUAUAAAACUGAAAAUUAAUUAUAGUAAUGAUACUGAUAAUGAUCGUAAUUCUAUUGUUAUUAUUGUUUAUUUCAAUUUUUCAAUAAUAUUUACCCAUAGAAGGAAAGUUAUAGCAACGUUUCUAUAAAAAAAAUUGAAAAAAUAAUAAAUAACAAUAUAUAUAUAUAUAUAUGUCUCGAUUUUAUAAUAGCAAUAAUAAUAAUAAUAAAACAUAUGAAAUAUAAUUAUGAUAAUGACAACAUUAACAUCAUCAUUAUAAUUAUUAUAUGGUGAAUAUGGUGUAUUGCAAAAGUUCUAGUAAUACGAACAUAAACAUUAGUACAAGAGUAACCACCGGCCGCGGUAGCUCCGCUGGAUAAGGCCCUGCCGAUCCUCAACCCAGAGGUGAAGGGUUCAAAACCCAGGGAAGGCGCUAGGUAUAUUAAGUGUUACUCAGGGGUGGUGGGUUCUCCUGCUUAAGUGUCACCUGGGGGUUUAUGGCGCGGCUGUCGGCUGCAAGCCGGUUCCUCCAGCACAAAAAAAAAACAUUAGUACCAAAGUAUGGAGUGAAGAGAGUAGAGAAAUAGAAGAGGCAUUAAGGAAGACAGGAGAGAUGCUGGGGAGGGAGGUGAAGGAUGUGAGAAAUUAGUACGUCCCCCAGCCGAGAAUGGUUAGGUAGAAAAUGGGGUAUUGCAAUAGUUUUAAUAAUAUAGACAUAAACAUGGAUAUCGGAAUAUGGAGCAAUGGGAAUUCUCAUUCAUAAAGGAGAGGAGAGAAAUGGAAGAGGCAAUGAGGAAGGGAAGGAGAGAUAUUGAGGUGAGCAUGUACUCAAGUCGAGAAUGUCUAAGGCAUAUGAAUGCAGGGAAAAUGAUCAAAAAGUCCUAAACCAAUCGUAUGGUUGUCAAUUUAGUCAUAAAAUUUUCAAUUGUAUUAAUUUAAUUCUAAAUAUUUUGGUAAAUUGUCAAUUUAGUCAUACACCUUUUAACGAUUUCUCAAUUUAGUCUAUUUAGGCAAUUUUGGCAAGAAAUCAGUGACAUAGCAUAAACGACAUGAUAUGGUCACCAGUUGUUCUAUAUAGUAUGAUUGACGCUGACAUAAACAAAUUUAAUAAUAAUUACAAUAUGUUCGGAACUUUUUAAAUAAUUUUUCCUCAUAUAGCACCUUCAAAAGAUGUAUUGUAAGAUGCAUGUAUUCACAGCUGUAGCUACAGCUGUGCCAACCAGACUCGAAGAAAAUAAAGAAAUCGUCCUUGAUGGUGCUAUGAGUUCCCUCGACUUUUAAUUUGAUGCGUUGAAGUCGAUCCUUAUUGAUGGAUGAAUUUAUUUCCGCAUCAAUAGAAAUAAUGUGACAUAGUGGAUUUGAGGAUGCUACGUGGCUUGUUUUUUUAAAGAUUAACAGAUCCUACAUGGCAACUAAUUCGGGGUAGACAGUGACCAAAAUAAUGUGGUUUUUGAUUUAUAUUUCACCUGAGUCAAGCAGAAUUCUUACUCGAGUCAAUUCGCUGGUUCUUACUUGAACGAAUGAUUAUGGAAAGUUUGGACAUCAAAGAAGGCAUUCGUAAGUUAUUUGCAAAAAGUUGGACACCGUAUAACAAUAUUGUCGCUGGUAGCGUCCUUAUUCUUAAGAAUUUCUGAGGAGUAAAGUAUCUAAAUACUAAUUUUUAAGCAUGGUGAAUGAUCGAAACCCCUAUUGGCAUUUGUAAACCGUAGGCCUAUUCCCUUUUCUUGGCAUAUUGAUUGUAUCUAGCAUGAAGAUCCAUUGUUUUCAGGAGUACUAUUUGCGAAUCGUAUCUGCUAUAUGGACUAGUGUUUUUUUUUUUUAAUAUGGACUAGUGCUUACGGAAUGAUAAAAUAUCUGUUGAUUGAAAUGUUUUUUCUUGUUUCUUAAAAUCUCUAUUUCUAAGCAAGAAAGGAGGAGCACAAAUUAUGGACUCUAUGAUCAUGUACUAAAAAGCUUGGCAAUAAUUUUUUGAAAGGCACCCUAAUUGAAUUAUUCAAGAUACCAAACUCAUACGAAUAUAUUUUCAUUCAUUUAAAUUAUAAUCCAACAUGAUAUUUUUAAGGAAGAAAAGGAAAAUUACUCCCUUAACCGUCAUUCUAUCUAAAAGACUUUUUCAAAAUCAAUAUAUAUAAAGAGGACCCAAGGUCUUGAAGAUAGAGAUGAAGAGAAAAUGGGGCGGGAAAACCCGAUCCCCUCUUCGUCAUUCGGAAGGUUUGAAGUUAGGCCAACGAAAAGGCGACGACUACCCACUUCCCUAAUUUUUCUUUUCACCAAAUCUUUCCUCACUAUAUAUCUCUGCAAUCAAAAUUAGUUCCUUAGUAGCAUGUUCUAGUUAGGCUGAUCAGACCCAGCUAAAAGUUAAAAAGAAAAUCCAAAACCCAAGUGGGCCCCUAAAUUGGAGCGUUAGGCUAUAUUCAGUGGGCCAAAAAUUGACUGGCCUCUGCCCAUACACACUUCAAAAUGCCCUCUCUCUCUCUCUCUCUCUCUCUCUACAUAAACAAAUACAUAGAAAUAAGUAGCCAAAUAAAAGUGAGGUUGGGCUUUUUCUUGGCGGUCCAAUUCCCAAAAAUUCUGGUCCCAAGGGAGGGGAAGGACCGGAAAGGAAUCGAAUUUCACAAAGCAUCUGGACCUCAAAACCAUCGAGAGUCCAGUUGCCCAAAACCACAACACCAAAGAAACCCCGAGUCGAAACGAAGCGAACCAAUCCCCCCCGCACGUUUUCGUCCUCCCAAACCCCGCACCCACACCCACACCCACACCCAAAAAGUCCCACUCCAACAUCUUAUCGUUUUUCCUCCCAUUCGAACGGUCCAAUUACAGACUUCCUUCUCGGGUCUCAAGCCCAAUCUCGCUUUCCCCCUUCUCUCUCUUCUCUCCCGGACCUGCUCGCGCCCCGACGAACCUGCUCGCGCCCCGACGAAACCCUAGAUCUGAGGCCCAGCUGAUCGGCGACGGACGGACCCGAUCCGAUCGCCGCCCCGCCCCGCCCCGCCGUGGAUCGCGCUCCCUUUCGUUCUCCCGCAGCGGUAAUGAUGCCGACGUCCGGGCUCCCCUCUCUCCCUCUCUCUCUCUCUGUGGCUUCUUUGGUUUCGCGUUUUGAUUGCGUCGCGGUGUUGUUCUUGUUAUGGUUGGGUCUUGUUACCCGAUGGCGAUCGGUCGUUGUUUUCUUUUUCUUUCUUUCUUGUUUUGACUCUGUUGAUGGACUGCUUUCGAGGUUCGUUUCGUGCGUCCGCGUUCGAUUCCGAUUCGUUCUGGGUUUUAGUCGAGUCCCGGCUCGUUUCGGCUUCGGGCGUCCAGAUCUGCGAUCGUUCGACCCGGUUUUCUUUUUGUUCCGUUCUUCGCGUUUUGUGAAGCCCAGAGAGGCUACAGGAAAGUACGGUACAUAAGCUUUCGUUUCCGGUUGUUUUUGAAUUUUCGUUAAAAAGAGUCCAGGCUCGAUUCGAGCGCCUUAGAUCUGUUUCUCCAUCUCGGCGGUCUGUGAUUUAUUCUGCCCCCAAAAGCUUUUCGAGCCCGAAGGCGACGAUGAAAACUUAAAAAGGACAGGCCUUUGCGUAGACCUUUUGCUCCUGACCAUGGGAGGAGGGAGCGAGCGACCGAAUUGAGCUGGAGAGGAGGAGGGUCCUGCGUGGUUGGUGUGGAGGACUACUAGGCGAUCGGGCCGGGCUUAUUAGGCUUUGCUUGGGCCCAAAAGGUCCUAACUUAGCUUCGUUGUGUUCCGCUGGGUAUGUCCCCCCUUCUUUUAUCUGGAAGUGGGAGGUGGGAACUGGGUGAUGGUACGAGUGGGUGUGGUUGGCUUUUCGUUGCUGGCUGGCUGGCUGACUCGCCCAAGGGUUUUGUUUUUUAGAUGCUUGUGCCCGCGGUAGGGCCUGUUGGCCUGAAACCUGGUGGAGCCAGCGACCCUUUUUAUGGAGGAGGGCGGCUAUGGUGGGCUGAGGGGAGGAAUGUGUGGCCCAACUUUUUUUAACGUUUAGCUAAGCGAAGGAAAAAAAGAAAAAACUGAUGCGGAAGAAAAGGGAAGAAGACGGUAGUUCAGUUAGCUUGUCAGGACAUAAUGUCUAAAGAUGUGUUGAUUUCUUUCUUUCCUUCCUUCUUUCUUUCUUCUGAGAAAUAACCAUCUGAGGAUGUAGGCUUAGAGGAACCGGGUGUGGUGUAUUUCGAGCUAUGCAUGUGUUUUGUGUGGUUUAAACGGACAAGGAGGGGCAAUUUCAGUCUGUAUGGUUUGUUUUCGUUUGGUAGCUAAUUUAGUUUAUGAGAAGAUCGAUGCUGGGAAUGUGGGUACACAAGGAGGAAUGGAUGAACACGUCGUACUCGAAAUUAUUAUAGAAAUUACAGUAUGUUUUGUUUUUGAUGGAAUCACUGUAUGUUUCGGUUUCUGUUGUCUGAAAGUUGGUAGCUUGUCUACUCUGUGUGGUGAAACAUAACUACAUGUCCCACUGACACGAGAUAUGAUGUCUCAAAGAAUGAAUGAACGCUAGGCUACUUGUUGACCUCUAAGCUGUAGGAGGGUGUGACACGAAGAUUGCAUGUUGUCUACUACCGUCACUUGUUAAUUAUUCAAACUGCCAAGGACUAAGGCAGUUAUCAAGAUUUAUAUGAGGUAGGAGUGGGAGAUAUGAUCAACGUGAACGGGACUCAUUGAAUUUGAAAAAAGAUGUAGUGGAGAGGGUUAGUUUCUUGCUUUGCUUGCUGGCAAACUUUUUAAAGGAUCAUCUCUGGCAAAUUCUGAAAUUUUUCAAUUGACUGAAAAGUGGUGUGUGCAAGUUCAAUACCAACACAUGCCUUCAAGUUUGUACUUCUAUUUCAUCGACUAAGAAAGGCAUUAGCGAUCACUGUAGUUUCGCUUCUGUCAUUGGUACUCUGUAAUUGGGAUAUGCUUGGAGUUUUCCUUUGUUCAAUAUGUAGAGUUUCUACCUCCUUGGAUGCUGUUUUGUGUUUAAUAUAUCUAGGAGACUAGGAUGAUUUGUGUAGUUCCCUUUCUUGUCAUUCUCAUGUAAGUUCUUUGGCUUCGCUUGUUUGAUAUAUCUAGGGGACUAAGAUGAUUUGUCUAAGUUCUUUGGCUGCUCUUUUUUAUGAGAAGUCAAAUUAGCUUGUGAAAAAGAUUCAUUAGCCUACUGUUGUUUGCACUUUUCAGCCAGAUCGAGGGUUAGAAUUUUAUAACUAAGAGGCUGACGCAAGUUGGUUCUUUCUUGACACAUAGAUCACCAACCACCAACCAAGAUAACUCCUGUUGCAUCUGUGAGAUGAGGUAUCAAAUGUUAAAGCUACUACUCUGAAUACGCCUUUGUGUUUUUGGAGUGCUUCUGGUGUGGACUUUAUGCAGGAACAUUCACUAUAGUGGAUACCUGACCUACAUAAUGCAAUAUGAAGCAGAAAAUGAUGUUUUGCUGCUAGCUUGACUUGUCUAAACUCUCCUCAUCAUAUUGAAAGCUAAUUCAUCAAUCGUACCUUAUGAUUGGCCACCAUUGUGUCAACUAUUUUCCAAGCCUUUUAGUCCUUGUACAGUUCUUCUGUUCAUAUCUUACUCUAAUUUUGGUUCAAGCCCAUUCAUCAGUGAUUUAUGUAAUAUAUCUGCCUUAUGCUGCCAAUAUUCCAUAUCUCGUUCUCUUCCGUACCUUUCAUUUUUCUUUUCUUGUUUUGUCUCUGACUUUAUUGGGCAGGAAUUUGUUUUUAGAUAGAAGAUGGCAACCCCAGAAGAAAACAACAACGUGAAAACUCCCGAAACACAGCCCAACAAGCGGAGAAAAAAGAAGUCCAUCGUCUGGGAACACUUCACAAUAGAAACCGUGGGUCCUGGAUGUAGAAGGGCAUGCUGUAAGCAGUGCAAGCAAAGUUUUGCUUAUAGCACUGGCUCAAAGGUCGCUGGCACCAGCCACCUCAAACGUCAUAUUGCGAAGGGCACCUGUCCUGCUAUUCUACGUAACCAAGACAAGAAUCAGAUCACACCAUACUCUGCACCUGGAAGAAUGGGUUCCGAUCCUCCUAAACGUCGCUAUAGAACUUCUGCUGUCUCCCUCAUACCUUUCGACCAGGAUCGGUGUCGCCAUGAGAUUGCUAAGAUGAUUAUAAUGCAUGACUACCCACUUCACAUGGUUGAGCAUCCUGGGUUUGUGACUUUUGUCCAGAACCUUCAACCACGGUUCGAUCUGGUCUCUUUUAAUGCCGUACAAGGUGACUGUAUAGCAACUUAUCUAUGUGAAAAGCAAGGUGUGAUGAAGUUCAUCGAGGGAAUGCCAGGACGAGUCUGCCUCACUGUCGAUAUUUGGACUUCUAGUCAAAGUUUGGGUUAUCUAUUUCUGACUGGCCAUUUCAUGGAUAGCGACUGGAAGAUGCAUCGCAGGCUUCUCAAUAUUGUAAUGGAGCCGUUUUCGGCGUUAAGUCAUGCAGUUGCUACCUGUCUUGCUGAUUGGAAUCUGGAGAGUAAAUUGUUUUCUGUUACUUUUAAUCAGCCAAUGACUGAAGCAGCACGUGAAAAUCUCAAACCUUUUCUUGCUAUCAAGAACCCUAAUAUUCUUAAUGGUCAAUUGUUGAUCAGCAAUUGUGUUGCACGUACCUUGACUGCUGUGGCGAAGGAUGUACUUGGGGCAGGGGAAGCAAUUAUAAAGAAGAUACGGAACAGUGUAAAAUAUGUGAAGACAUCGGAGUCACACGAGGAAAAGUUCAUUGAUCUCAAGCAACAGCUGCAAGUUCCAAGCGAGAGGAGCCUUUCUUUAGAUGAUCAAACUCAGUGGAACACAACAUAUGAAAUGCUAGUGGCUGCUUCAGAACUGAAGGAAGUUUUCUCUUGCUUGGAUACCUCAGAUCCGGAUUACAAGCAAGCCCCGACCUUGGAAGAGUGGAAGCAGGUGGAAACCCUCUGUACCUACUUAAAACCUGUUUAUGAAGCAGCAAGUACUCUUACAACUCCUUCCGGCCCUACUGCAAUUACAUUCUUUCAUGAAGUGUGGAAGAUUCAAGCAGAUCUUGCUCGUGCAGUCACGAGCGAGGAUCCCUUCAUCGCUGAUCUUACCAAGCCGAUGCUUGAGAAGAUCGAUAAAUACUGGAAGGACUGCAGCCUGGUUUUGGCCAUGGCUGUGGUCAUGGAUCCUCGGUUCAAGAUGAAGCUUGUUGAGUUCAGUUUCACUAAAGUGUUUGGUGAAGAUGCUCCGAAUUAUGUGAAGAUAGUUGAUGAAGGCAUUCACGAGCUGUUUCUCGAAUAUGUUUCACUUCCAUUGCCUCUGACGCCCACUUAUGCAGAAGAGGGGCAAAAUGGAAACAAGAUGGAGGAAUCACCUCAAGGAGGGCAUCUUCUGACAGACCAUGGUCUGACUGAUUUCGAUAUGUACAUCAUGGAAACUAGUGGCCAGCAGAUGAAGUCGGAACUGGACCAGUAUCUGGAUGAAACUUUAUUGCCCCGAGUGCAAGAGUUUGAUGUGUUGGGGUGGUGGAAGCUGAACAAGCUGAAAUACCCAACCCUCUCUAAAAUGGCUCGUGACAUCCUGUCUAUCCCAGUGUCUACUGUUCUUCCUGAUUCUGUAUUUGAUACUGCACCUAAGGAGAUGGAUAAGUACCGGUGUUCCCUGCGACCCGACACAGUGGAAGCCCUUUUGUGCACUAAGGACUGGCUACAGUACGGCUCGUCCCAGAUAUCAAACGCCCUUGUGAAAGUGGAAAUGUAGGUUUAGGUCUCAUCUCAUUCUGGACUUGUGCUAAAAUCUAGGUUUGAUAGGUUGUAAUUUGGCUCCCGGAAUACCACUUUGCCAUUGAGUGGAUUGUUUAGAAUUUAGAUGCUUGAUCGUUGAACCUCGGUUAGUUCACCUUACACUCUUUAACUCAAUACUUUCUGCAACUGGAGAUGCCUCUCAGGUGUAAACUUUCUUACCAUUGAUUUGCAGUAGAUUGAGUCUUAGCUUGAAAGCAUGCACUUAAAGCACAGGAGAUAUCAGUUGUGUACUUUCAGCUUUGAACUAAUGCAUUCCCUGAGUCUUAUUGGGUGCUCCGGUGCAUGUAAGCCUAGUUCACCGUAGUCUUCAGAUAUCGUCGAUCUCGCAUUGGACUCACUAAAAUAAAAACUUGCGUUUCUCUAGGCUCACAUCUCUGUUUGAAGGUGUAUUUAUAUCAUGAAAAAUAAAUGACUUGGAAAAUAUUUUUUCUGAAAUUGAUUGCUUAUAUCGCAUAUAAAGUUUAGUAAUCAAGAGAUAUUUUUUAUUAUUUUAUUUAAUACAAACGAUCAUUUUAAAGGAAAAUAAUUUUUUAAAUUAUUUUGUUCACGAAACUAAUGAAUCAAACUAUGGAGUUGAUCAUUUUAAGUACUGAGAUAAAGAUAAAAUGUUACUUGAUAAUAGUCGAAGGUUGUGCAUUGAAUAGUAAUCUUUCCUACUAAAUAUAGAAUUGUAAGCACAUCUGAUUAGUUUUUAGCAACGCAAUAGGCAACACCUUAUUUCCUAUGGAUAUUUUUUCUAUUGAAUGAAUUCAGUCAUCUUUUGACUUUAUUGAAUCUUUUUAGUCGAAAUAAGUAAUUGUUAUCAAACGUGCUUAAUUCUGUUAAGUGCAGAUAUCAAACCCGCUCUACUAAAAAAUUCUAAGUUGACGUUCUAAAAAUUUGAAGAAAAUGUAACUUGAAAGUAAAAAUCUUAUCAAUUAUCAAAUCUUGUCAACAACUAUGCUGAGCAGUUAUCAAAUUUUAUCAGGAUUCGUGCGGUAGACGUAGGAUAACUCAAGUUUCAUACCAACUUUUAUCGGGUAGUACAAUAGUGAUGGGUUCCAUAAAUGAGUAUAGUUAUGACUUGAACCGAAUAUUUGACUAUAGGUGUAGAAUUCGAUAAAAUGCCUAGGGGGAUCGUCGAUAUGGGUCACCUCUUCUCGCCUUUCCUUUUAGUAAAAAUAAAAUUAAAUGAGAAAUUAAAAUGCUAUUUCUUUUGUGAUGUUCCUUGUUCGAAAUAUCCAUUGUUUUGGGACAAGUACGAAUCAAGUCCACCAUAUCUUAGCUGUAUUGUGAUUAUCAACAAGUAAUUGGAGACUAGGAGAUAGAAAACUGCUUUGACAAGGUUGCUAAAAAAGGUUGGUUAAAUUGGGGGAGGAGUCGUUACUUAUACAUUACAUAAAAUAAUAUCGGCCUGAGGUCUUGAUAUUAAUUGUGGCCAGUAAUUGUCGUGAACUUUUUAUUUUUUUAAUUAAUAAAAAGAAUGGAAUGAGCGGAUUAAUGCAAGCAACUGCUCCUAGCACUACCGUAAGAGUUUCAUACUUGCAAUAGUAAUGUUCAUAUAGAACCAUUAUUAUUAUUCAUCUAGAGUGGCCCCGUCCAUCAUCGUACCAUCGAAUGCAAGUUGUGAUUCGUUCCGACAUUAUCCCAUACUUGAUGCACAGAUCGAUCCUACCUCUCAAAUACUUACCAUAGUUAAAUCUAGGUUGUUGAUCUUACAAAUAUGGCAAGUGUUCGAUGUUGUACUUAGAUGAACAUUAAAUUUCAAAGGGAAAUUAACACAAAUGAUCUCUGAAUUUUAACUUAAUAUGUAAUAUGAUCCAUGAAUUUUAAUUUGUUCAAUGUGACCAUUGAAUUUAACCCAACAUAUAAUGUCCUCCCCAAACUUUCAAUUCGUAAUAAGGUUCAAGAAUCUCUAAUUUAUUCAAUGUGAUUCAUGAACCUUUAAUACAUAUUCAAUCUAGUCCUUAUUCUAUAUAAAAACAUCCAUUAUUAUUUAUAAAUUUAAUUAAAUAAAAUGACGACAUUAAAUAUUUUUCAUGAAAUUUAGGGAUUAAUGACGAAAUUAUAUAUUAUAUUAAAUUCAAAAAUCACAUUAAAUAAAGUAAAUAUUUGUAGACUAUAUUAUAUAUUUAGUUAAAAUUUAUGAACUAUUUAUAUUAUUUCUCAAUUCCAAAAAAAAUACUACACGAGGUGGAUGACAUAAGCCUGUGUUUAUUUUUUAUUUAUUGUUUUAUUUCAUCGUCACGCCUGUCGCGACGAAACGAGGCGAGAAAACGAGAAAACCCGACCCGCUCAAAUUCGCCCCCCAACGGAGCUCCGCCGCCUCCCUCCGCCGGCGAGCCGCUCGCCCGCCGCUACCGGAAUCGUCUCCCCGAGGCCGCUGGAGCCUCUUCGGCGGCGUAGCUCCCGUGAAGGCUCCUCACCGACAGAAGCGCGGGCAGCCGUCGCCGCGCUCGCCGGCGCAAGAGCGCUCGUCGCUGUUCCGGCCCCGUCGAAGACCCGGCCGGCAUCUGACCCGCGAUGGAUCUCUCCCCGUUCAAGCAGGACGUCGACGAGCUCAUCAACGAGUUCGCGCAGGUAAAUACUUCGGUUCCAGGAGCGGCUGUUCUGGUCUAAGCGUCCGUGAGGUGACGUGGGUUUUUACGUGCAGGGCGGAUCGAGGGCUUUAGCCGAUAUGAAGCGCAUAUGGAUGUCCAGGAAGUUCUCUUACAUCUACGAGGCGCGUCCUUCGUCCAACUUGACCUUCUUCAUGCAGACGCUCUAUUCUCAGUCAAUUGGUGAGAGAGUGAUCCUUAACUGACUCGAAAGCUUUCGCGGUUUUGGCUUGUGGGGGCGGGUGCGUCGACUUGUUUGGGGCGUCCAGCAUUGAGUCGAGGAAUGCUGCUUUGCCUGAUUGUAAUUUGCUUGAAUUCAAUUUAGCCAAAAAUAGAAAUAAAAAUCGAGACUUGGAUAUAAAUGGGGUGUUGAAAAGGCUUGCCUUUAAGCAAGUUGAUGACUCUAUUUGAGCAGUUUUACAUUGGAAGUGAUUGCUCUCUUUUGGGUGAAAAGAACUUUGUUUAGCGCCUUGGUGGUUUACAUGUAUGUGCCAUCUAAGUGACUUGAAAAAUUUAAGAACUACUAGCAUCUCUUGCAAGUUUACUUUAUAUUCACAAGACCAUGACUGUGGAUGGGGUCUUUGCAGGUCACAUGGUCAACUUGGAGUCCCUAUCUCGCCGGUUAGGUGGGCUGUAUUGCCUUUACUGUCUUUAUGAAACUCAACCAUUCAAACCUCCUUUCAGAAUCUAUCUCUCUCUGGGUAAGAUAUUCUGUUUCCGAUCACAUUGAUUUUACUUUUGGUGUAUCUUAGAGAAUUGUUUUCCGCGCUCAGUCCCUGCUAUUGUUUCAAGAUUCUGUUCUUACUUUGCAGAGGAAAAACGUAAACCUUUUCUUAGAACUUGUCUGUGUACUGAUGGCCAAGCUACUUCAUUAGUCUGGCUGAGCUGCUCUGUUUGACAAGCUUUUCAGUGUUAGUCUGUUAUGUUCUCCCCACUUUAGCCUUCGUAACUGAGCUUAGCAGAGUUCUAUAGGCGAUAAAGAACGAUAACCUGAAAGUAUAUGCACUCUGCACCACCAUAAAUUUAAGAUGUCCUUGAAAGAUUUUCAUUGACUUUUCCUAGUCAAUAUCAAUUAAAAUAGAACAGAAAAAUCCUUAUUCGUGGGACCUUAUGAAUUUUCAGCUUAAUACAUGUUAGCUAUGGCUUCUAAACUGAUCUAGGGAUCUUCACCUUCUUCUAUCCUGAACAAUGGAAGUGGGAGCUAGAUUUACUUUUAGUAUUAAAAUAGAUUUUCUCCUUACAAAUGGGGAUUUUAAUUGAAACAAUGAGUCAGAAACAAACAGUACUUUUGUCUCUUAGUAGCUUCAAUUUGAUUGUCCUCUUUGUGAUUGACUUUUUUUAUAGGUAAUUUUGUUUGUGAAUAUCCAUGUUGCGUCUGUUAAUAAUCUUUCUGGAAGGUAGGAUACGUCUAGCCCUAGGCAUGUUCUGUUCUUGAAAUCAUACAACUAGAGGGUUCAAAAUUCUUACCUUUUUUAACAUGUUCCUAGCUCACCAUCCAAGGAGUUAAGCAGCAUACAUGGUAUAGAUUUGAGCUCUUGUCAAUUGAUUUAUGGCAGUAAUCUUUGCUUCAGCUUGCUCUUCUUGCUACUUAAAGAUGUUCUACUAUCAUAUAGUGAAAUUCUAUUCGCUAGUCUUGUGUAGUCUCUUGCUCAUCAAUUUCUUGGAUACUCAUCAUCUCCAGAAGAAGCUGAUCUUGGAUUUUGAUUGAAUUGUCAAUUGAGUUGUUGUUUGGCUCUACCAAACCACCCCUACAAAAUUUCUGAAAUUGGAUUUUGAGUAGACCCCCCCGAAAGAAAUUACAUCGGACCCCAACCCUUCCUCCAAAAUGAAUAAUACUGGUCUUUAUGCUUCUGCUGUCGCGUCAGAUUUCCUAACAGAGUUUUAUUGGCAUUGGAGCUGCUCCACUGUCACGCCACAGUAUGAUGGAUAUUAGAAUGUGUUUAACCAUUAUCUCAAAUGGUUCAUUGCCUUCUUGGAUUAGGCCUAGGUUUCAAGUGUUUUUAGGAUAUUGAAUCCUACCAAGAAUUUAGGAAAUCGUAUCAUUGGGGGUUGGUUUGAUACUAAUAAUUAUUUCUAAGCUGGUGCACAAGGACAAAUCACUUAAGUAACCUUUGAUGCUUGAGUGCAAAAGAUUAGAUUGUGUCUGUUACCCAUCUUUGUGUCUGUCAAGAUGUCACUGAUGUUGGUCAGUGAAAGCUGUUUCACAUGGUCAUUGGUUUGAAAUUUCUCUUUCUUGAUACUACAUUCUUUCCUCUCUUGUAUUAUGAAUCUGUGUCAAUUGGCUUAGGCUUUGAAUGAUCAAGCAACUGUCUCUUCUCAGGCCAUAAAUUUGCUUAUCAUUCAUUUGCCACCACCUUACCUUUUUUUAAACUUUGUCGUAUGCUUAUGUAUGUUUCCUUCUAUCAGGAGAGCUGAAGAAUCUUAAGCAACUUGUUGCUAGUGCAAAAGUUGAAGGAAUAACAGUGGUAUCGCCUCUGGUUAAGAAAAUGCUAGAAAAUAACAUGUUUCUAUUUGGGGCUGUUGAAAUCAAUGAAGGCUCUAUUACAGAAAGAGUAAACCAACUUAUGGAACUACAGAAUGCACGUGUUCAAGUAGCUUAUAAGAAGUAAAUUACCUCACAGCUUCUUCUUUUUUUCAUUGUUAGUGAUUUUGUAAAAAGAUAAGAGCAUCCUCUGACUAUUAGUUGCAUAUCUUUAUACUGCUUCUGCAGGUUAUUUGCUAAUACAAGGAUUGAGCAUUUUCUCCACAUGGAUUUGGUAGCUAUAACUCCCUUUUCCUAACAAAAAGAAAAUUGAUGUCUUUAUUCCACGUCUAUGAUGUUAAAAAGGUGCACCCCUUUUGUUUUCAUAAAUGGCAGGGCACGGAAAUUGAUAUGGAUAUGAUCAAGAAUAUGUCAAACGAAUAUGCUGAGGCCAAGAAAAGAGCCAUUAAAGGUUCUCUCUCUCUCUCUCUCUCUCUCUCAUAUUCAUGAUUUUUCAAAACAUAAUAUUUUUAUUCAGAACCUUGUUUGGAGUAUACAUAUUGUAAAUCACUUAAAUAGGACGUUAUCCCCCGCGGAGUUCUAUUAGAUUAUGAGAGGAAGAAUUGGCUAGAAAGUAAAAUUUCCAGCAUGUCAUGUUAGUUUUACUAACUAUUCUAUUUCGAAAUAUAUCUAAAUUAAGAAAUUAGACAGAUUAGUUUGAGGUUAUACAUUUGAUUCUAGCUAAAAGACCGAGGAAGGUAUAUAUUUAAGUUAAAAGCCAAUGUCACUAUGUCUGGGGUACUUUAGUCUUCUUUUUUGUCCUAAUUAAUGAAUUAUCUGGUUACAUGGCUGUACAACAAACUUUCUUGUGGUUAUGUGGCUGUACUACAUCCUUUUGUGGUGGACAUGUAUAUUUCAAUUGGUAGAGCAUAGGGCUUUUAGUCUAGUGGUCGCCGUUUCAAGUCCUGCUAUACUAAAAUUUACCUAACUGAUAUUGCGUGUAGUAGCAUUCAAAGAUCACUCUCUGGCCUUUAUGUUUACUUUGGUGGGUGGGAGAGUAGCAGAAAUUUUCUAGGUGAAAAUCAAUCCCUAGUGCAUGACACCUGAUAAGCGAUGAAGGAUUUCUUCUUUCCCCCAAGCACUUUUCUUUCACUUAGUCAUCGAGCUUAGUUUAAAGGUCUGGGAAGAAGCUACUUGCCCCAAUACGAAAAUACUUCCUGGAUAGCGUGUGAUUCAUAGUACAUGUGACUGCCCUUUUUCCGCUCCUCUUGCUACAAGAACCUUAAAGUCUCAUUCUAUCAACUUUUCUAUAUGUAUAUUGGAUUAAUUAUCAUUCAACUACAAUGUGAGUUUGUUGCCUUUAUCUCCCUUUGAUCAAUUUUUUUGUGUCCUACUUAUUUUCUUGUUAUAGAGGCUAGCGAGGUGAUCGAUGUUCAGAACAUAGAACAUAUAGCUUUCGACAAGAAACCAAUUGGAGAUGAACUGACGAAGAUUGAGGAUAACUGGACUGCGCAGAGAGACAUGCUUUACCGCCAGAUAGGUUUCAAUCAGCAUGGUGGUGAAAAACAGCAACAUCAGCAAUUGCAAUUAGUACCGCAUCAGCUGGAGGAGGAACCAGAUGAAGCAGAAGAUGUAGACUUUGAGCAAGAGCUGGAACAGCUUCUAUCUCGACCUUAAUUGUAUAAUUAGGAGGAAUAGAUUCGUUCAAGGCACAGAAUUUGUGAAGUUGGAUGCUGGCCCUUCCAGCUUCCUAGAACUGCUUGAAGCGGUAUGUUCCGUUUGUGCUCGGUUUUCAAUUGACAACAUUUCAGCUUUCUAUGUUUUGUGAAUAGUAGGACCGAUUUCUUUAAUCCUGGAGGUCCUAAAUGUCACAUGCCAAUAUCUCAUUCUAAUGGUGAUUAAUAGCAGUAAAUAAGCUGUCAAAGUAUAAAAAUCGCUGUGAGAUAUAACUAUCCUUAAAUUUUUGUUAAGUACAUUUACUGUGCUUCAAACUUAUAGCAUCAAUGUCUGUUACCUCAGCCGUGACUGAAGUGCUCUGCAGUUUGCUAUGCCAGCAUGGGGUGGCGGAGGCUAGUACCAAAACGUGACUGUGUUGAAGUGUUUCUGAAGAUUUGAAGGUACAUUAGAACUUUGGCAGUGGAAGAGUAGAGCUUUAUCUUAAGAUUCUUUCAUGGUUGCUUGUGGUUUAUAUUCGUCCCAUUCCAUCUCAGACAACCUUCCAAAUAUCAACAAAUGAUUAAACAAGGUUGGAGGGUUAGGAACGUGUAGUAUUUGCAAUUUCAGAUAGUUGAAAAGAUCAGUAUCAUAGUUUUGUUUCAAGUUCUCUCAGAUUUGCAUCAAUUUUUUGUCCAGCUUUUUAUAAUUGCAACAAUAUGAGAUCGAUUGAAUUAUUUUGUUGCUAGAAAUGAGUUGCAUACGGAAGUACUUGUCUUCCAGACAUAGCCCUGUAAAAGCUUUCUAAUGCCUCAUUUAUGUGCUAGUGAACUUCAGAAGUUGCUCUAGAUACUUGGGUUAAAGGAAGAAAAGAAAAACUAACUAAAGUUUUGUUUAUGAUUUGGUUCAUUAACUGUCGCACACAGCAAGAGAAUCUAUCAACUAUAUGGGGAGGGGUUUUGUCUUGUGAUUUUUCGCUUUAGGAAAGAGUUUUUUUUUUUUUUUUUUUUUUUUGGUAAAAAAAAUAUUUUAAGGAUUGUUGAGAGUGGGAUUUGAACCCACGCCCUUUCGGACCAGAACCUUAAUCUGGCGCCUUAGACCAACUCGGCCAUCUCAACUUGUUGCUUUAGGAAAGAGUUAGUCUUGCACACAACUAAUAACUGUGGAUGUGGCAAUCCUAUCGGGCUUCAAUGCUUGGCGACAACCAUAGAUAACUGGGAGGAUCAAAUCUUUCCGAAAAAUGGCCAGGGGAUGGAAGUGGGUUGCAUACGGAGAGAGAAUUGCAAUUGGUAUCUGUAUGCCAGGGCAUCAAAGUAAGUGCUUUACCGAUAGACUCUAUGGUGAUUGUGCUACUAUUUACACUUCCCUUCUAGGGUUUGAGUCUCACGAACUCAUCACAUUUUGUUGUUGUCAUUCUUGAUGCUCCGAGCAAGUAAAGACUCACACUCAGUUGGGGAGAUGCGAGGGACUGAUUGUGCUGGUUAUCAUCACGAUCUGUUGCAUUGCCGGAUUAGCUGAAUCUGCUAGUUACACAAACCAAGACGCCGAAAAAAGCGGUACUUAAGGGUGCGCACAUGACAAAAUUUCUAGCAUAGAAAUUGAUUUCUGGCUAAAAAUUGAUUUCUCAAUUUCUAUUUCAGAAACUGAGAAGUUAAAAAUUUUAGCUUCUGAUUUUUUCUUCAAAUCUAUUUCUGGAAUAGAAAUCUGUUUCAGAAAUAGAGAAAUCAAAUUGCGUUACCAAACGGAUUUCUGUUCCAAACCUAUUCCGGGGAACAGAGAAAUCAAGAAACAUAAAUUUUAUCAUGCGCAGCCAAGUGAUCUUCCUGAGCAUGUUUCUCCUAGUGUAUCAUUUGACAUUCUCUCUUCAGCACACUACGAAACAACUCGUGUCAUGGUGCUAGGCACACUUGACAGGAGAUCACAGUUCACAAAAGCAAUUUGGGAGACGAUGGAAUGGGAAAAACAAAUCAUUAAUCUAGAAAAGAGCUGCGAAUCAAAAGAGAAGAAUUAGGUGAUAAUCUUUUCCACCUGUCUUUUUGUCGACGGCAUUAUUAAAGCAAGCAAGCGUGGGCCGCCUUUUCUUAUACAAACAUAAAUAGCCUUAGUGCCUAAAAAUAUUGCAGUUUUGAGUGUACUGGUUAUCUUCAUGAUAUGUAUGAUCAGUCUAUUAAUUCGAUAUUCCUCCAUUAACUAUGUUUAAUAAGUGCCCUAGAGUGUACUUUUUAAUAAGACCUUUUCUUUAUUUUACUUAACACAAAUCAUCCCCUCAUUCUUGCCGAUUGCUACUCUUGCUACUACUAUUGCUACUCUCCGUGCAGACUUAAUUUUUUACCAUGUUGUGCUGAGCUUCAUGUGAACUUUUUCGGUUCUAAUCAAAUAGUCGAUAGACUUCCAGUUGUUUUGGCUACCUUCCUCAACGUACAGACUCAAAUAUACGAUUCAAUAAGAACUUGGAGUUGAACCUCGUUUUGUCUAUUAUUAUAUCCAUUAUAGCUGGUCAACAAUAAGUUGGAAAAGCUUUUCAAGUUUAUUUAAGGCUCCAGGAGAAGUUCUUGUCAAUAAAUAUUUUGCUUUUUUUGGGGCGUUUGGAUUGUUUGAGAAAAUGAUUUAACGAAAAAUCUUUUCAUAAUCAACAAAAAAUUUAUAUUUAGAUUUAGGAAUAUGACAUUUUUGGUUGUUGUAAAAUUCAGAAAUUAAUUUUCAAAUACAACUAAAUAUUGAUACUUAGGUACGGGCACCCGACACCUUAGCCUUGGUCCUUGACGAUUAGGCUUGGGAAUGGCAGCCAUGCUUAGAUUCCCGCUCGACCAAGCUUGGUUCCAUCGAGGUCAGGUCUGGCUCUAAAAUGGGUUAGCCUCAAUCUUUUGAAAUUGAGCCGAAGGUCUCAAUGCUUGUGCAUGGGUCUUAAGGGCCGUGUCUAUGUACUCGGCUCCUGCACUCGAGUUACCAAAUCUUGGGACAUCAAUGCUUGUGCCCAACCAACGGCUGUGCCCAACCCUCAUGUCCAAGUCACCAAUGCCUGGGCUUGGGUCCAAUGAGGCUGAGUUUGGUUCCUUGCCAAGCUUCACAAGGCUGGGUCUUGUUCCUCGAGGUCGAAGCUAAGACUCCAAUCUUGUUACAGGCCUUGAGGGUAGUGCUCGUGUACUUGACUCCAACACUCAAGUUGUUGAAGCCUAGGCUAUCGGUGCCUUUGCUCAGAUCUUGGCAACCAUGCUCAGCCUCCACGCCCAAGUCACCAUCCUUGGGCCUAGGUCCAUCAAGUUUGAGCCUAGAUCCUCAAAGGCCAAGCUUGAGUCCAUGAAAGCUAUAGUGCUAGUUACCUUGAGGUCGGGCCUUAUAUCUAGUAGUCAUUCUUGGAUCCCAACAGUCAUGUUUGGUACCCAAUUCCUACACUCGAGUCAUCCGCGCCUGAGCACAAUUCCAUCAAGAUUAGGUUGGGUUCCUCAACGACCAAGCUUGGAUUCAUAAAGGCUAGGCCAAGUCCCUCGAGGUUUGACUCCAAUGCUAGUCUCUCUCCAAUGUUAGUCUCUAAGGGCUUGUUUGGCAACUUGCCAAACAAUGAUAAUUUAUGUUCUUUUGUUCUUGGAAGUAAAUUUGGAACAGAAAGCCAUUUAGUAAAAUUUUUGAACAAAUUUCUAUUUUUUUUGUUCUCGAAAAUAGAUUUAGAACAUAAUCAACAAAUAAAAAAUACUUGAUUCUUUGUUCCCAGAAAUAAUUAUAGAAUCAAGCAACCUAUUUUAUCUCUUUUCUUUUCUUUUCUUUUCUUUUUUCUUGUUCUUCUUCUUCAUCUGCCGCCACCGCCGCCAUUACCAUCUGCCACCCACUGCCGCUGGUUAUUGGCAACCAAUUCAAUGAGCUCAUCGAUGGCCAAGUGGGCCUUGCUCGGGCCUCCCUCGGCCAUCGGCAAGGCUCGCCCAACCCCACCAAGGGUUGGCGAUGCUUUGGUGAGGUCGUGGACCCUCGUCUGGCCGGUUGCCAGUUAGGCCAACGAUCGGCAACUUGAAGAAGAAGAAGAAGAGAAAGAAAGGAAAAGAAGAAAAAAGAAAAAAAAGGAAAGAGGUAAUAAAAUUAUUUGAAAUAUAAAUUUUGAGCACGGUGUUAAAUGUAAUUCUGUUCCGGGAAUUGAAAUUUUAGACAAUUAUCAAACGGCUUAAAAUGUUUAAAAAUUAUUCCCGGGAACAUAAACAUUUUCAAAUGUGCCAUAAGUACCUAGCUUUUGCACCCAAGUCACAAGCGUAGCAGUUGGGCCUAGGUCCACAAAGGUUAGGCCUAAGACCCUAGUACUCAUGCUUGGGUUGCCAAUUGCUUGAGUGUCCAACUAUUGCACCUAAGUCACCAACACUCAAGUUCAAUCCAUCAUUGUCAAGCCCAAGACCUAGGUUGUGCCCAAAUCACUACUCCCUAGGACCUUGACAGUAAAGCUUGAUCCCUUGUGGCUAAGUCCAGGUUUUGGGCACCCAAGCCCAACUACCCCAAGGCUAGCCCAAGAUCUAAGCAUCCAAGGUCGAGUUUUGUAAGAGGAAAAAAAAUUGUUUGCAAUAUAUAGGAGGUAUUUGUAUUAUGAAAAAUCAACUCGGGAAAAAUAAUCUAAUAUUUAAUGAUAUACUAAACGUAGCACCUAUAUCACAUGAAAAGUACAUGUCUCUUUACGAAAAUAAAUGCAAAUUUUCCUUACUAGAUAACAUAAAAGAAUUUUCAAUUUAUUUUUAAACUUCAACCAAACAUUGAAAGAUAGUCAUAUUCCUAGAAAUAAUUAUUUGAAAACAUUUUUUAGAAAUGUCAAAUUUUCCGUGAAAUAAAGAGAACAUAAGAAUUAAACUAUUUCCAGUUAUUUAUUUCAUUCUUACUUAUUGAAAAUGAAUCGGCCAUCAUGUUCAAUGGCUGAGGAAGCAUUAGUACCCUAAGAGGCCUAAUUAAAAGAACCACUAUUUAGUCAUCCAAAACAAUUGAAAGAAAAUACUCUUCCAAGGAAUUGACAAUACUGGCAAUGAUAAAUUUCUUUUUUGGUCGAAUGGGAAUGAUAAUUCACUCAGGGGAUUUUUUUUUUUUUUUUUUGCCAGUGGAAACCAAAGGAGACCUAAAAAAAAGUUCGAUGGUACUCGUUUCAAUAAUUUAAUAACAAUUAUUUUCAACCUUUCGUGAAAACAAUUGAAAAAAGAAAGAAGUUAUUUUCGAAGUUUUUAUCCCGAAUGAAGGAUCUGGUUGAACCUAUUAUUAAAGCGAAAACAUGCCUUUUAAUUUUGAAUUCACCAAAUCAAACGUGUUCUCAUAAUUCUAUAUUUCGAAUAAAUUGCUUUUUGAGAAAACAAGGCUAGAAUGAGCAAAACAAAUUUCAAAGGUUUUUCCUUUUCUUUUUAUGAUUAAUACCAUAAAAAAUCCUAUAUUGAUACACAUAUAACAAAUUUACUCAAAUCUAAUUUAUUUGACAAGCCAAAAUCCAAAAUCAAUAUGAUAAAUUUACCAUUCGUUAAUUUCCGUUAAAUUAGAUUAAAUCGCGAAAAAUUAUAAAUUAAUACACUUUCACAAGUUGAGGGCAAAACUCUAAAAUAGCACAUUCAUUAACUAUUGCGUAUAAUAAUUUAAUGAUAAAAUAUAACAGAAACUAACUAAGGGUAAAUGUACCAAUUAGUUUGGGUUAACAGGUGUAUCAAUUUAACAUUUUUCGUGACAUAAACUUUUUCUUUUCCCCUCUCCCCAAAAAAUGGAAAAUUGCAAAUAAUAAAAGAAAACGAAUUAAAAGGAAAAAAAAAAAAAAAACCACUAAAGUGCAUAAAAACCCAACCUUUCAUGCUCCCGCCAACCCCCAUCUCUGUCCCUGCUUGGCGCUAAAAAUUGCACCCCGCAUCUUCCCUCCAUCGUCGAACCAGCCGCAGCUCCGUCUCUUCGCGAAAUCCGCAAUCUUUCGAUCCUUCUCCGCCGUGACGAUGUCCGAUCCCUCCGCUGAGCUCGAAGAGCUCGCCCGGAUCCUCGCCUCCCCGGACGCCGGAGCCGGCAAGUCGCUCGCCUACUCCGCUCUCUUGCGUCUCCAAGAACGGUCGGUUUCCGACCCCGACGCGAUUCGAGCCCUCGCCGGUCGUUCUCGCAGUCUAGUCUCGCUGCUCGUCGGCGACGUCCGCGACGAAGACGAAGAAAUGUGGGUUUUCUUUUUCUUUAUCUCAGCUCGUCGUUUUCGUCAAUUUUUGCAAAAAUCACUGCACUGCAAAUACCCGGCUGGAUCGAGCUUCAAAUUUGCUGCUUUCUCUCUCUCUCUCUUUGAAAUCAAGCGCCGUUUAAGGAGAAAGAUUGAAGUACUAAAGUUAUUGGUUUGGUCACGGUGUAUUUGUUUUCACAAUGUCUGAGAGCGAAUGAGGAAAUAUAAAGGUCUUUUUUUGGCUGGUGAAAUGUCUCGUUUCUAACUUUUCUUCGUUUUUUUUUUUAACUGUAGAGCUGUCCAGGCCAUGAAGUGCUUGGGUUUCAUGAUACAUCAUCCUGCGAUUCUUGCUUCCAUCCCAGGUGACUCUUCUUCAAUCUCCCUUUCUCUUUUUUUUUUUUGGAUGCUGUCUGGGAUGGAAUUAGAAUUUGUUUCUUGAAUGGAGAAAAAUGGCAUUUCUUGGUAUUGCAGUGGGCGUUGGUGGUGGAGUCUUGGAGUCGCUGGCUAAUGUCAUCAUCACUGCUAAAAUGAAGGUAGAUUGUGCUGUAACUCACAUAUUUAUAAUCGAAUUCUUCCCUCUCAAAGUUUUAAGAGUAAUUUCUCUUUCAUUGGCAUGCAGUCAGUAUGCAACCUUGGCAUGUGGUGUAUAUCUAUGCAGCAGUUUGAUGGGUCUCUGCUGAAUGCCCAUUUCCAGUCUUUGUUGAAAGCCAUCGUUCAUGCACUCGACAACCCUUUUGGGUCACUUUCAACGACUUUUGAGGCUAUUCAGGUAAAGUUUCUUGGGGCAAUUCAUCUUCACAGGGGAAGUUCUAUUGUGGAUUGUAUGAAAUCCACCAUCAUGUUUGUUCUACUCAACUGGUAUGCUUUAAUGAUAAACUGAAACUCAAUUACUUCUGUAGUUCCUUCUCCUAAGAAAAAUGGUUUCGCCAACCAUCACCAGCAAAAAGAAAAAGGGCCUCAACAGACAGAGCCAUCUCAAAUUGUCUCUUAGUCAACUACUUUUUUUUUCCCAGCCAAAUGGUCAACUACUCUUUUUGCCACCUAUAUUGGGCUCUGAAGUUAUUCUUAUUUCUAAGCACAGUAUGAGUGACUUAGGCAUUUUCAAUUAUUUCCUAGUUGCUCCUUCUAUCUCUCUUGCAUUUUAAAGGGAAUGAAAAGAACGUUGAGCUGAAACACACUUCAGCUUAAAUUGUUGCCACGUGGUGAGAAGUGGUCAAAACUCUUUUUCACUGAUAUUGGUUCUAAACAAGUAGAGCAUUUGAAUUUUUUAUGCACCUUUUGUGACUCCAUUGAUGUGUGCACACUGAUAGCGCUGCAUUUCUCACACUUCUCAGCAUGAUAAACACUAAUGAUUGAAGUAAAUGUUGCUGUACCUAAUAAACAACUAGAUAUAUAACCGACAUAGCAUAGCUCAUUGCAGUUUGGUUUUGAGAUCGUAAUGCAUAUAUUUCAUUGAAAAUAAAUAAAUUGUACAACCAGUUUUCCUAAUUAACUAAAUCAAACAAUGUAUUUAUGAGAACAUCAUUUCUUUCAUGCUAAUAAGUUUGAAGUUCCUUUAUAAGACGCCAGAUUUAUGCUAUACUGAUGUUACAAAUAAUUUGCAUUCUCUCUUUCAGGCUGUAAUGAAAAUAGCAUCUCAGCUUGGAGAAAUGAUGAGAGCCUCAUCACAUAUAUGGAUCCCUCCCUUGUACAGAAGACUUCUAAGCACUGACAAGAGAGAAAGGGAUAUGACAGAACGGUGCCUCCUGAAGAUAAAGUCUAUAAUGCUUCCACCUCCACCUACUCUAUCCAAGGUACUUUCUGCAGCUCUCCAGAGUUGUCAAGUCUCUUCCUCUUUCAAUGUAUCACUUUGACACAGUAUGCUGAUGGUAAAAUGGACAAUUCAUAAAGUUAUUGCCAGUGUUUAUUCAACUGCAAUAUUAGAUGAAAGUACGAACAAAUCAGCAACUCAACACAUACGAAGCUAAUUUCAUUCAAUCUAGCAUUUCUCUUAACUCAGUGCAUUUGAUAGCUUUAACUAAGGUUGGACGUGAAAUGGAAAACUAAAAUAGGGCCAAUAUAAUCUGGUGGUCCUGUUUAUAAAAAAAUGUGACCUGGCACAUGUAAUUGCUGUGAGAAGGAAGACAUGAGAUGCGAUGAUUUCAAUUUCUCAUCACAUGCAGAUCAAUAUAGGUAUAAGGUCUGAGUCUCAGAGCCAAUACGAUAAGGUCUCUAUAUUUAUAAUGUUACUCCCUUGAACAGAGCGGACUGAGUGAUAGACUGACAGUCCACUCUGUUUGCCGGAGACAAAUAUGUGCAGUUAGUCUUCUUUAUCCAACAUUAUUAUUUCAGAAUUCUGUAUCGAAGAUAGUAUUGCUUGAUUGUUACCAUAAAAUUGUUCUUCAUACACACAAAAUGUGCUUAGUGUGACAAUUGCAAUAUUAAGAAUGUUGAAAUUUUACUUGACUUAUCAACAUGUGGACAAGGGAAUGCUCUGAACAGUAAUACAUGACAGAGAUCUCUCUCUUUCUCCAAGUUUACUUUGAUGAAGUUUCAAGGCACAAUGUGCUGUUAUGACAACCUGCAGCUUGACAUGAAGCUUGUAUGCUUUGUUCUUGUAUACUUUCAAACUAGGUUCUUGCCUUAGAUAUGAAAGAAAGAUUGCUUGUAAGUAUGAAGGAUAUGCUAGAGCAAGGUUUCAAGGUCCAAACUGUACGAGCAUGGGGCUGGUUCAUUCGUUUAUUGGGGGAUCGUGCUCUUAGGAAGCGUUGUUUGCUAAAUGAUAUGCUGAAAAUUCCUGAAUUGACCUUUUCCGAUCAGGACGUGCGAGUUCAGAUUGCUUCACAGGUACUUCCCACUACUGUAAUUCAUUCUCUUGUACUAGCUAUUUUAGUUACUGUAACCUCAUACAGAUCACUUAGAAUAUUCAGGGAAGUUCUAUGGCUUAGUAUGGAAAAACACGGAAACGUUCUCGUUCAAUAUGAGCCGUUAAAUUAAGAGAGCAUCAGUUUUGGCCCUGGGAUGGUUUUGAAAAGAUAAUAGUUUAUGAGCAUUUAAAGAAAAAUUAUUCAUUAUAGGAUUGUUGAUGAUAUUGUUGAUCAAGGAAGAAUAGAAACACAUGGGGGAACUUACUUAUAGAUAAGGGCCCUUGAACUUAUGAAUUGUAAAGGAGUGUUAUGCAUAUUGGGGCGAGUUGUUAUAUUAGGAAUAAAAAUUGUGAGCAAUUCAGCUUGUUUGCAAUUUUUGAAGGAAAGUUGCAAUCACUAGGUUAUUCAACCUUUUGAGACUUUGAGGUAAAUUUCUCCAUUUGAAGGAUGGUUACUAAUUUAGCAUCUACGUGGACUUCCAGGAAAAUUAUCAUUAUUGAGGACAAAGUACCGGUGCCAUCACUUUAUGACAAUUUUAGGUGUAUAACUAUCUGUUGAUUAAUUACUAAGUGAUCAUGCUGGGAACUCUAUAUUCAAAUCACCAUCUAUAAAAACAAAUUAUUAGUUAUAAAUGCAACAUAGUUAUAACGAUUAUAAAGUUCAAUUACUUCUUGUCCAUGUGACUUGGGAUGAUUUGGGUAAAUUGCAACAAAAUUAGGAAAACUACUGCUAAAAAUAGAUCUGAUCCCUGUCUAUGCCUAUGGGACCUUAGAAGCACCUGAAUAUUUAACUUCAUGAAGAGUGAACCAAACAGUUUUCCUGCAAGAUAUUAUCCUCAUCCAUUAGAUAGUGUGAUCUUAAAAAUACUCUGAAGGCAGUCCUUUGUUAUUGAUUAUUUUAAAUGAUACCACAUUACUUAAUAUAAAGAGAGAAGUUCAUCUAGUUUUAGUAUGUAUGCUGUAUCGGUAUUAUCACAAAGCUGAUUAGAGAUCUCACAACAAAUAGCAAGAGAGAAAGAAGGAAGAGAGAAGGAAUAGAGAGGAGGAGAAGGAGAACGUAAAAGAAAGAAACAAAGAGGGGGUUGUAGAUUUCUGUAGUAACAGAAACCCUACACCUAUUGUGUUUAUAUUAAAUAUAAAUUGUAUAUGACCAUAAUACCCUUAUGUAAAUAAAAAAGAAAUAAAACUUUGAAAAUAAAAAGAAACUCAAUUAAAGUAACUUUAACACUCCCCCUCAAGCUGGAGCAUAUAGGUCACCCAUGCCCAAUUUGGAAUAACCAGCAACAAAAGCAGGAUAAAAUAAUGCUUUGGUGAACAUAUCAGCGAACUGAUUUCUAGAGGCAAAGUAAAGAGUAGCAACCAACUUCUGCUUUACAGCUUUACGAACAAAAUGACAGUUAACUUUUAUAUGCUUAGUUCGCUCUUGAAAAACAGGAUUCCCAGCAAUAUAAAUAGUUGCUUGAUUAUCAUGCAUCAUAUCAUAGUUGAUUAAUUGAAAAUCCAAGCUCCUGAAGAAGAGAUAAUUGAAAAUCCAAGCUCCUGGAGAAGAGAUUUCAAUUACAACAAUUCAGCCACAGUAUGUGCCAAGGCAUGAUAUUUAGCCUCCGCACUAGACCUGGCAAUGGUAGUCUGUUUCUUGCUUCUCCAAGGAACCAAAUUACCACCAAUAAAGGUGCAAUACCCAGUCGUAAAUUGUCGAUCAUAUGUUGACCCAAUCCAAUUAGCAUCAUAAUAGCCAACCAGAGUGGAAGAACUGUUAGGUUUAUAAAUUAGUCCCUUACCAGGAGAGCUUGGGACCAUAACAUAAUGGAGGAUCCAUCAAAUAGACCUUCGGCAUUAAUAUAGACCUUCACAGCUUGGGUCCAUAACAAGUAAUUGGAGGAUCCAUUUAAUUUAAUAGUGGUAAUUUAAACAUUGACACUAUCUGUAGGAGCCUUAGUAUCACUCAUGACGAUAAUCUCAAUAUAAAUAUAUCUACCACUAAUCAAGAAGGCUGAGACUUUAAUGCAAGAAACAAAACAACAACACUAAUGUAUAAUCAGAUGUAAUUGAUUCCAUCAAUUAACCAAAGGGAUGCCAAACUCAUAAAUAUAGACUGAUGUAUAGAAGAAAAUAUAUGACUAAAAAUCUCGAUUUAAAUAAUUAUAUGUUUGACGGAAACCAAGCAAGACCAGUCAACCAUAAUGACAACCAUAAUGAACGAAGUACUCUGAUUCUUGAAUCCGCUGAUCAAUAAGUGUUGUAAUCCAUGUUCACAAACUGAACCUGAUGAAUAUGAUAUCUUCUUAUCUCAUAUGUAUCAAGACUUGAAGAAAAAAACAGAUAAAAAUUGCAGCUUUAGGUGGCUGCGCACCAGAGAAGAAGUAGGGUUACUAGAGGACUCUCAAACCAGCAAUAGGAUCAAGUAAUCAGGUAAUUAAACCAGGCUCUGAUACCAUGUCACAAAGUUGAUUAGAGAUCCGCAGCAAAUAGCAAGAGAGAAAGAAGGAAGAGAGAAGGAAUAGAGAGGAGGAGAAGAAGGAGAACGUAAAAGAAAGAAACAAAGAGGGGGCUGUAGAUUUCUGUAGUAACAUAAACCCUACACCCAUUGUGUUUAUAUUAAAUAUAAAUUGUAUAUGACCGUAAUACCUUUAUGUAAGUAAAAAAGAAAUAAAACUCUGAAGACAAAAAGAAACUCAAUUAAAGUAACUUUAACAGGUAUAGGUCCAGAUGUAAUCUGGAUUUAAACCACUGUGUUGCAGCCUCAAUGGGUCCUGAUAUUGCAGUCAUAAAACUUAACGUUAUUGUUAGUUCCUAUUGAUAGGUGACCACUAAACAGGUAAGAUCGGCUCUCCAAUUCCAUCUUCAUCAUUCAUAUCAGGGCAUUGUAGGCUCAUUAUCAUGAGAAGCUUAUUCUUCCCUGAUAAAUGCGGAUCACAUUCUUUUUUCCCUCUCAGUUUGCAUGGGAAGGUAUCAUUGAUGCUCUUAUUCAACCUACAGUUCAAGCUCAAAGAUCCAACACUACCAAGGAGAAACAAAUGCAACGUACCAACAAGUCUAGAUUUGAUACUGAUGACUCCCUGUCAAGUGGAUUUUUAAAGAGCAUAAAGCUUAUAAUGACUCCCCUAAUUGGCAUCUUUUCAAGCAAAAGCGAUCUUUCUGUCCAUUCAUCUUGCUUUAACACUUGGUGUUAUUUGCUACAUAAACUUGACAUUUACGUCAAUCAUCCAUUAGUCAGAAAUCUGGUAUUGGACCCUGUCUUUGAAGCUGCUUUUCACAGUGGACCCUUGAUUAUGAGAACAUGGUUUUGCAAUUUGUGUCUGGAUCUACUUGAUGAUUCUAUAUCUGCAAAGUUGGGAAUUGAUGAGAAGGAUUCAGAUGAUCAGGUAGGCCAAAAUAUGAGUAAGACACCAAACCAGGGAAAUUUGAUAUCAGGCAGAUUCUCGUGGAAUCAAUACCCAAUAAAAUGGCUGCCUUGGGAUCCUUGUCAGUUGGAUUUUUAUAUACAAGUGAUUCAGACAAUCUGUGAAGUGUCAAUAGCAUCUGUCGCCCAAUCCAAUGAAGAUCGAAGUUUGACUUGUGAUGCUGCUUUAAGGAUGUUCAGAUCAGUUUUGAAAUUAGUUCAAAUGGAGUUCAGGAGUCCAUCGACUAAUUAUGAUGAUAUUAUGUGGAUUUUGAAGCAAAUACUAAUGUUUGUGAAGAAGAUAUGUGAAGACGCUAACUUAGGGUGCGGGGACAGAAAAGGGACCAGGUCAUAUCAUACUUCCUUCCUGUUUAUACAGGCUAUAUUCGAGCAGCUGCAACCUUCUAUUCUUGGAUCUCCUCUUUACAAGAUCCCGUUGGACUUGAAGUAUGUUGAAAAUUGGGAAUCAGUUGAUGACUUUAGACGACCUCUUGAUAUGAGAGAUAUAACUUACAUGGAUAUGGUUUCUCCAGUAGUUUAUUUGAUUGUUCUAUACCAUGUGGUGAUUCAGUCUCAUCUAGAUAAGUCCAAAGCAGAGGCAACUCCAUGGGGGUCAUGCAAAUAUAUGGAGAUAGUAUUGUCUUCUGAUGAUCCAUCAGAGAAUCUUGCUCUUAUUAAUGCUUUAUUGUAUAAACAUGCAAAUUUUAGCUGCUUAGAAUUAUGGUCAGCUGUAGCAGGUGGUCUGAAAGAUCACAUGAAUGCUGCAAAUGACCCUUCAUUGGUACAGAAGGCUUUUAAUUUUUCAACAAUUAUACAUCUCCUGUCCUAUCCAUUUUAUGUCUAUUCCCAUCAAAAGGAAAAGAUAGUCGACACAAAUGCUGCAGACUCCUCAGGAGAAUAUCAUGUUUCAGCACUAAGAAAGCCUGAAGUUAGCCAUCUUAUUGAAGAAUGGAUCUCUCUUUAUGGUUUUGUCAGCACAAUGGAUAUUCAGCUUCCUGCUCCAAAUACUUUCCAUGGAUUAUUGUGUUCGAUUUUAAAUGAUUGUCUUCAAGGAAAUACUUCUAUGCUUGAGCAUGGCAAUGAUCUGGGAUCAAGUUCAGAUAAUCCAGUAAUCGAUUUUAUUUCUUUCUACGGCAAUCUUCUGACAUAUAUCGUGGAACAGAAUCUGAAAAGUGAAGUGCGUAUUGAUGGAAUCACAGCUGGGUCAGAUAGUGUCUUGCAUUUUGCAGCAAAGUAAGUUCAAACAUCUCUCAUUGCAUAUUAGGUUGAAUAUCGAACCAACUCUUGAUGUGGUACAUCAGAGUGGGGACCCAUUUAUGUAAGUGUUCAGUCAGCCCAACUAUCUUUCUUUGGUUCGCAUAGGUGCAGGUAUGAUGUGUCUAUUUGUGUAUGCUUCCCUUUGCAAGUUAAUUGUUGAGGAUCUACGUUCAUUGAAAGCAAGCCAAGUGUAAUUUCUUCUGGGAAAUCUACAUGGCAAUGUCUUGUCAGCUUCCUGCUAAAUUACCUAGCUGAUUGAAUCAAUGAGGAGUUCACUUUGUAACUGAAAGCUUGGCAGAUUUCUUAUUUUCUGUGAAAAAUGAUUAUCAGAGGUUUCAUCGGAUGUGUUUUAUAGUUUUUGAACAUAUUAAAUCAUGAGACUGAGGUGAUCAGACUAGGCAAGUGCCAAAGCUGGAUGUCUUGAUUGUGAAUACUGAUUGUGUUAAAGUUAAAAAUCAAUCUGACUUAUUGUGAUUUUUGUUCAUUUUGUAUAAGUCGCCCUCUAAUAGGAGAAAUAGCACAAGCAUACAUCUAGCUCUUAUGGAACAUGCGAUCUUUCUCUGAUUCAGGCCUUUUUUUCUACUUUCACUGGCAUAAAAUACUAUGACAGUUCUCAUUUAUAUAAUUGUCUUAGUGCAGUGAAUUGUGACGUUUUUGUUUUUCUUACUUUACGUCGAUGUUUUCUCCUAAAAAGAUCCUUAUUCACAUAGAAUAUGUGAUAUUGUAGAUUCAUGGAAAUGUCAAUGGCAAAGGCUGAAUCGCGAACUCUUCUUGUUGUGAACUCAAGGUAAGGACAUGCCGUAGCAUAAUUGGGAUUUUCUUUUCAUUUUACUUAUUUUAAGUGUGGCAGGGUUUUUCACUCACUGGGAGAAUUAGCCAGCUGUCUUCAUUUUAAGCAAGAUAUACUUUUGUUUGUCAAGGUUGGUAUUUUUUUCCUCCAUAUUGUCCACUAUCUUGUGACACAUGUUUGAGAUUUUAAGGAGAAUAGUUUAUAAACAUUCUUCUCUUACUUUUUUCUUGGAAUUAGUCUCUAUCUGGUCUUUCAUAGUGGAGAAGUGAUGAAUGCAAGGUUUAGUGCGGUCACUAUAGGCCAGUCAUCCCCUCAACUUGACCUGGUUUUAGUCGCACUGUCCUUCCCUUGCCUUAUGCACCAAAAAUCAAAGGCGCUAUUCCCAAGCAAUUUAAACAGUAAAUAGGAAGAAAGAAGUUAUGUGAGGGAACUGUCAUGUGUGCGUAUCAUUCCUGGACUUCACUAGGAGCAGAUGAUAUGCAGUUUUAGCAUAGUGGAAGCUUUAUGGCUGUGGUGCAAAACUCCAUUCGACACCAUUUGUUCAUUUACUUUUGCUAUUUAUCCAUCUGCAAACCUGCCGUUUUCUGUUCCUGUAAAGAUGGGUAUUUUCCUGACCUUUGCUGUUACGAUCUACGGUACCGAAUUAGUAUUUCAUUGUGUACCUUCUGCUGCAGGUCAUAUCUCCUCAACUGCUUCAAGGAUUGUCACUCAUGGAAACAGAAUGGAAAAGCAUCUCCAAUGAAGUGCAGUUCCUAUGGAUUGAGACACUUAAUUGUUCGCUGAGGAGUCGGCCACCUAUCACAUUUGAUUCCUCCCAUCUGAAAAUCCAAGCAUGCCUCCUUGAGAAAACCCUUGAUCACCUGAACCCUUCUAUUUCGAAUCCAGCCAUUAGCUAUUGGAACUCGACAUAUGGCAAGCAAAUGAAAUUGGACUACCCUCCAAGGUUGCUUCAUGUUCUGGACAGACUUUCUAGAAGUGGCAGAAUAUAUCUUCAGAACAGAAGCCUAUCAUUGCUCGAAAGGCGUAAUGCUUUAGCAGAGCCUCCGCAGCGAUACAAGGUAACGUCAACACAUAACAGGACUACAAAGAGAGUCUGGCCAGUAGAGGUUCCUGAGAAUCAGCUUGAGCACAUGAAGGAACUGUCGCCCAAGGUCAAAAGAAAACGGUCAGAACUAACUGAGCAUCAAAAGGAAGUAAGGCGAGCGCAGCGGGGAAGAGAACGGGAUUGUGGAACUCACGGCCCUGGAAUACGGACUUACACCAGCGUUGAUUUUUCACAAGGCAAUGAUGAUUCACAGGAGAGUGACAUCCAGAAUCAAGAGUCCAUCUUGGAUGUGCUACGGAGAGCUUAUUGAUUCUCUGGUGAAAGGGAUACACGUUUACUGUAAAGAAACGGAUCUCUCCUGUCCAUUCCUGCUGUAAUUAUGCUGUGUUGAACUGUGAAAAGUAAAUUAAACCUCUGUACACAGUGAAAACACAGUGCUUUCGAGUCUCUUCGAUCCGUGUCGCGACAAGGAUCGUUUGUGCAUCGGCAGUGAGCAAUCGAGCGAACCCCAUUUUGUACCAACACGCACGUCUUUCUCAUUGAUUAACAUGAUUUUAUGUAUAGCAUUCAAUCACUUGGAUCAAACUUGUUCUCCCAAUUUUCAUGAUCAACAGAAGAAACUUCGAUCAUUCUCUCCUCUUGGAUGGUGUCAUGCAAAAUUCUAGUCCUUCAUGAGUUGAAAAUAUGGAUAGAUGGUCUAGCUUUUCUAAGCAAAGUAAAGGAAGAAGAAGCAGCAGCAACAGCAGCAGCUAAAGAUCAAUUCAAAAUCGGUUCUCCUCGAGAAUUAGUUGGUUUUCGGGUAAAGACCAUUUCGUGAAACGAAUCGAACGAGGGAUGUUGGUUCCCAUCUUCAGCAUAUCUAUCUUUUCUAAGCAAAGUAAAGGAAGAAGAAGCAGCAGCAACAGCAGCUGCUAAAAAUCAAUUCAAAAUCGGUUCUCCUCGAGAAUUGGUUGGUUUUCGGGUAAAGACCAUAUCGUGAAACGAAUUGAUCAAGGGUUGUUGUUGGAUAUAUCAUUUAGGAACCUACUUGGUCUUCCAUGGACGACAUGAAACUAAUGAGAUAAGGCCUACCCGAUUCGAUUCGAUUCACUUUUCAGAUUGAACUGCCUCGAAUCGAACCAGCUUGUAGUUAAGAUGCUUACCUUACGUCUCUUUCAUUAACUCGCACUAAUCAUUCUCUCUCUCCCUUUGCGGGCAUGGCGCAAAUUCUCUUUCUUCUUCUUUUCUUUUUAAUGGGACCUACGCUCUCUUCUUUCCUGGCAGCGUGUCUUAAGUGGCAGUAGCCAAAAAGUAACGCACUUUCUGAACCUACUUCUUUUUCAUUUUCUUUUUUACUCCAAUUUCGCAAAAUUUUGCAUUAUUUCGUACGAAUACGGCGUGACAACUCUCAACUAGGUCAACUUUUUUUGAAUGUUCUCUUCUUCUCAAUAUUUCAUGAUAAUCGAUAAUUUUUUUUUAAUCAACUAAAUGCCUAGCUGAAAUAUUUUCAUUUUGUGGCUAUCAUCCCAAUAAUCAUUUCAAGAUUAAAUUAUGUCUGACAAUGUUUUAAUAUCUACGUAAUAAUUAUACAAUAAGCACCGCCACACAUCCUAUAAAAAUUAGUUAAAUUGUAUUUCAUGCCAAAUAGGACCAAAUAGCUUAAGCUAUGAAAAAAAGGGGAACAUAAUUUGCACUUACUUGUGUUAACUCGUAAGGUAUUUGGCGAAAAAAAUUCACCAGGAGUCUUGUGAUAAAUCAUUUAAUUUUCCUAAUUUUUUGCCCCGCUCAAUGUCCAUCCUAUGUCUGUCCCUGUGAAGGAUUGGACUUCUAGUUCUACACGUUUGGAAUUCAAUACUUCCGUCGAUUCCGGCAUCUCCCGACUUUAGGACUUCUGCAAUGUUGUGGUUAGUAGAUAGACAUGUUUUCACGACUACUUCGAAUAUUCUUUUUGUUGUUUCGAAAUAUUGGGCUAAUUUCGCUCGGUUUCUCAUUAGAUGGAACUACACGGUGGAACUGAUUCAAAAUUCCAUUUUCGUUUCAAGAACUUUCAGUUUUGAGAGAGUUUGAGCACCAAGUGAGGUCAAAUUCUUGAUUCCGCAGGUUUAGAAUUUUGGAAGUCAUCUAAUUUGCUUAUCCCGUUAGGCUUUUCUCAAAAUGUUUGAGAUCUAAAAAUGAGAACUAUUCCAAGAAAGUCAACCAAACAAUAAUCAGCACGAAAACUGAAAAAGAAUGGGUCAGCAAUGUCUUCAUUUAUGGAAUGCCCAGCGCAGUAUGAAUUUGCAAAGAGCAACGAAACUUGAUUUUGGAAUGGAGAGACCUUGCAAGAGGAGAGCCAUAGGGAACUAUUACAGGCAUUGUUUUGAUUGGUCAGGCGAAUUUGAUUACUCAAGAAAUGAGAUUCCAAUUUCUAAAGUUUUCCUGACCUACGUCCCCGUUGCUGAACUUGGGAUCCAAGAGGCUGGAUCCAGACCCACUCAUGAGCAGCCGCGUUGGUGUUCAUUCUCUCCUGCAACACUGUGGUCGAGAGUUCGUAUUCCCGUGUUGCUAUCGCAAUUUAAGUGGGGGCCCUAGCGAUAGGAUGCUGGGCUAGUCUCCUCGGAAGUUUUACAUCUAAAUAGCGGCUUGCGGCGAAGCCUGAUGGUGUUACUGAGCAUCGGAGGGUCGUGUGACCCUAAUUAACGUAAGCAAAAGGGGGCUCCGGCGGUUCCUGAAUCACCAAAGAGGCUAGGACCUCGGUGUCAAGGGUUGGGAUCUUGAGACUUGGAAUGGACUUUUUGUGAUGCCGAACCUAGGUAAGUUGAAACUAACACCCCGAAUCCUGAAUCUCCGCAAAGUGGGACUCGAACCUAGGACUUUGUUGCUAAACCCAAGACCUAGGAGCGUGGACUCAAAACUUUGGCUCCUGGAAUUGGGACUUUGAGAUGGAAAAGGCUAGACCCGAACCUCUUACAUAUGAAUUCAUAUCCAACAGCGACCCUGUUUGUGCCACAUCUGAGACCUAGGCGUUUGGACUCAAUACUCAUUCUUCACGUCUUUUGAGAAACUUGUGUAACGAGCAAAGUCUAGGUUUCCUUCCAAACACAAAAAUUGAGCAAUUGAAAUUCUAUUUCUUGAGUGAUCCAAUUCCACCUUAAACUAAACAAGACAGGAUUUCGUGCAAUAUGAAACCAAAGGAGGCGUAUAGUGAAUCUUGAACUCGAGAGGAUCAAAGAAUAUGAAAAAGGACCACCGGCCGUGGUGGCUCCGCUGGAUAAGGCCCUGCUGAUCAUCAGUCCAGAGGUGAAGAGUUCAAAACCUAGGGGAAGCACUAGGUGUAUUAAGUGUGACUCAGGGGUGGUGGGUUCAUAAACAGUGAGCAAAUGUGCGUAUUGAUGCAAGUUGAUUGGGGAAAAUAAAUGCUGAACAAGAAGAUCAAGAUCAAGUGGUGGCAAGUAUGUGAAUAGACGUGGUGGAAUUUCACCAAAAUCAAGUUGCUUUCAGAGUAGCUUGAGGGCCAUAUUCUACGACUAGUAAUUCAUUAGUUUUUCAAAUGGAUUCAUUUACAAUCGAUUAUUAGAUUGACUAACUCUUUGUAUAGCAAUGAAUGAGACAUAUCAAAAAAUGCUAAAUGAGUUAAAAAAGAAAAUUGCUGUGCUUUCUUUCGAUCGAUAAAUGCAAGUAUAGAAUAAAAUACGAAAAGGAUUCACUAAUGGGGUCCACUUUGAUCUAUCGUACCAUGUUUCUUUUUGUUAAAAAUAUAACGUUAUCAUUUCUUGGCCACGAGUGAAUUGACCAUGGAGGUAUGUUUUCACACUACUUUGUUUAUGAUAUUGAAGCGAGCAUUGCCAUAAAGUUGCUAUAAGGAAGUGCAAUUUUGAGACCAAUUUUUGAUUAAGUUGGACUUUAUAAAUAUAAUAAACGAUAAGAUUGGCAUCAAUAUCUAGAAGAUUGAAUAUCAUUUAAUUAAUAUCGAUUGGCUUUUGGACAAUAUUGAUCCGCAAGAAAAUAAUAUUCAAUUGGAAUGCGUAUUUUUAACUGCAAAAUAUGAUUAUUUACUCAAUGGUCCAAUACUGUUGGAUAGAGUAUGGUUAUUAAAUCGAGGAGAUCCGUGUUUUUCUUAUCACUGAGUUUUUGCCUUUCCUAUAUCGCUUACUCUAGGUAUCGCCUUAUGGUCCUUACAAAAAAGAGUUAUGGUGACUUAGUAAUGUCUUGAUUUGAUGCCCUAUUUUGGUCUAUAAAUUAUUAUUUUGUUGGUCUUGUUAGUGCAUUUCUCCUUUCCUUCAUUACUUGCUUUGAUUAGGGAUGAUCAUAUCGGAUCAACCAAAUUAGGAAUCACCUAAACCGGUCAAUUCUAGACGGUUCUUAGGAGUGUCGGUUCAGUACCCGAUUCCAUAAAAAUGGAACUAUUGAUUUUUGAUUUGUUACCACCAGGUUCGAGGGGAGGGGGGAAUCGGACCAAAUUGGAUAAACAAUAUAUAUAUAUUUUUUAUUUCUUAAAAAUAGUAAGAAAUCCUAAACAACAACAAGUAUAGUAUUUUUUGGGAAAAAUUUACCUUUAGAAUACUCAAAUGGAAUUGCCAAGCGACUAGUUCCAUUAGAUGGUUUAGUCUGAUCCCCUAUUCGAUUCCCAAUUCUUGGGUGGGAUCGGAUUGGAUCAUAAAUCGAUCACUUCUAACUUUUUGGAUCAACUCAUUUCUUCUUAUCAAUAGAAUGCCCUUAUAGACCAAUUCGACUAGCAAGUCCCACCAUCCUCGACUCCGCUCGCCAUCUCUUCUCACAACAGAUUCACCACAGAUAUAAAUAAUUCCGGUCCACAAAAACACUUUAAUCGAACGAGCCCUAAAUCUCUCCCUACAUAAACCCUUCACCAUGAGAGCAAAUCAAUCUAAUGACAUGAUGAUCUCCCCCAUCUCCCAAAUAAAAAUAAAAAAAAGCAAAAAAGCUCCAUUUGAAUUCCACACCCUCCAAAAAAUCACACCACCAAAAUUUAAAGUCUCUUUUUUCUCUCCUUUCUGGGCAAGUCAUCACUAUUAAAAUUUCAAAAUUUCAACCAAAAAAAAAAAAAAAAAGAGAGAAAAAAAAAUUGAAAAUAUAAAAGAAACUUUAAAGAACUCUCUCUCUCUCUCCAAUCCCACUCGUCCAUUCUUCCGGAUCGCUCACCCUCCGCCUCGUCUAUUCGCUCCCCCUUCAAUUUGGGUGCCUCUCUGUGUUUCUUAUUCCUAUCAGCUGGAGAUCAUCUCUCACUCAGUCUCUCCCUGCUUCCACCACUCCGUCUCCCUUCUUCUUCUUUCUUCUUUCUUCUUCCCUCCAAAACCCUGUCUAGGGUUUUGCCGGAGCUUCGGCACCCCCCGCCCCCCCCAUUCCCGACCUGAUUUCUCCGCGCCUCCGAUUCUCGCCUCCGUCUGCCGAAGCUAGGGUUUUUCGUUCCUCCCCUCCCCUCCCCUCCCCUCCCCUCCCCUCUCCUUCCCGAUUGAUCCGAGCGGGCGCGUCGCCGGAAUCGCAUUCUCCGAUUGGUCGAUCUGGAGAUGGAAUCGCGAGAUUUGUCGUCCACGGCGCCUCCCCCGGCGGCUGCGACGGCUGCGGCUGCCGCGGGUUCUGCUGCUGCGGGCGUUGGUGCGGCUGGUGCGGGUGCUGCGGCUCCUCCUCCUCCGCCGGCGGAGGACGAGGGCGUGCUGACCGUCACCGCCGCGCUGGCCAAGGAGGCGCUCUUCCGGUUCCAGUCCCGCAAGUACGGCGAGUGCGUCGAGUUCUUGCGCCAGCUCUUUCAGAAGAAGCACGACGAUCCGAAGGUCGUUUCCCGCCCCCGGAUUGUUUGAUCUCUUCCUCUCUCUCGCUGUUGCGAUGUGCGUUCGUUCUGAGUUUUUGCCUGCCCGUGCUGCUUUUUUGGCUGUUCCGUUGGUCGGAGCUUAAGCUGGGCGACGAAUGUCGGUUGAUCGGUUGGGUUUUCUGUGAAGAUGAGGGUCGAAUUCGAUGAUGCGGCUUGGAUGCCGUUGUUGUGGUUUGCCAAAUGAUUGUUACAAGCUCGUAACUGUAGAUUAGGACUUCUUCCCUCGCUGCGCCAAUUGUGUUAGCAGAUGUGUAGCGUCUCCAUUCGAGGAAAUUCAAGUGCUUGGACGGAGAAACGAACAGGGCCUUCACUCGUUAUAUUUUCUUUUUGCCUGUUUUGGUAUGAUGUUGGCAUUUAGUGGCUAGCUGUCCCAGUCUGGUAGACCUGGCAAACGGAUUCUUCUUCGAAGUUACCCUCUCCGGUUUAUUUCUAUACAACGCCCGCAGGCUCACCCUUUCAUUGUCUGGUGAGGGUUGAGCAUUUGAGCGUACUUGAUGCCCACAUAUUUAGGUUUUUCCGUGUCUCUCUGUAGAACGCACAAAUACGGUGCAUUCGGGGCUGGUUCAUGGUCCAGUUAGAUCUACGUGUUGCACAAGUACUGCGCGUUCUGGUGGCCAGAACAUGUGCGAUCAGAUUUAAUUGUUGAUUGGGCAGCCGGUGUGAUAUUGAAUGAAGCAUCUGAUCUGAGAAUCAUGGCUGUAGAACUUUUCUGUCGGCAGGAGAUGAUAUUGCAAUGAGAAUGAUGAUGAGUUGGUCCGGUUGGUUUAUUUGUGGAUUUUCAGAGGGUUCAGUGAUGGUUCUUUUAAUCUUCAUCCGCUUAAUACCAUUGCUUUGUCACUGUAUACUCGUUAAUGGCACCAUAUCUGUCUGUUUGCCUAAGUUUAUUCAGUUUACUUUAUUUGACCAGUAAACAAAUUCUAGUUUCAGCUUUGCAUGUUUAUUUAUCCUUUGGGUCUGUUGUGAGCUUUUCUUCUACGUGGUAAGCAUGCUGUAUCCUCUAUUGGUUUGAGGUUUAAUUUCUGGGUUUGAUUGGAAUUUGGACAUCCUAGCCACUUGGGCUGUUCCUGGCUGUGCAUACUUUUCCUUUUCUUUUAGAAUCUUUAUAUGGCAUUUCUUGAGUAAAGAAGUCGUUCUUUUUGUCUGACUUGCCUAAAGCACCAUGGUCUGAGCUAUUAACAUUAGUGCAAUGCAGGUCCUCCACAAUAUUGCGGUUGCCGAAUACUUUCGUGAUGGCUGUUCAGAUCCUAGGAGAUUGCUUGAAGUACUGAAUACCGUCAAGGUGUGGCACUCCUUCAAACCCACUCUCUUCAGAAUAUGUGAUCUACUCCUUAUCCAGAAGUAUCUGAAAGGAUUUUAGGUUGUUUGAUUUUUACUCUAAGCUAUUGAGUUUUGAAUCAAUCUUGAUAUGUUGUGUUGAGCACAGUGGGAGUAGGAAAGAGAGAAACACUGAUAGUUGCUUCUAAAUUAUCAUCUAGGCAUUGAUGAAAGAGGUGAAUGACUGGGAACUUUGUCUAGAAUUUUAAGAAAGGGCAAGGGCAGAGCCUUUCUUAUACAUUGUGUGCUAUUCUUUAAAUGGCUCUUCUCCAUUAAAGAGUGGUGAAACUGGUGGACUUCGGUCUUGUUUGGAGAAAAUUAGUAUAGUUUCUCAACACAUUGAGAGUGAGUCUGAUGAAGUGGAGGAAAUUCUUAGAUUGUUGUCUAGACAAUGAGGAAGGUGGUAGCCAAAUUUGAAGUUACUUUGGAAAUCCGACUGAGUGCAAGAGCUAACCCUUUUGCUUGACAUGUUCAUUUCAGUUAAAGAGUGGAGAAUUUGUUGAUUGGCAGACUUAAUUUCUGGUGAAAAUAGUGUCUUCUUUGACAAAUUAUUGUGAAAUCAAGUAAAGGGUGUAAAAUUUUUUGUGCACGGGACAUUAUCACUAUAGUCCUCCAUUGGCCAUUGAAGGCUGAAUAGUGCCUUAGCAGUCUUUGCAGAAGGUAUGAGUUGUUAGUAAAUGGAUGUUGGUCAUCAAAGAUGGUCAAGAGAAACCUGAUCAUGUGGAUUCUGUGAAAAUUGCUUUUCUCUAGUUUUUUACUGUGAGGAAAACUUGUUCAGAAUAAUACGUCAGGCCAGAAAGGUAGUAAUGGAACAUCAAGGAAGAAAGGGAGGGUAGGGAGGGUUUUGUCAUCUACAUCUAUCUCUUAAACUUGUAUCGUGUAGGGAUGUAAUCCUUACGAAGGGUCCCAUGUAUUUUCUAGUCUGAGGAAUAACUUAAGAUAAUUUUUGGUGUAACUCGUGGCUCCUUGGGUCAAGAUUUUACAAAUGCUUGCUGUCUUGAUUUUAGGGAGUUUAUCUUUGCGCAUAUGGAUCCUGACUGUGUGUUGGCACCUACGCUCCUUUAGUAGGUGUUUGGUUUUUCCAUUAGUCUAAGUGCUUCCUCUAUGUUUUUUCUUGGACAAACUAUCGUGAAGUAUGCAGUGUGAUAUAUUUAGAGCUAGAAACCUGUAACUGCAAGAGAUAACUUGGUAUACAUGGCAUUCAGAAGGUUCCACCUUGUGUAAAUUAUGCAUUUGUAGUUAACCUGCGUGAAUUAUUCGUAAAUUCUUAGAGAAAUAAAGCAUCUCCAAGUGCUUUUUUAUCAACAAAGUAAUUGUGGAAGAGAUAGGUCCAGCUUGUAAAAGGAAGAGAAGUAUUUAGCUGUUAGCUUUGCUCAGGUGCAUUUGUAGAUUUUCAUUUCAUUCCAUGGGGCGGAUCCAAUUGUUUGAUCUCUUCCCUUGUGAUAUAUGUGAUAUCUAAAUAAGGUAUGCUACUUGUUGGAAACCCAUAAUGGAAACUCUAUAAGUACCAUCAAAAGAUAUGCCAAUUUUACAUUAUUGGAUCCAAAUUUUACAUACCAUCAAACCAGAUCCAAACUCACAUGCUCAGAUCCAAAUAUGCAUGAUAAGAGAGAUCAAUUUUAUCCAUAACAUCUGGUCGUACUUUCUAUCAUGUUAUCUUUCUAAUUUUUUUAUUUGGUUGAUUUUAUUCAGAGAAAAAGUGAAGAGCUUGCCCGUGCAUCUUUGGAGCAGCGUGAGGUUGUCGGCAACAAAGCCAAUUUAGGUCCUAAGGGGAGUUCUACCAUGGCACAACAAAUGAAUUCAUUAAAUAAUGCCAGUAUUCUUUACACAGAUGAGUUUAACUCUUCUGUGGCAACAUUUAAUAUUGUACGUAUGAAGGCAUUAUUUAUUUUCAAUUUAAAUUUCUCUGUAUUUGAUGGAAGAAGGUUGAGAAAUGUCUUUAAUAUUGGUUAUAUUGUCCAACAUGUUGUCGACCCUUUUGUUUAUAGGCUGUCAUAUGGUUCCACCUCCAUGAAUAUGGCAAGGCAUUAUCCAUCCUGGAACCAUUGUAUAGCAACAUUCAACCAAUAGAUGAGGUACUAAAAUUUGCCUUCUACAGCUUUAUUCCCUCCCUCCCAUCCUCUCUCUCUCUCUCUCUCUCAAUUGUCAGCUUACCACUUUUUGUGUAUGUAUGAACACAGACUGUAGCUCUUCACAUAUGCCUUCUGUUGCUGGACGUGGCUUUAGCCUGCCAUGAUGCAGCAAAAUCUGCGGUGAGAAGCUUGUCAUGUUCUUGAUAUUGAUGCAAAGUCUCUAAUUUCUGAUGGAAUUGCUUUAUGGACAUUAAGGGGCUUCUUUUAGUUGAGGAAACAAUUUUGUCUUUCCGAUGUUUGCUAUAUAGAAGGUCCUUGCUUGGCCUUUAUUUAUGUAUAUGCAUAGGUAAUGACUUCCCACCAGCUUGUAAGUGGAUAAUAUUGUUUCGCAAGAAGAUAUAUCAAAUUAGUCUUUUUUAACCAUUUAAUCUCUUUAGAUUUUGGAACUUUUUUUAAUCCUUGACAGUGGAGCUAAAGUACCACCGCAACCAAAUUUUGUUAGCUUAUGGCCAUGGCCCAAUACUACCAAAAUUUGUUGGUUUUAUUUUUAUUUUUAAUGGAUUUAGGCUUUAUAUAUGACUGUUGUGGUAUUCUACUUCUAGGCAGUUAUUCUUAUCCUUUUUUGGGACUCAAAAUAUCAAUGUUAUGCUUUUCAUACAGUUUGUUUUUACGUAGUAGUACUGCUUGUCCAAGUGAAGUGCAUUAGCUAUUGUGACAUUGGAACUUAAAUUUAGCUGAUAUGACUAUCUUGGUGUGAGUUGCAAAAGUGCUGAGCCAUGAGAACAUGUUAACUCAAUGCUCUAGCUUAAUUGAAUCGAGAAAUUAAAAUUUUGGUUGGUAAAGUUUUUUUCUGUUUUCAUUUUAUCCCUGAGGUUUUGGCUUUUGGAGUUUAUUUUGUCACUUUUCUUCCUGUUUAUGCUUCUUAUUGUGGUGAAUUUUUAGCAGUUAAUUUAGUGUAACUUUUGAAGCCCCUGACAUAACUGCUGAAAUGAAUGAUUAAUCCCUACAAAGAAGUUUCGUGCAAUCGCUGCCCUCCCCUUACAUUGACCUUGAGGACUGCUGAAUUCUGGUAUAAAAAGCGCUAGCAAUAAGGGUUUGAGGCAUACUGAUGCAUGUUCUGAAACUGUACAGGCCAAAAUGGGGAAAAAAAGUCAAGGCUACAUUAAUAUUUAGUGCCAACUUCAAUUGCAAAAUGUUUUUUCCCUCCCCUUUGAAAUUCCUUGCAUACCAGUACAGGUAGAUUAAUAUGGAGUGCCAACUUCAAUUGCAAAGUGUGCUUUACCUCCCCUUUGAAAUUCCUUGCAUAUUAGGAUGGGGAGAUGUUCAUGGAGAUUAGUGUACUGUACUUUUGUGUAUUUAAAAUGCCUUUUGCCUUCUUAAAGUACAUGAAGAUGUUCAACUUCUAUGGCCUUAGACCAAAGUAGUUAAGAUGAUUUUUCAGUUUCAUUGCCAAAGGUGUUGAGUAAUGAUGAUCAUAUUGAAACAGAAAGUGAUUUUGUAGAUUUGUGACAUAUGUGAUUGUUUCUAGAAGUGAUGUUAGGGAGACAUUAGCUAGAAAGAUUACAACUUGUUUUCAUUAAGAUAAUUACUUCAGCUCUUGGAUUAAACACGCUCGAUCACAUUUUGGAGCUGUACCUCCAUCUAGACAGUAGAAGAGCUGCUCUUUUUUGUUUCCUUCAAGUUGCUCUUAUGUUUAUUGUUGACCAGCUUAUGAUUUGGUUAUAGAUCCCUUCCUCUUCUUCUUCUUCUUCUUCUUCUUCUUCUUCUUCUUCUUCUUCUUCUUCUUUUUUUGGGUGUCAUGGGUUUAUGAAAUCGUCUUUCAAUUUUACAGUUAGUUUAUCAAGAUUAGAAAGUGUUAAUUAGGCAACAUUUAUCCCAGUUAUGUUUGGAAUAUGUGCAAAGUGUAUGAUCCAAGAUAUAGGCCAAGGAUGUUUUGCAUAUGGUUGUUGACUAUUAUUAUUCAAGAAUGUGGUUGCUCAUUAGACUUUAGUUGAUUAGUAUCACAGACAUUCUUGAUUCGAGCUUUCCCUGUCUAUAGACUGGACAUUCCUUAUUGAAAAAAGGAUUACAGAUUACUCAUGAGUCAUUGCUCUCACUCUUUUGAGUAGGUGUUUUAAACACUUUUCUCCUCAAAGCAUGACAUCUGUGUUGCUUUUUUAUUUAUGAACUCUUCUUUUGGCUAAUCACUUGUGAACUUAUUGGUUUUUAACUUCAUCCCAAAUCAUCUGUAUAUACUUGUAUGCAAGAUUUAAAAUUGGUGCACUUUUGUCUCCUGCCAUACUUUUUAAUCAGUGUAAAAGAAAAAACUCAUGUCUUCAGUUUAUGAGCAAAAAUGUAUGUCUAGACAUGGGAUUAGCCAGGUAUUUUUGAAGCAUGACUAGAAUGUAUGUGGGCUUGGGUUUCUUGGUAUGAUUCUAGAGAUAUCCUCCAGGUGUUUCUCUAAAUUUUUCAUUUUGUGAACAGAUUUUUGGCAAGUUACAUGCUGAUAUUUUAAAAUCUGAAUUGGCGCGUAUUUAUGUAGUUGCAUGUUUAUGUGCCGCCGAGACUGUCUUAGGCUGUUUAAAUUUGAACUGUUUGUGGACUAUAACAUGCACCCUGGAACUUCACCUUGUUUAAGCAUUUAAUGGAGGUCCAAGGCAUAGAUCCGCUAAGAUGAAAGGAUAAGUUAAGAUUUAUAAAAUACUGCUUACAUACUCAUUAUUUACCUUGAGGGAUAACAGAUGCAUAUCCCCACUUUUCUUAUUGAUUGGCAUUGCAUUUUGUUAAAUGGUCUUACAAUCUUAUUUUUCUCCAUUCAUUGCUUCAUUUUUUGAUAGUCCUGCAUAUUUGGUUCUUAAUUUCAGGAUGUACUUAAUUAUUUAGAGAAAGCUUUUGGUGUUAAUCAAGGCGAGAAUGGGAGUAGCGUGCAGCAACAACCUGCUAACUUAGUGGGGAAGUCUUCUUCUGUACCUAACAGUUCAUUGAUUUCAGAUGCUUCUAAUCAAGAGUCUGUUAGUAUAAAUGCUUCGGAAAAACCUUUGUCCAGAACACUAUCAGACGAGACACUGGAAAAUAUGCUAUCAACUCUGGACAUUGGUGGACAGGAUGCAGUAAGAGCACUGGGUAUUCCAUCUUCGGUCGAUCUCUCCCGGAGUCCGAUUGAUAAGACCAUCACGGCUGUUAAUUUUAAGCUUAAGUUGCAACUAUAUAGGGUUCGGUUUUUGCUUCUAACGGGAAAUUUGAAGGCAGCAAAGCGUGAAGUCAAGGGUGCUAUGAAUGUUGCACGAGGAAGAGAUUCGUCCAUGGCUCUGCUCCUAAAAUCCCAGCUUGAGUAUGCUCGUGGCAAUUACCGUAAAGCUAUUAAGCUUUUGAUGGCUCUUGGGGUUCGGACAGAAGCUGGAAUCUCUAGCAUGUUUCUUAACAAUCUAGGAUGUGUUUAUCACCAACUGGCUAAAUAUCACUCGGCAACCAUAUUUUUCUCGAAGGCACUGUCUAGCAGUUCAUCAAUUCGGAAGGAGAAGCCUUUGAAGCUGUCUAGUAUCUCCCAAGAUAAAUCUCUUUUCAUUGCAUAUAACUGUGGCAUACAUUACUUGGCAUAUGGGAAACCAAUACUUGCUGCUCGGUGUCUCCAGAAGGCUCUUUUGGUCUUUUACAACCGGCCUCUUUUUUGGUUUCGACUUGCUGAGUGCUGUCUCAUGGCUUUGGAAAAGGGACUAUUCAAGACUGGCGAUGCUUCUGAUGAGACUAUUAAGCUUUGUGUUGUUGGCAAAGGAAAAUGGAGGCAAAUAGUUGUUAAAGAUGCACCUGAAAAUGGGCUAACAGAUCUGAUCGAGAAUGAGUGCUCUCUUGGCAGUGAUGGACAGCUUAAUCUCUCUCUGAAACUUGCUCGCUUGUGUCUUUUGAAUGCAUUGCACAUAUUAAAUGAAAGUGAACCAAGUCAAGUCAAUUCAAGUUUGCCUCCUGAUGGCUCCUUGGAUGGAUCUAAGUCAACAGAAGAAAUGAUUUCCGGAAACUCGAACCACAGAACAUUGCCUGGUGUAGAUGCCAAACCAUCAAAUGUGGGCUUAGGGCAGCUUAAUGCGAAUGGAGAUGUAAAAGACCAGAAGACAGGAACAAGUGAGGAAAUUAUGAGUGGCUCUCUCUCGAUGUAUGAAGAUAAUCGCAGAAGACAAUCGAGAUUAAUGAAGCAAGCCAUUCUUGCUAACCAGGCGUUUGUGGAGUUAGAGUUGGAAAAUCCUAUGGGGGCCCUGUCAUGCGCUUUGGCUAUCUUGCAGCUUCCAGAUUGUUCCAGAAUAUACACUUUUCUUGCCCAUAUGUAUGCAGCAGAGGCUCUUUGCUUGCUCAACAGAACCAAGGAUGCUGCAGAACAUUUGUUGUUUUACCUCUCGGAAGGAAAUCAGAUUGAAUUGCCAUACUGCGAAGAGGACUUCGAGCAAUGGCGGACAGAACGAAUCUUUGACCCUGAAGAGACAAAUGGAGGUACAGCAACUGCUAAUAAUUUUUCUUCAGAGGAGGCUCAAACUCUGAUGUUUCUUAAGCCAGAAGAAGCACGUGCCACCCUUUAUGCGAAUCUUGCGGCCAAGUCAGCCUUGCAAGGUGAGCUCGAGAUGGCUCAACAAUUAGUUGCACAAGCGUUAGCUGUGCUACCGGCUAGUCGAGAAGCCACUCUAACUGCCACAUAUAUACAUCUCAUGUUGGGGAAUUCACAGGAAGCUCUCUCCAAGUUGAAACAGUUUAAUCAUGUCAGGUUCUUACCCUUCACCUGUACUUUGGAUAAAUCUUCUUAGUGGCUGAAGUGGUGGUGGUGUUUUAUGUUCUCUGGCCAGUCCAUUGCGCCUUGCGCCUUAGUGGUUAGUUAGAAGUAGAUGGAUAAUCCUCAAGAGGAUGUGUAACAUGGUAUAGUUUGUCUUACAGAAUAAAUCUGUUUUGCUUUUAAUUUUCAAAUUUAGGCUUUAUUGUUCCAUGGUGUGGCUGUGUUUUGGUUAGUCCAGAUGCCCACCCCCUUUUCCCAUAUUUGAGGUGUAGUUCUGAUUCAGUUACUGUUUUAAUUAGUUUAGUUGCUAGUGGAGAGAUGGGGAAGUGAAUUUGCUCUUUUACUAUAAAAAGGACAUUGAAAUUUUUUUCUUUCUCCUUUUCACCAAUAUCAAUUUAAGAGCCCUUCUUUUGAGGGCUUUUCUUUUGAGUGGCUUCUAUCCAUUCACUCUGGCAGAUCGAAGGGAUGUAUAUAUGCACAUGAUGUUGGUUUUGAUUUUCUUUUUUUCGGCAUCUUCCUUUCGGGGCUUUAAUAGAAGAGUUGGUCCAUUUCUUGUAAUGAUUCAUCGGAAAGCUAAUUCUAGGUCCCAGGUAGCACGCAAUCUCUUUUAUGUUUUGUGAAAAGAUCUAGUUGGCUGUAACCAGAGUUGAAUGCAGAGAUGUAUGUGUAGGCUCUAUAUUCACUGUUCAGAUUGCCAUACGCUGCUGUAGUACUAUGACAAUGUCAAUCAUUGUUUCAUCUUUGGAAAUGUACCUGUUGAUUCUUACUUUGACCCAUCGAUAAAUGUUAGGAUUAAUUCACGUUUUUUAAGAUGGAGGAACCUUAGGUGGUUGCUUGGGGUGUUGGUUGGAUGGGGGAGGUGGUUGCUCCUUUGCUGUCAUAGAUGGAUGAGCAAUUGAAGUUUGUUUCUUAGCCAAUUUUCUAAUUGUCAAAGUAGUGCUAAUCUUAGAGCACGUGUUUGGCCAAAAAUCCAGUGAAGCAUUGUUCUUAUAUUCUUUUUUCUGUGUUUUGGCAUGUCCUAGGUUUGAUAGUCCUGAUACUUAAUUGUCCUCAUAGCAACUUCGCCUUAUCCCUAUUUUUCAUUGCGGCCUUAAGUGGCAUGUGAUGGUUACGCAGUACUGCGGGCACAUUCUUCCAUCCACCACGAAGUUCAAGCACACUGAAUUUUCCCAAGUUUUCCUCCAAAUGUCAGGCUUCUUGAUUGCUCGCACUUGAGAUUUAUCUACAAUCGCUAUAUCACCAGCAAAUAGCACGCUAAAGAAUAUUUCUCUAUAUAUACUUAGCUAGCUGGUCCAAUUACCCGGGGAAAUAGGAGAACAUCAAUCAAGUUUGUGCCUGUGUCGUUGUCCUCCACUUCAAGUAAUUUUGUUAACUAGGUGUUUAUGUGAUUUUGAUUUGAUCUGUGGUGAAUUAUCAAGAAGCCGGCUAGAGUAGGGGCAAGUGAAAAUAGGAGAAAAGUUAAACCCAAAAAAAAGAAAAAAAAAAGAGAAGAUAUAUGCGAAAAUAGUGUGCAAUGAAAGCACACGAAAGGGGAAAUUUCAGAUACUAGUUUCAUCCUAAAACUAGAAUAUGGUUUUUCAAAUGAGGCGGAAUGUUUGAGUAUUGCAGUUGGAUUAGAGAUACUUGCGAGUACUUGAGCCACUCUCCACUCUUUAAGGUCAUCAUUUGAUUUAGAGAUGGCAAUUUGCGUGGUCGCAUCAUUAUUUAUCAUGUUAAACAGAGGUCUAGUUCAGACGGACACUGUUCGUGCCGCAUUCUAGGAAAGCCACUACGGCAUGACACGUUGCAAUUAAUGAGUGUAUGUCAUAAUUUUAUUCUGUAUGCGUGAAAGAAUGUGCUAAAAUGCAUAUUAGCAUGGCUGAGUGUAUCUAAACGUAUCAUAAGCGACAUGUUAACUUGCUUUAUCGAGCGCCUCUAAUCGUGGCGUAAAUGGGUGGACAGGUUAAACCUAAACGGGCCAAAUCCUUGAACAUGAGGCCCAGUUGACCCGCAUGGAUCCGACCAGAUCAGAGCGAUGAUGGUGGAGCAUUUCGCAUUUCGCAUUUGUUUAGCACAAAGGGGCGAUCCAUGUUGGGACUGGGAGAUCGAGAUUUCUAUUAUGAGCGAUCAAGUACAAGAGGGUCCAGACAUCACUAUUUAUCUGAACGGCACCUCCCUCCCUUCCCCCCUCUCUCUCUCUCUCUCUCUCUCUCUCCUUCCCAUGUCCAGUCGCUCGAAUCUGGAGAUCCUUCCCAUGUCCAGUCGCUCAAAUCUGGAGGUGAUGAGUCUUGACCUCAGAGAGAGAGAGAGAGAGAGAGAGGGGGAAGGGGGGGGGGGGGGGGGAGGGGCGGUCAAACCCAUUGUGGUUGUACCGGCUAGGGGGGCGUCAAUGGCGGGUUGAGCUAUGAUGGCUGAGAGUUGCAGUGGGUGGGGGUGUCAAAAACCGAACCGAAAAGUUCGAUUUUUUCGGUUCAGUUUUUAUCGCUUAACCGCACUGAACUGAACCAACAAACCGAUAAGAGCUCAUUUAUUAAAAAUACAACAGAAAAAAAAUGAAAAAAAAAAAACAAAUGCAAAAACCGAAAACUAAAAGUUGAAAAUCAAAACCGAAAAAUCGAACCGAACUGAAAUUUCGGUUCAGAAGUUUUUUCUAACGGUUCGAUUCGGUUCAAUUUUCAAGAAAAAACCGUUGACACUCCUAGCAGCGGGCUACAAUUCGCCGAGGAACAAACCAUCUGAGAACAGGAAGGGAAAGGGGAAAAGGUGCAGCGGAAGAGAGGAGCAUGGAGAAACGAAAAAGGAGGAAACUCAUGUAGCCAUUGACAUAUAACACGUUAAUCCGUCUUCCUUCUGGCGAGACUAAACAAAACAAACGAUGUGGAUCUACUUUCAAAAUUUUUUUAUCCGUGCAUCUAGAGCAUCGCCCCUCCAAACUCCUUGCUUGCACUGGUCCAGUCAAGGGCUGUAGAAAUUCGAACACAGCCCCAAACGCUUCUGUAGAAGCUUAUCCACGAGAGCCACUAAAGUCCAAGGCUGUUGGAGGUAAUCCACAACAUCCGAAGGACAACAAUAUUCCACCGUGCUUUCCGGAUUCGAGCGAGGACGAACGAUGAUCACGUGACGAACGACAUGGCGUGUCCUGGUCCCCCAAUCCCCGCGAUUCGUGAGCUGACGGGGGUCCAUCCCACGUUGAUCCAUCUUUUUGUCUCUUGUCACUCGCCUGUACUCUCGCCUCUAUGGCAGCACCUGGAUUGAAAGCGGGAAUACGACCCCAAGUCUAUGAAACAUUUCUCCAGUGGAUUCUAAUAUUAGAGGGUUUUGCCGCGUAAUAGGAUGAACAUUGUGCUAGUGAAUUUAGGGAGAAAAUUCUACGAAAAGUUUUAAACCUAUUAUAUAGUGAUCAAUUUGGUUGCAAAUUUUUUGACGAUUUACCAAUUUUGGCAUAGAAUCAUUGAUGUGACGGUCUAAUCAACAAAGAUAAAGAAAAAGAAAAGGAAAAAAACUUCAGAAAUUUUUUAUACAAUUAUAAAAACUGUUAGUAUUAGCAUUAGUCAUGCUACGGAGGAUAGUCGGCAUUGACUAGACCGCGAAAUCAACAAUUUUCUACGAGGUAAAUUUGCAAAUAUUUAAAAGGUUUAAGAUUAAAUUGACAAAUAGUUUUGAUAGAAUAUACAAAUCCAUAACAAAGAUACUCUUAUGCCCGACACUUUUAUUAUAUGAACAAGGAGUUCCACAAUCAUUUGAUAUAUAUAUCGGGCACAUUCGUCGAAAGAUAUACAUCCAUCUUACAUGGAAUUGAGUUUUUCUCCUUAACUUCUUGUCUCUUCUUUGAGUUUUCAUGGAAGCCAUCCAAUCUUUCAUUUAUUUUAAGAUAUUUUAGGGAUUUUCUAAAGUAUCUCUCCUUUUUUUCUUUCUUAUGGCAUAAUUACAUUUGAAGUUUUAAAAUUUUUAAAAAGUGCAAUUAAUAACUACAACUUAUCACAAAAGUAUAAUUGAAUCUUAAAACUUGUAGAAACGGUCUAAUUAAGUCAUUCUGUUGAUUGCACUUUUUGAAAGUUUUAGGAUUUGAUUUCAUUUUUUGAAAGUUUUAGGAUUCGAUUGUACUUACGUGAUAAGUUUUAGACUUGGUUAUACUUUAUGAAAGUUUUAGGACUUAAAUACACUUUCAUGACAAAUUUUAAAACUUUUAGUUCACUUGUCCCACUCUUUUUUUGCUAAAUGAUAGAGUAAAAAGAGGGGAGAAUUACAUUUUGCCCCUAUGUACCCGGGAUUUGGCGAGUUCCCCCUGAAAUUCCAAAUUUUGCAAUUUACAGCCCUACUUUUGAAUUUGGUGGCACCCCCACGCGUUGAUUCUAGCCAAACUUUUGUCACCUAUUUGACCAAGCAACGGCACACAAUUAUUUAUGAAGGCAAAUUUGGACAUAUAUCAUUUAUAUAUGCGGAAAAAAAUUGGGACAACUAAAAAAUACUUUUAAGACUGCAUUUGAUAUUGACUCUAGUUAUAUUCUUGCCAGAACUUUAGCCAUUUACUUUGACAUGCAAUAUAAUUCCGAAUUAUUCUCCUACUCUUUUUUUUUUUUUGUAUGCAUACUUAUACGACGAAUUUGCACUCAAUAAUCAAUCAUGUAUGUGUUUGGAACUCCAAGUAAAAUUUGGUCGGACACGAUGCUUGGGGGAUACAUUGCAACUUAUUUCUAAAAUUCGAGUAACAAAUUCAAAAUUUGAUAUGCUGAGCUCAACUUACAGCAACUCUUAAAACUUGCGGUCAAUAUAUAAUUUGCUCGAUAAAAUAGAGUGCUUUUUUGAUUUAGAGAUUGAGAGAGAGUUCUCAUAUAUUUAUUGAGCGUGCAUUUCACAAAAGUGAUUUUUUUUUCUUCAACCCCCUUAAACUUUAAUAAUCUAAUAACGCAAAUUUAUAGAUAAUCCUUAGUUUAUGGAUUGGGUUGAGUUUUCCUCCAUUUUUGGUUGGUGGCAAUUUUUCCUAAUUGAAUAUCUGAUUGGUGACAUAAACAUGGACAUCAUUCGCAUGUGAUAUUAACUAAAAAUAUGGCCGUUCUAUCUUAUGCAUCCUUUUGUUUGUUGCACCAUUUUCACAUCUCCUAUAAUCAGUAGAUAGUCAGGUAUAACGUAGGACGUACGUUGAGAUAGAUGCCGAAAGAAGAGCAAUUAGAGUCUCUUUCGCCAAAAAUGUCUUCAUCGAUGUAGAAAUAGCUUUUCGUUUCUUUUUAAAAGUUGACAGCUACUAAAGCAUCCCCGUCUUUCUCAAAAAAAAAAAGAAAAGAAAAAAAAGAAAAGAAAAGAAAAGAAAAGAAAAGAAAAGAAUAGAAAAAUUCUGAUUUAACAAGUCAUAUGGAACAAUUCAAGUGGCCUUUUGUACCAAGUGGUUCAAUAUAUAGAUUAAUACUCUUUGAUUUCAAUCUUGAGUACGAUAACCAUAUUCGAUUAGUCAAUAAUUUCGAUAUAUAGCACAGCUAAAUUAAAGUCAUCAAGAACGUCCUUCCCGAAAGCAUGCAUUGAGAGGAAUAUGUUAGGGAAGUCAUUCCAUAUUGACAUAUUGAAAGCUUCUUGUGCGUUAGCUGAGUGAGAUUCCAUGUAAGGUAAUGAAUGAACGAAUUCUCUUAAGCUUCACAUUUAAGAAAUUUUCCACAUGUCGGUUAUUGUGCUAUGGUAGGCAAUACAUAUACUUGGCAAUAAUUAUGCUGCAAGAUUGACCUAAUUCGUCAUGCCGGGCUGCAUAAUAGAAUUUCACAUAUGUUUGCCAUACCAUGACUUCUCCCUCAAGCUGCCUAAGCGAGAAUGUUGAUGAAAAUGAAUAACAAUUAGUUGUAUAACGAUGCACGUGGACUGCAAAGAUGAUAGUUUUCAUUAAUUCGAAGUAAGUUUCUCUAUUUAAUUGGUUUAGGAAGUUAAUCUAUAAGGCCAGGAUAUAGAUUCUCAUUGCAUGUUAGGUAUGAGUGAAUUAUUUUAUUGUUCACUUGAAAUUCGCUAUAUCCCUUGAAAAUUGGAGGGUAUAUUCUUAGCAUUACUAAAUCUAUCCUUGACCCUUGUUUUGCUGAUGCGAGGGAUGAUAAAUCUAAAAGCUGCAAGAAUCUUAGACCCAGCAACGUACAAUUGAUAUGAUAGUUGACCAAAAAUCAAGACAACAAUGAAAUUGAUAAACAAAAGAGCUGAUUCGAAUCUUGCUUGCUUCAAUCAGUCCACUAGGAAUAAGAAACACACCCAACAAUCAUUUAAGAACAAAUGCCUCAAGAUUACAAUCUAGACAUCGAUCAAUGACCAAUCAAGAAAAGGGGGUAGAGACAGAGAGAGAGAGAGAGAGAGAGAGAGAGAGAGAGAGAGAGAGAGAGAGAGAGAGAGAGAGAGAGAGGGAUUUGUUCGACAUCCUCUCAUGUCGAAUUCAUCCGCAUGUCCUGAAAUCUAAGCAACCUGCAAAAAACACAAAAAAAUUGAGAAAUUCAAUGAGGAAAUAGUAGUUUAGGCCAAUGAGCAUUUAAACCCAGUAUGUCGUGCGUAUGAAGAAGAUUUUUCACAGGAGAGAGAAGGGUAGAUUCUAAGAAUCGCGUGACCAUUUCUCACAGGCACCUAGAGGUUUCUGUCCCCCAAUCAGAGUCCAUUAUUGGAGAGAGACAUUUUCGCAGGGUGAAAAAGAGAGAGCAAAAUGUGAGUCACUUUCUCUCCGGGAAAUGACAAUUUAAUUAUAAAGUUCGUACCCUUAUUUUCCCCACCACACUAGAAUGUGUGCAUUAUGACCAAUUUUUGUUUCGCUUGAUGUAGGAAACGUGCAAAAAUUUUGUUUUUGUCUUUUUUUUCUACCUUUUGACAUUGUGACCAGCUAACAACUUAUGCACCCUUUUCUAGGAACAUUUCUCACUCCACCUUUUUUUUCUGGGUUCACUGGUGUUCUCCUUUAUCAAGAGAAUGUCGUGUUGUAUGUAGACGAAUCUCUCGGUAAAGCUGAAAUAGUAUUAAAAUAAACACAUUCUAUAUAUUAUUAGCAGGAUGUACGUGGUCUCUCUAUUGCCAAGGUUAGCAUGAUGAACCGAUAUUCAAGACACACUGCAGCAUCACUAGUUUACUUAAAGCACAGAGGAAACAAAAGUUUCUUAGGGUUUUUGAGAUAUAACUUGGGUUAAACACUUAACUUUGAUCUAGAGAGUGCAAGUGUAACCGGGAGGAGGAGUCUUGCCACAGGUGACAAGAAGCUGAAG